UACCUAGGAACAAGAUGAGAACGUGAAAGAGGAAAAACAAGAGUUCAUCUCUUGUUACACUCAGAAAUGUCUUAGAAGGCUGGCAAAGGUAUCUCCUGCAAGAAAAGAAAAUGUUUACAAUCCAAUUGAAUAAGUGAAAAGCAAAUUUUUAGAGAAUCGCAGUAUACCAGCAAAAACUAUUGCUCUGUUUACUAGAUUCUUUCUCCUUCACUUUCACUUACUACUUCACUUUUACUCUGCCAGUCAAGUAUUAUGACUUUAAGUUCUUCAUUUCCCAUGUCUUCUUGUUCUUCUUGAAUUCUCUUAGCAGAUUCUUUGAUAGCUUCGGCGCAGUCAUAUACCUCAAUCAUUAGUAAUGUUGGAAUAUCACGUAAAAUGGGAGGGAUCAUCUUCAAAUGUUUGCAAUAUUUCAAUCCUAGUCGUUGAAGUCUUGGGAAAUGAUCGCUUGAGGUAUUCCAUUCUGCAAGUCCUACAUCAGAGUUUUUCAAGAAUUUAAGUUGUGGAAAUUCACCUUCACUAGUGUCCCAUCAUCCUUCCUCAAAGGAAACACCACGUAAUUUGAGAACCACAAGGUACUCCAAUUUCCCAAUUAUCUUCAUUUGUUCCGGAGAUAUGCGUGCAUCAACUAGAGUCAAUUUUUUGAGAUUUAAGGGAAGACUGAUCAAACUUAAGGAUAAAUUUUUGGUGUCUGAUAUAAGCUUCAGAGAUUCGAGCUAAUUAAGGAAGUCGAAAGAAUAACUGUGUGAAGUUCCAACCUUGCCCUAAAGUCUGUGAAGAUUGGGUGAACAUCUCAAACUUUUCUCAUCUGCUUCAUCGAAAAUUUGAAGGAAAGAAAUACUUCGUAGGUUUUUUUUUAUUUGGAAGCUCAGAUCCUUAAUUGCUUGAUGACGGGAUAGAAUCACUGAAGUAUGCACAGCCCUCGAAAUGCAUGUGUCUCAAACUCAUCAUAUUAAGGAGGACAUCCGGUAUUUCAACAGCAUCUCGGUUGCGUAGAACAAGAAAUUCUAGUUUGUGGAAGCUUUCCAUUGUUGGAAGUAUACGUGAAAGUGCCAAGUACCUCACAUGAACCAGCUGUUCAAUUCCAAUUACAACAAGAUUUUCCCGGUUGUCAAAAUCCAAGACCCUAAGAACUUUGAAGCUGCAUGCAAAUAAUAUGGACAUCCUAAUAUCAAAACAUAAACAAGAACGCACAUGUGGGCCGAAAGGAAGUGAUAAAAUAGAAUUCUUCCCAUAGAUGAUACUCAGACAAUGGUGUUUCUGAUCCAUCACAAAUUCACUGACGUACGGCAAUGGAUAAGAGUCAUCAACAUUACUGGUAAAAAUAUAAUCACUCGUGAUAUGAUCAUCAGAUAUAGUCACGAAUAUUAGUACACCAAAACAAAAAUGUACAAAUAGAGAAGAAAAAAGAAGAGAAAUAGGGAAUUUACAUCUUGACAAUCUUCAAAAAGCUUUUUUCUCCAGAAUUCUCAAGCACAUUUGACGCAAUAGAUCAUGAAUCAUACAAGUUUUGAUUGAACCAUCAAAUCCUUUUUUAGCAACAAGUACCAGGCUCCUAUCAAUUAGUUUCAUCACAUAUUCUAGUGCACAUCCUCUAAACUCUUGUGCUCUUCCUUCUUUAUAUAUCCUUCAGCAACCCAUAAUGAUAUAAACUUUUGUGUGCGGAUUUCCUCGCCCUCUUGGAAUGCUCCAAAGUAAAGAAAACAUGGUUUCAAGUGCAUUGGCAAAUGGUUGUAGCUAAAUUCUAAUAUCUGGAUGUAGUUAUCUAAAUUUUUGGAUAAAUGUGAACUUAAAUUUCUUGCAACUUCUUUCCACAAUUGUUCUUUAUUCUCCAUAUUUGCAAGAACUCCAGCUAUCACGACCACGGCAAAUGGUAGGCCGUGACAUUUUUUUGCAAUCUUCUUCCCAAUGCCUAGCAAUUCUUGUGGACAACUUUUAUCUCUAAGCACUUUCUUUUGUAAUAAAUCCCAGCAUUCAACUUCCGAUAGAAAAGGAAGUGUAUUUAUGACACAAUGAGGCGACACUUUCCAACUUACUUCUUUAUUCCGAGUGGUGAAUAAGAUUCUGCUUCCAGUUCAGUCAUUUGGAAAAAAUCUUUUCAAAUCAUCCCAUAAUUUUGUAUCCCAUAUAUCAUCCAUGACAAUGAGAUAUAGAAUUCCUUUUAAACUUUUGUAAACAUCUUCAGCCAAACUUUCUACGUCCUGGUUUGCAAAUGUUUCUUGCUUAAAAUUUUUUAUCAAGCUCAAAAUGUUAAUCAAAAUAUUUUUCUUAUUAUAUGUUUGAGAAACAACACACCAGGCUCGCUUGUAAAAAUGAUAGACUACAAAUGGAUCAUUAUAUAGUUUAUUUGCUAAAGUCGUCUUACCAAGUCAAGGCGUUCUAGAUAUGGAGAUAAUUUGCAGUUGCUCCAUUCGUCUAACAAGUUGUUUCGUAAUUUCGAGUCCAACAUCUUCAAACCCCACAAUAACAUCUUCCAAGAUGGGAGUUUCUUUAGAUUGUGAGGAUAAUUGUUCAUCCGGAUAUUUUGCAACUUCUGGCAUUCUAGCCACAUCAAUAUCGUUCUUCAUUUCUUUGGUGGCCAUCGUAAUAAGCUGAAUCUUCUCAUUGAGCCGAGGAAGUCUGAGGGUGAGAUACCAAAUAGGGGGAAAUGAGUUGAUAACAUAUUCAACUUCAAAUGCUAUGUCUCUGGUUUUUAUUAUGAGUUCUUCGUGCUCUGCUUCUUGCUGCACAGAUAUACUGGUGAUGGAAGAUCCCAAUAACGAUAGCUUCGUAUGUAGCAUUACAAUUUGAUCGUUCAGACCAACAAUCCUGUCAAACUUGUUAUUUAUCAGUUCCAUAAGAUUAUCAAGAACAGAAUCAACAAUGAAGAGUGAAACCACACCAGUCUUUAGAGCCAUAUCAAUUGGCAUCUUUGAGACUGUGAUGCAGUGCUCCUUGAUCUUUGAUUUCAAGGGCUCGAACUUUGGUAACAAAUUCGAAAGAGCUAGAUCCACUAUUCCACUCUCCGGGACUUGAUCAUUCUUGGUGAAAACUAUGAAAUUCCCUACCUCAUUGGCCAGAGCUUUGAUAUCCGCCAUUGCUUUCUUGGUUUCUUCUACCUCAGUAGUGGUCUGCAAUGACAUGUCCUCAAGAACGUCGAAAAAGCCAGAGUGCAAGAAACUUACUCCAACGUUGAUCACAUCCAGUGGCGGACACAGAAAUUUUGAAUUAGUGGGGCACAAUCCCGAAUAUAGGAGAUUGGGCUGGCCCAGUCCCCUCCCCAGCUCACUUAAUAGUUUUUAGGGCAAAAAAAAAUAAAAUAAUAAUAAUAAUAAAUAAAUAAAUAAGUAAAAAAAAAUUUAUGUGUACAUUUAAUUUUUUUACAUGUUAGCUCAGUUUGUUACGUAUUAGUCUGACUUGUAGUCCGAACCUAGAUCCGUCCCUGACACAAUCAGAAUUGAAAAAUGUUGAUGCUUGAAAAAUAAAAAUAAAAUGUUUGAAAAAAAAAUUAUCGAUAUAUAUGGAUAACCAAAACAUCUUCAUCCGACUACUCUAGAUCAUCACUAUUGAAUUUAGACAUGAAAAAUAAAAUUUUAUGAAAUGAAAUGAAGUUACACAACUUUGAUCAUAAAGACCACUAUCCAAUAUUUUAUUAUUUUACUCCCCCAGAGGCCAAAUCAUUCAAAUAAAACACACGGUUGCAUACUGACUUCUAUGACUUUCUAGUUUAUUCACUCACCACUCUCUCUCUCUCUCCUCUCUUUGUUUCAUCCUUUACCCUCUCUUUCCACUCUCAGUUCUCUCACUUUCUUUUAACAUGAUAAUUACAUACACAAUACAAUACACAUUUUUCUAAACGGCGGACAAAUAAUUUAAUACCUAUGUGUUGACUGUCCAAAAAUCUUUGCCCAAUUCAGUUCCUGAAUUGUGAUAUCACCAAUCACGGACAGAUUCACAAUGGGACUUUUUUUUUUUAAAUACAUACACAAUACACACAAUUAAACACAUUUAUAGUAUGCUAUGUCGGUGGAAGAGUGUUCAUCAACAUAGGAAGAAGAAGAAGAAUGAGUUUUGAUUUUCCAAGGGAAGGGAACUAGGGACGGGUUUCGAUUUUUCCAUUUGGGCACUGGAGUCUUCUUCUGGGUUCUGCUGAAGAGGACUGAAGGCCCAAAAAAAAAAAAUUUAAUUUUUAGAAGUUGGUGGAUCACGUGACGUGACCCUCUAGGACCCAAUGUGGGUCCGCCUCUGAUCACAUCUUCAAUAUCCGUCAAAUUAAGCCUUGUAAAAGCAAUAAAUGUGUCUUCCUUCCGAGUGACCAAGAAUACUACAAAGGUAUAAAACAAGGAAAAAAAGAAAUUUCCUAUUUCAUUAACCACAGCUUCGAUAUCUAGUACUACAUUAUUGGUGGGCUGCCAAUGCAUUGAUGUAUCUCCAAGAAGAGUAAUAAGAAAUCCCAGCUCUGUCCUGAGAUUUUGGAAAGCAAUGUAUUUUGCCUUAAAACAUAGGAUGGAUUCUAACAUUCCGAGUAGAAAGUUGAUGAAGGUUGCAACAACUUCAUUAGGACAUGAAUCACAUGACGAGCUUUGCAGGUUUGGGACAGUGAAGAAUGCCUUAAGCUUUUCCAACAUGACAAUAAUUGUUGGAGACUGUGUCUGAUAUUUUCAAUAACUUUUGAGUUUCUGAGCGGCUCCGGAAAAUGAAACAAAUCGUUUGAUGGGAGCCCAAGUUGGCAAGACAAAAUUGACGAAUACUCGAACACGAUUGCAGCGAAUCCUAGUGGCGCAGUAAACAGUUUAUCCUCGUCUGGUAAAAGGUACUCCUCUUCUGUCCUGUCCUGGCAGUCUAUGCUUGAUUCUCCCACCCCGAUGACAUAGGGAAAGGAUGCACGCAAUUGCAGGGGAAAAAGAAAGACAACCUGUUAAGAUUUUAAAAUUUUUUAAAUGAAUCGUAACUUCCAAUCUGAAUCUAUCCUCCAAAUGGAUGACUAUUAUACAUUGUGAACUCGGACAAAAAAUUUAACAAAGAUAACUCGUCUUAAAAAGUAUCUUGGGGACCAUUUUUGGGCGAAACAACCAAAAAAAUUGACUUUAGAAAAUUGUUUCAUCAAAAGUUAUUUCUUGCAGUUAUCAUUGUGACAACGUCACUACAAUUGCAACACAUUUCAAGCAAUUGAAAAUGUAGGAAAAUAUGUUCAGAGCACAUUAAAAAAAACUUUUUAAAAGUGAAAUGCUAUUUAUAUGAAUGAGUCAAAGUUUAAAAUUAAAUUUUAAAAAAUUUUAUUUUAAUUUUUAAAACAGAGAGUAUGAGCCAAACUCGCUCUCUUUCUGUAUUUUAUCAGAAUCACAUUUAAUAAAAUUGUAAAAUAUCAACUGUCCGCAACUUAAGUUAUUCAUAUUGUAUUGAAUUAUUUAAAAGGAUGAUCCAUUACUACAAACCUGGUUUUUCUACACUGCAAAUAAUGUUGGUAUUCUACUUUUGUUUUCUAUUUUUACCGAAAUUUUAGUAGCUUAUAGCUUUAGAGUUUGUUGAUCCAAAAUUUAAAUCAAAACAAAAGAAGGAAAAAGAGUACUAAUUAUCACUAUUCUAAAAGGCAACACCUAGGUGAGAGGCAAGCACAAAACACCCGCCUCGCACUUUUUCGUGCUUUUUUUCUUUUUUCUUUUUUUCAAGCCUAGAUGAGAUUUUUUUUUUUUUACAAUAUAUUAUUUUAUAAUUUUAUAUGUUUGGCAGGUAUUAUUUUAAAUAAUUUUCAGAUUGAUGUUAAAACAUCUUUUUGACAUGGUGAACUCGAAGAACAAAAUUAUAUGAGUCAAGCAGUUGGUUUCAUAUAUAAAAAUAAAAUCGAUUAUGUGUGCUUACAAAAAAAAAAAUCCUUAUACGUAUCAACACAGUCUCUCUGGCAGUGGAAUAAAUUAUUUGAUUAUCUUUUAUGUUAUCUUUGGACUAAGAGAAGUGAAUUUGAUCAUUGUAUACUUUAAAUCUGAAUUAUCCAAAUUUUUUUUUAUCUAUAUUCUUAUAUACGUGCAUGGUAUGUUACUUACUAGGUCUUUCAUAGUCUUAGUAAGAUUAAGUAUGCAUUGAAUUCAGAAUUUGACACUAAAGACCUUGGAAGUACCAAGAAAAUUCUAGGGUGGAUAUUGUUAGGAUAAGGCUAAUUCAAUUUUGGUUCUUAACUGCACUACAUUGUGGAACUGUCCACUGCUAGAUCCGAUUACGUUGCGCUAACAGAAGCCAUAAAGGAGUUAUCGUGGCAUAAAGGUCUGUUGGGUAAGUAGAGUUUAUUUUCUGCUCCUGUUGUGGUGCACCUGAUGCCUAGUAUGCUGUACUGUUAUUCAAGAAUCCUGUUUUUCAUGGCAGAACAAAAUAUAUAUAGAUGUAAGAAUUUCGUUUCAUUAGAGAUAUAGUGUCCAAAAAUAUGAUUCAAUUGGAUAAAUUCCAUCUCAGUUCAAUCCCUCAGAUAUGGAAACGAAACAUUACAAUUAAGCAAGUUUAAACCUUGCUUACAUCUACUUAACAUAGACACAUGUCAAGAAUAUUGUUAAAUAAGCAUUAGUUUUAGUUUUUUUCUUGCAUAUUUACUAACUUUUGUAUUGUUUUUGCAGGUAUCAGAGAUGAAUGCACAAAAUAGAGAGAAGUGUUGAUUGCACCCUUUUUUCCAAUUCUUGCUGAGAGCAAAGUGAAUAACAGUUGAGUGGUUUGUGAUGAGUUUGUUUCACUCAUGAUUUUCGUACAAUUUUAGCUUGAUUAAAUGCUAGAUUUUAUGAGUGUAGAACGUUUUUGAUGUGUUUGUUAGUGUUGUUUUGAAGAUAAGGAGAAGCAAUGAGAAAAGAAGUAUUAAAGUGGACGAAGAGGCCAAAAACACGGAAUUGAGGCAGAAAGAUGGCGCUUCGGCGCUACACUUAUAGCGCCUAGGAGCUACGAAACGAAGAAAAGAUGAAAAUUGGACCCGAGAGGCAGCGCCUAGGCGCUAUAGCCAGCACCUAGGCGCUAAAGACACAGCGCCCAGGCUCUAUAGUCAGUGCCUAGGCGCUGCGAAUGGCGAUUUAGGGCGCGUUUUUUUGAGCCGUUUUUAAAGUCAUAGAAACCCUACUUUUACAUAAAAACGUGAAGGCACCUAUAAAUACAUCCUCCUCAUACUUUUGAAGGCUUCUUGACAUAUUGGAGAGAAAAAUAACAAGGGAGAUUCAAAGGAGAAAUUUAAGAAGAUUAACACCAAGAAUUGAAGAUUGGAAGCACUCAUUGGAAGAGGAAGGAGAUCUUGGUGCAAGAAUUCCACUUUUUCUUCUACACCUUUAUUUCAAACUCGGUGAUGUAUUCUAAGACAAUCUCCUAUUUUUCUUCCAUUAUUAUGAGUAGUUAAAUUUGAUUUUAGGGCGAACAAUGUAAUCUUUUGGAACCCUUUAUUUCAUGUAAUUGAGAUUUUAGUGCUUUUAUAUUUCAUGUGUUGAUUUUAAUGUUGUUCUUAAUACAUUUAAUUACUUGAUCACUAAUUAGAUGAUUUGUGAACAAUGAAUGCGUAGAGAUGAGGAUUAUUUGUUUAGACCAUAUGUUAAAAUCCGGUAAAUUGAUAUAAUGUGUAGAGCUACCUAUAUUGAUUGACGCGGUCGUGUGUGAAUUCUUAGAACCAAUGUUUCAUUUAAUUAAAUUUAAUUUGCAUAGAGAUAUGGAAUUAAACUAAUUAAAUAGGUUCAAUGAUAACUCGAGAGGAGUAAGUUGAAUACAAUAGAAGAAUAUGACCGAACACUACCUUAGGUUUUAUGAAUCUUGAUUUAUGAAGUAAAGGUGACCAAUAGGUGAAAUUGUUCCGCCCUAACGUCCAUUUAUUGUUUGAAUUCUCAAUCACGUUUCGUUAAAUCCAAUCGCAUUUUUAAGUCUUUAGAAUAAAAAUCACAUUUAAUCAUUGUUUUUUAUUUAUAUUCGUCAAAUAGUAGUUAAAGAAAGAUUAAAUUAAGUGCUAGAAAACAGUCCUUGUGGGAUCGAUAACCAGACUCUUAGGUCGACUAUUACUUGUUACGGGUGGAACACUUGCGAAACAAAAUUAUACAACAAGUUUUUGGCGCCGUUGUCGGGGACUAUUUCUUUUAGUCUUAAUUUAUUUUUUUAUUUUGGCUAUUAUUUGAUUAGUUUAUUUUUCUUUUAUUUACAGAAAAGUGUGUUCGUUGUAUGCUCCGUGCCCAAGGCGACGAUCUUGAACCAUUUGAUUCGGAGAUAGAACGUACCUUCAGACGAAGACGCAAGGAACACAAACAAAAACAGCAACAUAAAAUGGCUGACAAUCAACAAAUCCAUAUCCCUAUUUAGCCGAUUGGGCAAAUGGCCGCAAGAGUGGUGGCACCACCAGAUCAACAGCAUGAACGAAGGGAAAUAAAUGAAGGGGAUUUGCCAGUAUCAAUGUUCCUGACACCUAUAGCAGCACCAAUGCGCUCCAGUAUCUUGUAUCCAGAUUUUGGGGUGAAUAACUUUCAGAUUGGGCCAGAUUGGAUUAACUUGAUGAGCAACACUCCGCAAUUCUACGGGCUACCUCAAGAGAAUCCAAACACGCAUAUUUCUAGAUUUCUCAGAAACUGUCAGAACUUUCAUGCUCCGGGAGUCAAUGAAGAUGCUAUUAAACUACAACUAUUCCCAUUUACAUUGAGAGAUGCUGCAUUGGAGUGGUUAGAUGCUGAGCCUCACGCUAGCAUUACUACAUGGGAAGAACUAAUCAGGAAGUUCUGUAAUAAAUUUUUUCCACCAGCGAGGGUAGCUAAAAUCAGAUUAGAAAUUCAGACUUUUCAACAGAAAGAGGGAGAAAGCUAUUACGAAGCAUGAAAUAGGUUUAAUGAGUUGAUGAGAAAAUGCCCAAACCAUGGAAUUACUAUAGGUAAUCAAGUGCAGUACUUCUACACUGGACUUACACCACUGUCAAAAUCUCAAGUCGAUGCCUCAGCUGGAGGAUCAAUUAUAGGAAAAUCUGUGCAGCAAACCAUGGAACUGUUUGAGUUGAUUGCCACUACACAUUCCAUGUUCUCAUCGGAAAGAGUGGCGCCACCGAAAACAGGAGGAAUGUAUGAGUUAGACAGCGCAGCAGCUACCAACGCCUAAAUAGUGGCAUUGACAAAACAAGUGGAGUUAUUGGUGAAAUCACAAAUGAAAGGAGCACAUGCAGUGACAGCUGGUCCAUCAUGCGAGAAUUGCGGGGCUAAUCAUCUGACAGAAAACUUCACAUCUAUAGGCUAUCCCGACGAGCAGGUCAAUUUCAUUCAGAAUAGGUCUCGAAAUUUUAAUCCAUUUGCUCAAACAUACAACCCAGGAUGGAGACAAUACCCAAAUUUCAAAUGGUCGAAUAAUCAACAAGGGAACAAUUCAAAUAAUGCCCAACAGGAGAAAAAACCAAGUUUAGGGGAGAUGUUCAACCAGCAUAUGCAGAAGACUGACAAGGUGUUUCAGCAGAUUGACACUAAUUUUUAGAAUCAGCAAGCAUCAAUCAAGAAGUUGGAAACACAAAUUGGUCAGAUAGCUCAACAGCUUGCAGAACGCCCACAAGGGAUAUUGUCAGGCAAUACAAUGGUCAAUCCAAAAGAGCAAGUGCAAGCUAUAACUACCAGGAGUGGGGUGCAACUUCCAGAAAUUCAUGUGAAGAGACCUGAGCGAAAAGAGAAGGAAAAAAUGGGUGAAGAGGCUGGGAAAGAAGUAGAGUUUGAACAACCAACUGACAAGGAAAACGAAAGGAAGGAAACACCUGCAGUGAGAGCACCCAGCCCCGUGAAGGCUUAUGUGCCACCAAUUCCAUUCCCUCAAAGGUUACACAGAAAGAAGUUGGAUAAUCAGUUUGCCAAGUUUGUGGAGAUUUUCAAGAAACUGCACAUCAAUAUUCCUUUUGCAGACGCAAUUGCCCAAAUGCCUAGCUAUGCAAAAUUCUUGAAAGAGAUCCUAUCUAACAAAAGGAAGCUGGAAGAACAUGAGACAGUAUGCUUGAACGAGGAGUGCAGUGCAAUACUAUUGAGAAAGCUACCUCCUAAGUUAAAAGACCCAGGGAAUUUCACUAUACCUUGUGAUAAGUGUGUUUUUACACACUUAUUUAGCUCACAAACAUAAUUUAAAUAUGGAAAAAGUAGUUGAAUUAUGACUUAAUCUUGUUAAAUUCAUGCUAUGUAGGUGUUUCUAUGGAAAAGAUGGAAUUCAGAAGAAAAGAGCCGAAAAAGGACCAAAACGGAACAGAGCGAUAGUUCGAGGACCAAGUUGCAAAUAAUCCAUAGAUGAGACGGGAAAUGGAAUGAAGAUUCAAGAGUGUUAAAGUUCAAUCGGAUGAGGAAAGGAGUCAAGAGGUGAAAUAUGGUCGGAGUAUUAUCAAGUAUCAAAUUUCAGGCGAAAAAGUUAUACUCGUGAUUUUGAGUCUCUACUUGAAAUCCAUUUUUGGCGUAGUAAACUUCAGAAUUUGAGGAAGCCUAUUUCUAUCAAAAGUGUAUAUCUUUAAGUUUUCUUCCCAAUUCACUUUGAAUCACUUCAAUCGGAGAUCAGGAGAGAAAGUUAUGACCAAAAUACUGAAAGCUGUUCGGAGGAAAAAAUUUAUAACCAUGCGGCCGCAUGGUUAUAAUUCCUUGCGGCCGCACAGGGUCUAGCAGGGAUCCAAAUGAGCUGAAAAAUUGAACCAUGCGGUCGCAUGGUUUAACACCAUGCGGCCGCAUGGCUUUAAGUUCGAUAAAAAAUUCUGGAAUCCCGUUUUUAAUUGAAACUCUUUCAGGGCUCCGUGGGGACAUGAUAUAAAAGCCAAAAUUCAUCAGAAAUAGGGUAGAACGUCCAGGGAGAAGAAGAAUACAACUUUUGGAGGCAAGGAACACGAACUUGAAGCGGAUUUCACAAGGAUUCAAAGGGGUUUUCAAGGUUUUAUUCAAAAUUUCAGAUUUCAAGAACUUUCAUACGGGUGUUCUUCCUUCUAUUCAUUAAUUUCGUUUUGGUUUCUGUAAUUAUGAAUCUUCCAGGCUAGGGUUUUAAUUACUAGGUGAUCGAUGAACCGUUGUUUGUUAUUUUAAUUCUAUAUUUCAUGAACUUGAUAUAAAGAUUCGUUGGAUAAUUUGAUUGAUUUACAUGCAUUAAUUUUCUUCCGCAAUUAGUGGCUAAUGAUUGUGUGAGUAUUGAUGACUUGUUUCUUUCAUUCGAGAGAAGUGGAAUAGGCUCGAUAAGGUGUAAAUUAACAUAGAGUCCGAUAGGGGAUAGAGAUAUACCCCUAUGCUUUAUGUAAUUCUUAAAUUGUUCACAAAACUACAUGCAUUCUUGUAUGUUUGCAUCAUCCAUAGAGACAUAGGCUAGUGGUGUGCAAGAAUAGGUCUAAUAUAUAUCGAGAGAGUAUAUUGGAUAGAAUUAGGAACAUUGAAUUGGCAAAUUUUCAUCGAAUCAUUAAUUUUAUGAAAUUAGGGUUUUUAUAACUUCAAUUGGGGAUUCGUGAUCCUAGUGACUUCAAUUUGAUUCAUUUUAAUAAAUUAGCUUUUAAACUUGCUUAAUUUCAUUUACUUGAGUGUUUAAGUCGUUUAAUUAGAGAAAUUUCGAAAUUAGGGUAUCUAAUUGAGAAAUUAGGGUUUUUAGUUGAAAUUAGGGUUUUUAAUUGAAAUUAGGGCUUUUUGCAUUUAGACCAUAUUUUCACUCAAUUAGAUUCGGUUAAGGCUAGAUUAUAUAGAAUUGAACUACUCAAUCUCUGAGGGACGAUAUUCGGACUUUUAAACAUCCACUUUAUUACUUGUUACGAACUGUACACUUGUGGUAAUUUUAAAUCAAAAGAAUUAUUUCGUGAACACCUUGUACAAUUGGUUCUAAUUUCUUUGAACAUUCUUUAUGUGAUUUAGGUGCCAGUGUUAAUUUGAUGCCUCUCUCUGUUUACAGGUCUCUUGGAUUAAGAGAAGCAAAACCUACAACAAUCUCUUUGCAAUUGGCCGACAGAUCGAUCAAACAACCAAAGGGAAUUAUUGAAGAUGUGCUGGUUAAAGUCGACAAAUUUAUUUUUCCGGUUGAUUUCAUCAUUUUGGACAUGGAAGAGGACUCAAAUAUUCCUCUGAUCUUGGGAAGACCGUUCUUGGCUACUGGGAGAGCAUUGAUUGAUGUGUAUGGUGGAAAAAUGAUUCUUUGAGUGGAUAAUGAGCAAGUUAUAUUCAACGUGUUCAAGGCAAUGAAACACCCAUUGACUUCCGACACUUACUGCGAAGUUGAUGUUCUUGAAGAGCUUGUGGCGGAUACAUUUGAUAUAGAGCAUCACACAAAUCUUUGUGAGGCAGAAUUUGCACAAUUGGAAGCAACAAAUGCAGGAAAAGUUGAAUGUGUUGUCAACUUAGCCGAGCAACCUAUAGGAAGAAGGCAUUGGUAGUAUGAAUCUCUAAGAGACAACCCUUCUCCCCCGGUACCCUCUGUGGAAAAGGCACCCACUCUUGAACUUAAGUCCUUACCUUCCCAUCUUCCGUAUGCAUAUUUGAGAGAAUCGUCAACACUACCAGUAAUCAUUGCAAAUGAUAUGACAAGGGAAGAUGAGAAUAAAUUGUUGGAGGUACUCAGGAAACACAAAAUGGCAAUUGGAUGGACAAUAGCAGAUAUAAGAAGGAUCAGUCCAACUCUUUGCAUGCACAAGAUUCUAAUGGAGGACGGGUAGAGGGCAUCAGUGGAAGGACAACGCCGAUUGAAUCCAACAUUGAAAGAGGUAGUGCAAAAAGAAGUGCUGAAAUUAUUGAAUGCAGGAAUAAUUUAUCCCAUAUCUGAUAGUUUGUGGGUGAGUCCUAUACAUGUUGUACCUAAAAAGGGUGGAAUCACAGUGGAGAAGAACGAGAACAACGAGCUAAUACCAACACGGUUAGUGACAACGUGGAAGGUUUGCAUAGAUUAUAGAAAGCUAAAUAAUGCAACCAGAAAAGACCAUUUUCCAUUGCCAUUCAUUGAUCAGAUGUUCAAAAGGUUGGCAGGACAUUCUCAUUAUUGCUUUCUGGACGGAUAUUCAGGGUAUUAUCAGAUAGUAAUUGCUCCAGAAGACCAAGAGAAGACAACCUUUACAUGCCCUUAUGGAACGUUUGCGUUUAGAAGAAUGCCUUUUGGUUUAUGCAAUGCACCGGCAACCUUUCAAUGAUGCAUGAUGGCUAUCUUUUCUGACAUGGUAGAAAAGUACAUUGAAGUUUUUAUGGAUGAUUUUUCUGUGUUUGGAGAUUCCUUUGACAAUUGCUUGGAGCGGUUGGCUCUUGUAUUGCAAAGAUGUGAGGAGAAGAACCUUGUGCUUAAUUGAGAAAAAUGUCAUUUUAUGGUAAAGGAAGGAAUAGUACUAGGACAUAGAAUUUCUGCACAGGGGAUUGAAGUGGACAAAGCCAAAAUACAGGUGAUUGAGAAAUUGCAGCCACCUAAUUCAGUAAAGGGGAUCAGGAGUUUUCUGGGACAUGCAGGGUUUUAUAGAAGAUUCAUUCAAGACUUUUCAAAAAUUACAAAACCGUUGUGCAACCUGCUGGAGAAAGAUAUACCUUUUCAAUUUUCUGAGGAGUGUUUGAAAGCCUUCAACAUUUUGAAAGAAAAAUUGACAUCGGCACCUGUGAUAGUGUUUCCAGAUUGGGAAUUGCCUUUUGAGCUCAUGUGUGACGCCAGUGACUUUGCAGUGGGGGCAGUGCUUGGACAACGCAACGGAAAAGUAUUUCAUGUUGUCUACUAUGCUAGCAAAACAUUGAAUGAUGCUCAGAUCAACUAUGCAACAACUGAAAAGGAAUUGCUUGCAGUUGUUUUCGCUUUUGACAAAUUCCAUUCUUAUCUGAUUGGGUCCAAGGUGAUAGUUUAUACAGACCAUGCAGCUCUGAAAUAUUUGUUUGAGAAGAAGGAUGCGAAACCAAGGCUAAUUCGCUGGGUGCUAUUACUACAAGAAUUUGACAUCGAGAUUCGUGAUAAAAAAGGAACAGAAAAUCAGGUAGCAGAUCACUUGUCAAGGAUAGAGCAACAUCAAAAUUCAGAUAAUAUGAAUAUCAAUGAGGUCUUUCCAGAUGAACAGUUACUGCUGGUAAAAAAAGCUCCGUGGUAUGCAGACAUUGUUAAUUACUUAGCCAGUGGCUAUAUGGAUCCGGAUCUCACCUAUCAGCAAAAGAAGAAGCUCAGUCAUGAAGUGAAAUUCUAUUACUGGGAUGAUCCAAAUUUGUAUAGGAGAGAGGCGGACCAGAUCAUUAGAAGAUGUGUGCCCGAGGAUGAAAUGAAACCGAUCCUCUCACGAGUACAUGCUUCGGCUUAUGGAGGGCACUUUGGCCCCACUAAAACAGCAGCAAAGGUGCUCCAAUGUGGUUUCUUUUGGCAUACAUUGUUCAAGGAUUGCCAUAGUUUCUGUAGGUCAUGCGAUAAGUGUCAAAGAACAGGUAACAUAUCAGUGCGUCACGAGAUGCCACUUAACAACAUUUUGGAAGUGGAAAUAUUUGAUGUCUGGGGGGUUGAUUUUAUGGGUCCAUUUCCAUCAUCUUACAACAAUCGGUACAUCCUGGUCGCGGUGGAUUAUGUUUCAAAAUGGGUAGAAGCUAAAGCACUGCCUACAAAUGACGCAAGGGUGGUGGUCGACUUCAUAAAGAAACACAUAUUUAACCGAUAUGGAUCACCUAGGGCAAUUAUAAGUGAUGGUGGAACGCACUUUCGCAAUCGGUUGUUCCAAGCAGUUUUGCAUAAGUACGGAGUACAACAUCGAAUUGCCACUCCUUAUCACCCUCAGACAAGUGGACGGGUGGAAACAUCAAACAGACAAUUGAAAAGAAUUUUGGAGGUCACUGUGAAUGCAUCUCGCAAGGAUUGGUCAAAAAAAUUGGACGAUGCUUUAUGGGCAUAUCGCACAGCUUACAAGACGCCUAUAGGAAUGUCCCCAUAUCGACUAGUCUUUGGGAAAGCAUGCCACCUACCAGUGGAAUUUGAGCACAGAGCGUAUUGGGUAUUGAAGCAAUUAAACAUUGACCUCGAAAAGGCUGGAGAAACAAGAGUACUACAGGUACAUGAGUUGGAGGAAUUCAGAAGAGAGACAUAUGAGAAUGCAUCCAUCUAUGAGGAAAUGACAAAGCAGUGGCACGACAAGAACAUCAGGCAACAAAUUUUCCGAGUAGGGGAUCAAGUGCUAUUAUACAAUUCCCGGCUUAAACUUUUCCCAGGAAAAUUGAAGUCUCGAUGGUCCGGCCCUUUUACGGUCUCUCAGGUGUUUCCCUACGAGACAGUUGAAUUACACCAUCCAACUAAAGGAAAUUUCAAAGUAAAUGGUCAACGCAUCAAGCAUUAUGUGUAAGAUUUUCCCACCGCUAAAGAGAGUCUUGAUCUAGCUGUUCCCGAAUAACUGCGGCACUACGUCCAGCUAAUGACUUAAAAGAAGCGCUUCUUGGGAGGCAACCCAAGCUCUAUUCUUUAUUUGAUUAUUAGUUUAUGCUUUGAUUUUGUUUUCUUCCGUUAAUAAUUUAUAUUAUCGUAGUAACUCUUCUCUUUUGCUUUUGUAGGAGAAUCUAUGAAGGUUACAUAUUGCGAAAUUUGAGCUCUACAAUGAAAAUGAAUGAGUGUGAAAAAGGGUCAGAGGUAAUAAAAAAAAAAAAAAAAAAUUUACAAAACGAGGUAGAAACUCAGCGCCUAGGCACUAGGAUCUGCCUAUUUUGGCAGAAAUGCAGCGCCCAGGCGCUGCGUCUGUGCGUUUUGGGCAGAAAGCGCUGCGAACCUGACCUUCCCCCCCCCCCCUUUUUAUUUUAUUUUUUUCUUCCUUUCUUUUCUAUUUCUUAUACCCAAAACCCCCAUCCCUCCUCAUACGAUUUUCCCUAACCCUCUUUCCCUCUCAUCUCUUCCCUCUCCCCUCUCAUCUUCUUCCCCUAACCCUUGCCUUUACUCUUUUUCAUCUCCCCCUCAACCCCUCCAAGGUACACUCUUCCCCUCUCUUUCUUUUUUUUAGUUUUGUUUUUGGUUAAAUUUAUUUUAUCACCUCUCCCACAUCAUAUUUCUUUCAAUUCCACAUUUUUUUGCCCCCCUCCCACUCCCACUCCCACUCCCCUUUGUUGUUUUUCCACAUCUCUUUGUUGAUAAGUGUGAAUUCAUCCAUCCCAAUUAGUUUCCACAACACCAUUCUAGGUAUCGCUUUUGUAUUUGCUCCUCUUACAUUAUAGUUGUUGCGUUUAUGUGCCUAUUUUUGUUAAUUAUGUUACGAGGAGGGCUUGCCUUGUUGUAGUGUCAAGAACUUUGUGUGUGGUGCGAAUAUUUUGGCAUGAAUUACUCCCAAAUUAUAGGCAAGUUUUUGGUGGAAAUUUGGUGCAUUCAAUGUGUUUGAUGAAUUGUCUAGGUGAACUUAGUUGGGUACAAGGAGCUGUUUUGGCUAUUGUGCUAAUUGAAUUAUGUGGGAAUUGCCAUGUAGAUGAUUAUGAAUUGAAAAUUGGGUUUAGAGUACAUCUAUUACACGUUCGACCAUAGUUUCCUCUUAUGGCUAGAUUUUUAGCCUUGCCUUAUUUUCCUUUAUUACUGUUUUUGCUCAUGGUUUGCUUGUUCUACCCUUGUACAGGUCCAAUGCCGCCUAAAAAGAGAUCUAAAGCCGCAGCCUCCUCUUCUAGCUCAUUUGACAGGAGCAAAUUCAUUAGUGCUGAGGCCGCUGAACGUUAUAAUAGCUUGGUGGUACACAAGACUUGUAUUCCUAAACGUGGUUUUGACAAUUAUAUGACAGAGCAAAUAGGUCGGUGGAAUUGGGAGGUGUUUGCUCGACAACCACGACCGGCGCUAAUUCCGGUUGUUAGGGAGUUCUACGCUAAUGCGAAGGAGCAUCGAGAUUUUCGAGUGUUUGUGCGGGGUAAAUGGAUACCGUUUGAUAGAACCUCCAUCAACAGGUUUUAUCAUUUGUAAGAUAUUGAAAAUGACGAGUACUCUAGACUUCAUGAUGAGGGUGUUGAUCCUGAUGAGGUUAUUCAAGCCUUGACUACAACUGGCACAACAUGGAAACGUUCGGAGACUGAUGUAAUUAACUUCCCUGCUUCUGGUAUGACUUCGGGUUGUAAGGCUUGGCACCACUUCAUUUCUGGUAAACUUAUUCCCAGUAGCAACUUAAGUGAAGUAACAAAGGAACGGGCGACCCUCAAUUAUGCCAUUCAGUGCCGCCUAUCCAUAGAUGUUGGUAAAGUUAUUCACAACAACAUCUUACAUACUUGGAGAGGAUCGACUACCGGUGGUCUAGGGCACCCUUCGUUGAUCUAUGAGCUUUGCUUAGCAGGUGGUGUCGUCACAUACCCGACUGAGGAGGUUGUGCACCCCAAACCGGCUAUUACACGAGUGCGUACUUGGAAAUUCAUACGCCGCUUCGAAUCCACCAGUGCUCCACCCCCUCCUCGGAGCGACCAGCCGCCCCGUUCACGUCGAUCGACACCAGCUAGUGAUCCUACUUCUGCCCUUGCCACUCAGCUUCAUGACAUGCAAUUGCAAAUGAAUUUGAUGUAAAAUACCUUGUGCGAGCAAUUCCAUUAUCAACAUGAGUUCAACGCGGUAUUGGCUUCGAUGUACCCUGAUCGAACAUUUCCUCAGCCGCCUCUCCUACCUGAUCACACUGCCAAUCCUAUUCCGAAUACCUAGGACGACGAUGUCGAGGACGACGAUUAGUCGUCGUCCGUCAGGUAAGUCCCCUCCCCAUUUUGUUUCUAUUUCACAUUGAGGACAAUGUUUCCGUUAAGUUUGGGGGAGUGUGAAUAUUUUGCUUACAUUGUUGAGUUCCUCGAAUGCUUAUGUGUGAUUUGCUUGUUUGAAAGAAUAAAAAAAAACAUUUCGUGUUUUUUUUGCAUGCUUGUGUGUGUUAGAUAACCUUACUGGUAUUGAUAUGUGUAAUUGAGAACAUGCGUUGAUUUAUGAAUUGUGGACGAGUUAUGUGUUUGAGUUAGAGUUUUGCUUAUUCAUGUGAAAUGGAAAUUAUUUUUUGCACGUGAGUUGAUUGUAGCGUUGUACAUGAGGAGGUUGAUUCACGCUUAUAGGUUGAAAUAGAGAACUUAGAUGCUAACCUAAACAACCAUUAAACAUCACAAUAUCUUAAACCAAAUUUAGGAUGUUUGGAUGAUUGCACUGUUGUAGGAAAACUUGAAGACAAAUGUGGAUUUCGUGUGUGUUAAUUUUUGUGUGGACUGUCUGAGACUAAUGGGAUAAAAAUUGGGUGAAAACCUUAAGUUAGAGGUCGAUUUUCGAGGAUAGGUGUUUAAUAAGGGGCAUUGCACUAAUCACCGAAUAAAAAAAAUCCCAAUGAGAACAACUUUAAUAAUCUCAUUGUAAAUCGUCUCUUCGUAGCCUUUAUGACUCGAGUGAUUAAGCCUAUAAGGGUUUAAAAUCUGGUGCCCUGAAGUCAUCUGAUUUGGAAGUCAUCGACCUAAAGCUCACUACAGGGGUCAUUUAGAAAGUUUAAGGGAGAGACGUCCGCACAAAGAGUGAUUAAAGAAUAAAAAUAUAUAUGAAAAUAAAAAAAAGAAGUUAAUUAAGCCCCGAACACUUGUUUUAGAGGAUUAGACCUUUGAUAAGGGGUAAGUAACUUGGUUGAUUCCUAGAGGUUGAAGCAGUCAAAAAUAAGGAGAAUUCUCAUUUGUUGACAUGUGGAACUACAAUCAGUAAAAUCUAACCAAACUUGAGUGGUGUAAGAAAUUAGUAUGGAAAAUUUAACCUUAGGUUACACCCUUGGAAAGAGAAAAUAAAAUAAGUUUGGGGGUGUGUGAAUCCCACGAGCAAAGUAAGGAAAAUUUUGACUUCUAAGGUUGGGAAUUGGGUCAACUUAUUAUUGUACAGCGUUGCACUUGACUCUCCACACACACAUACACCCGUUUUGCAUUGAAUAAGCGAGAAUUUAACUUUUGCAUUAUAGCUUUGAAGUGGUUCAUGGAAUCGAAGUUAUGUUUUUAAUUCUAAGACAUGAAGGCAAGUUAUCUAGCGAAAUUUAUUUUUAGUGAUUUUGUUUGUCUUGAUUGUGCUUGUGUGUCCGUUAAUUAUUCUUAUGGGUUGUAGUGUUUGCUGGAGGACUAGCAAAUGGUUAAGUUUGGGGGUAUUUGAUGAGUUUGUUUCACUCAUGAUUUUCGCACAAUUUUAGCUUGAUUAAAUGCUAAAUUUUAUGAGUAUAGAACGUUUUUGAUGUGCUUGUUAGUGUUGUUUUGAAGAUAAGGAGAAGCAAUGAGAAAAGAAGUAUUAAAGUGGACGAAGAGGCCAAAAACACGGAAUUGGGGCAGAAAGAUGGCGCUUAGGCGCUACGAAACGAAGAAAAAAUGAAAAUUGGACCGGAGAGGCAGCGCCUCGGCGCCACAACCAUAGCGCCUAGGAGCUACCAGCAACGCCCAGGCGCUCAAGACACAGUGCCCAGGCGCUGGAACUCUCUAACUAUCAUUAGAGAGCUCUUAAGAGCCCUUCUAGAAAGGGCUUGCUUUACCUGAAUACUAUCUUAUAGUAUUCACUCUAUAAGCCCCUACGGGGACCGCCGGAGUGAGGGCUGCCUACUCCCUCUGGUUCACCUCCUGGGAGCUUCCAGAAUGGAGAAAUCUAUCAAUUUUCCAUGCGAGACGCACUGAUCAACAACUAAAACAUUGUUUUAGUCGAGUUAGUUGUCUUGUACCGCCUAGGCGCUGCGAAUGGCGAUUUAGGGCGCGUUUUUUUGGACCGUUUUUAAAGCCAUAGAAUCCCUACUUUUACAUAAAAAUGUGGAGGCACCUAUAAAUACAUCCUCCUCAUACUUUUGAAGGCUUCUUGACAUAUUGGAGAGAAAAACAACAAGAAGGGAGAUUCAAAGGAGAAAUUUAAGAAGAUUAAUACCAAGAAUUGAAGAUUGGAAGCACUCAUUGGAAGAGGAAGGAGAUCUUGGUGCAAGAAUUCCACUUUUUCUUCUACACCUUUAUUUCAAACUCGGUGAUGUAUUCUAAGACAAUCUCCUAUGUUUCUUCCAUUAUUAUGAGUAGUUAAAUUUGAUUUUAGGGCGAACAAUGUAAUCUUUUGGAACCCUUUAUUUCAUGCAAUUGAGAUUCUAGUGCUUCUAUAUUUCAUGUGUUGAUUUUAAUGUUGUUCUUAAUACAUUUAAUUACUUGAUCACUAAUUAGAUGAUUUGUGAACAAUGAAUGCGUAGAGAUGCGGAUUAUUUGUUUAGACCACAUGUUAAAAUCCGGUAAAUUGAUAUAAUGUGUAGAGAUACCUAUAUUGAUUGCUGCGGUCGUGUGUGAAUUCUUAGAACCAAUGUUUCAUUUAAUUAAAUUUAAUUUGCAUAGAGAUAUGGAAUUAAACUAAUUAAAUAGGUUCAAUGAAAACUCGAGAGGGGUAAGUUGAAUACAAUAGAAGAAUUUGACCGAACACUACCUUAUGUUUUAUGAAUCUUGAUUUAUGUAGUAAAGGUGACCAAUAGGUGAAAUUGUUCCACCCUAACGUCCAUUUAUUGUUUGAAUUCUCAAUCACUUUUCGUUAAAUCCAAUCUCAUUUUUAAGUCUUUAGAAUAAAAAUCACAUUUAAUCAUUAUUUUUUAUUUAUAUUCGUCAAAUAGUAGUUAAAGAAAGAUUAAAUUAAGUGCUAGAAAAUAGUCCUUGUGGGAUCGAUAACCGGAGUCUUAGGUCCACUAUUACUUGUUACGGGUCGUACACUUGCGAAACAAAAUUAUACAAUAGUUUGGCUCGACAAAUUCUUUUCCCAACUCGGUCUUUGAUAUCAUCGAAGACUCUCUCAACUUAUUAUGAUUUGCUUCAAUUAGAGAACCCCUAUAUGACUAAGAGUCAUUUUGAUUGCUAAAAUGGAAUUUGUGUGGAAAGAAAAUGAAUUGUAGGGAAUUAAAUUACUUAAAACUUGUUUUAUUGCGAAUUCUCAAUUAAUUGUGUUUGAUUAAUAUAAUUUUCCACCUGGAAAAUGUUGAAAUUAAAAUAGUUUUUGGUGUUCGUUUGAUUUUGUUUUUCAUGUAAAUUUCAAUUAAAAUGAUAGAAUUUGUUACGAUUGGAAAUAAAAUUUGUUUUCAUUGCCAAAAAACAAAAAAGAAAAAAAAACCAAGAAAACCAAAAAUCAUUUAUCUUUUGGUAUUCGUUUGGCUUUGUUUUACAUGAAAAUUGUCAAUUAAAAAGAUAUAAUUUUUUACAAUUGUUCCUAGAAUUUGUUCAAUUCCCCAAAGAAAAAAAAAAAUAAAAAAAUGUGGAACCUGGAAAACUAAAAACCACAAGAAGAAAAUCAAUUCCUUAAAAUGGUGGAAAAAGGGGUCACAUGGGGUGUUGCUAAGAAAACCAAAUGCCAAGAAAAAUUGUUCAAUCAAACAAGCAAAAAUGUGGAAAAUAGAUUUUCAUUUCCUACUUCUAUGAAAAAUUUGUACAAUCAAACAGGAACUAAAAGUUCUUCAGGGCCUCGUGAGUACAAUUUCUCCUCACGAAAACUAAGUUAGGUUCACUUGCAGAGAAUGAUGGGGAAAAUGGGGAUAUAUUAAGAAUGAGCCAAUGUAAGAAUGCAAUCCUAUUCUAGAGGUCAUGUGGAUCCCUUAAUAUUUAAUAUUUAUAGAUGUUCGGGCGCACUGGUUUUGAAGAUUUUUUUAUCAUUAAUAACUUUUUGUAUAUUCAUUAUUAUUAACUUAAUAUAUAUAUAUAUACACACACACACAAAAAAUAAAAAAUUUUAAGGAUAGAAAUGUAAACCAAAUUAGGGUAUAUUAGGCCUAUAGCUAAACAUAUAAGAGUAAAAUUGAUAUUCAAAUUAUUAUUAUUACUAUUAUUUUUUAUGGUUUUUGGAACUAUGCCAUCUUAUUAUAUUUGUACAUAAAAUAAUAAUUUACAACAAUUGUCUGUCUUUAAUAACUUUUUAUCUGUAUUAAAUGAUUUCGUUUAAUAGUAUAUAACUGGAAAUCUAUUAUUAACUUAUUAAUGUUUUUAUUUAUUAAUACAUAUGGAAGUUUAAAUGAGGACAGUUGACAAGGAAAAAAAAAUUUAAGGACAAAAUUGUAAACCAAAAUGAGGGUAUAUUGGGCAUAUAAUUAAAUAUAGAAGUUUAAAAGUGGUAUUCAAAAGUUUCUAGUCAAUCUUUCAAUAUUUCAUUUGAAAAUCAACCUGAAAGAUGAGAACCAUAUUUAAUUUAAUAUUAUAAGUUGUAAAAUUAACUUAAUGAAUGAAAAUUAGGAAGAUUAAAAUAGUUGACAAAAAAAUUAAGGACAAAAAAUUAUUAAGCAACUAAGGGCAUAUUGGACUUAACGUGAAUGUAAAAUAUAAAUUUUAGUACCAAGGUGGACAUAAUAAUACAACCUCUCAAUUUUUUCUUGUAAUUCUUUUUGUGAAAUAAUAAUUAUUUUAUAGGAAAUGAGUGUAAUUGGCUAUUGUAAGAUUAAUAACUUAAUGAUGUUAAGGAAAAAAAAAAACUUAAUGGUUUAGGGGAUUAUUGACAAAUUGAAAAGAAAAGUGAUUUUUUAAUUUCAUGUUGAAUAAAUUGAAUUAAUGUUAUUAUUUAAUCAACAACAAAAUUAAAAUUAAAUAAGUGUAUAUUUGAUCAUAUAUCUAAAUAUAUAAAUUGAAUUAAUGUUGUUAAUAAAAAUUAAAGUAAUGUUAAAAAGAUUAAUUUUGGGAAUUAUUGACAAAUGGAAAAAGAAAAGUGAUUUUUAAUUUAAUGUUGAAUAAAUUGAAUUAAUGUUAUUAAUUAAUUAUUAACAAAAUCAAAAUUAAAUAAGUAUAUAUCAGACAUAUAAUUUAAUAUGUAAGGAUAAAAUUGACAGUCAAAAGUUUUUCCUCAAUUCUCAAUUUUAAUGUGUUGUAGAUAGACGUGGAUAGGUCAAUCUAUCUAGUCUUGAAUAGUUUAUAUAUAUAUAUUAUCUCUGCCCUGUACCAACUUAAAAAUAUGAAAAGAUAUCGCCUGGGUGAAGCAGAAGCAUAUCACCUGUACAGUGUUAUGCUUAAACAAUCUUGCCCCACAGUAGGGUUGGUAACAGUUCGGUUAUGGGUCGGUUCGGCCAAAAUCAUAACCGCAUCACCAAUUUUUUGAUCAUACCAUAACCGUACCAUAACCAUAUAAAUCGGUUCGGUUUGGUUCGGUUCGUAUCUUGGUUCGGUACUGUUCGGUUUGGUUAAUAACUACGAAAAUAAAUUAUUUUUUAUAAGUUCAUCCGUCAAAUUGAUAUAAAAUAAUUUAUGAAAAAAGUCAAUGAAAACAAUAACACAAUAUAUUGUAUUCGACCACGCCUCGGAUUUGGCUCAAGUCUAUACUAUAAUCAGCACUGAUUGAAUUUAUCCUCUUUUCGAAAAAAUUUGAAACAAUUUCUGUAUCAAAUCUUGAAAAUGCGUCCCUGGAAUUGGAUAUAAAAUACAAUCAAUUUACAGAUACAACAAAAAUGAUUGAGAUGAAAUUUUUGUUCCAAUAAUCUUGAUUAAGAAGGCCCUCACCUAAGGUCCUAUCUUUUCUUUAAAACUGAAGUCCAAUCUGAUUCAAACUGAAGUCAUGUGGAAAAUUUUCUGGAGGCGACGACGGCUUGGACUGUGGAGGUAGUGGAGCCGUUCGUGAGUUUGUGGUUUGUGGAAAGUAGGGUUUACAGUUAUAUACUGUCAUACUAAUAUUAUUAUUAUGGGAUAAUUGUAAGUGGGCUGGCCGGUUGGAUCAAGUAAAUGUAAUGGAGGAAUUUUGUUUUGGGUUGGAUAGAAAAAUAGUGUAAAGCCCAAUAAUCAAUUCAUUUGUUUUUUUUUUAGCAGGUAAUCGGUUCGGUUUCGAUUCGACGGCGUAAAUAUCAUACCCGCACCACCAUGAACCGGUUCAUUAUAAUCAAAUACCAUAUCCGCUCUAUUGUACCAUGGUUCGAUUUUUUUCGCCCCAUUCGGUUCGGUUAACCGCGAUUUUUGGUUUUGACGGUCUAAAUUGCCAUCCCUACCCCCCACAGGAUUAAUUUGCGCACAUAAUAUUAGGCUAUGAUCUACAAAAAACAUUGUGUUCAUAAAUUGUAGCCCAAAGAAACUCUGCAUUUCUCUUCAAUUAUGAACUUUUUAUUGCAUUCUCUAUUUUAUGUGGAUUCUGGCUUCUAUAUGCAAACCGUUUCGUUCUUCCUCAUUUUUUUUUUUUUUUUUUUUUUUUGGCCGUUCUCACUGGUGUCCUUAUCCUAACAAAUAUUUUGAUCUUAAAUCUUUCUAAACUCUUGUAACUUCUUGAUGGAGAAAAAAUUGUUUUAUGCACCAAAUAAUAAACUGUCACAUAUAUGCUAUACGUAAGACAACUAUCAAUAGUCCUCACUAUAAAUAGCAUAUCUCUUUCCUUAAAUGUAACUAAUCUCAUAAUUGAAUCUAAAUUGUGAAAAUGUUAAAAGUCGUUAGUCAAAUGCUUGUUGAGUAUAUUUAGGUUAUGUUUGAUCCCCAUGUUCUAAAACUCAUUUUCUGUAAAUCAUCUAUUCUGCACAUAUAUCUAUAACUAUUUUCUACUUUUUAAUCACAUAUUCUUAAAAAAAAAAAAAAAUAAUAAUAAUAAACUCUUCUACAAAAUCUAUUAUAAAAACAUCUCCACCAAAAGGGUAUAAUAGUAGUGUCAUGUUUUAUUAUUGAUUCUGCCUUUUUACAUGCUAUCUUCGGAAAGAGAUUAAAAAAAAUUUCAAUUCAUUUUAUAGAUAGCCUGUACAAUUUAAAUAUAAUCCUGACUGAAAUAAAGUUUUCUCUCCCUCAUUGUAAUAUAUAGUAUUCUUAAGUAAUGAUUAAUUUACAUUUUUCAUUAGCUUAAUUAUUGUCCCAAAAUGCAAAACUAGAAAUGGCUUCACUACUGGAAAAAGGAUAUUUUACAACUGACGUUUCAACAACCAAAUCAAUUAGAUUAUUAAAAACUGUUUUCAACUUUUAAAAGAUAAGUUUGGUUGUAGAAAAAUAGAAGGUGAAAAAUCGAAUUUUGAAUUAGUUGAAAAUAUGUUAUAAUGACUAAAAAAUUGGUUGUUAAUCCUAUAUUUUCUCCGACUAAAUUAAAAUUGAUUAUUUAGAGUGGGUGCCAAAUCAAGAAAUAUUUGUUGAUAUUCAAUGACAACGUAAUCAUUUGUUAGAAACACAAAUAAUAUAUUAAAUAUUCAAUGACAUAGUUUCUUGUCAUUAAUAUAAAUAAACUAACAAACUAAUUGUAUCUCAUUGUUGGGAAUAGAGAAAAACUCGACACUCAACAACUAGUAGUUAAUUGUUAUAAAGAGCGAUGUUCAAAGACCAAAUAGUUUUAGUUGUUGAAAGUAGACAACCAUGGAAGGAGCCAUGUGAGGAGCCCGCACUGAAUUUUUAGGCCCAAACAAUUUAUUUUUUAUUUUUUUAUUUUUUAUCCCAUGAUUUUGCUUGAUUUUAGAUAUAUGUUGAUUUGGACUUCACUUGUCAAAAUAUGAAAACUUGCAAGGAACACGUUUAAUUAUAAACUAUGUCAUUUUUAGAUUUUUAUUUAUUUAUUUUUUAUCUUCAUUAAAUUUAUCCCCAAAAUUCAAUGGUCGACGUGUAUUAAAUUAUGCCCGCACUGAACAAAUUUCCUGGCUCCGCCCCAAUGACAACAACCUAGCUAGUUACCAACUCUAAUUUUGUCACCAACAACUCUUUGAAUGCCAACUGAUAUAUUUUUAAUUGUUGAAUAUAUUUGCCAACACCUUUUUGCCAACCAACCAAAGACCAACUAAUUUAGGUCAUUGAAUGUGAUCAAUGAAUAAAAAUGUAUAAUCUACGAUCAUUUAUAUGGUCGUUGAAUGUGAGAUUUUCUAUAUUGUGUCCCUAAACAAAUUUCUUUCAUUUUUUUAGAAACGUGAAAUCACAACCACUUAAGUCCAAAUAAAUUAAAAAAAAAAUCCCGAAAUACUUCAACAAAGCGUACAAGCAAGAAGUAGAAAACCUAGCUUUCACAUAAGACAUGUAUUUACAAGGAUGCCUUCAAUUGAGAUUUUAAUGGAUUUUAUUAAAAUUCAUUAGAAUCUCGAUGUUUCAAACUAAGAUUUUUACUGCAUAAACCUGGAUUUAUAGGCUUUCAUUGAUAAAGGAAUUUCAAAAGAUUUGGAUGAAUUUUCAAGUUAAAAAUACACAUAACAAACAUUUUCGAAUUUCACUAUUUUUAAUAAGAUUCUUAUGAUUCCACGGGGAUAUUAUGUGCAUAAGGUCUCGUGUGCCAAAACAAAAAAGGAAUUUUGAUACAAAUGGCACUAAAUGGUGUAAAAUGACUAUACAUUAUUUAUUUAAAAUUAAAAUGGCAUUCUUACAAUUUACAGUGACAAAAUGACUUGUUCUUUAAUUCCUUAUUUAAAAAGGUCAUUUUUAUGAAUGGGAUUUUUAUGCAGAAAUAGUCAAAAUUGACACUAACAAAAUAAAAAUCAAUAUUAACUCCGUCAAAUAGAGUGAUAAACUGAUAAUACUGUCAAUGGAUCCCUAAAUUUGCUUUUGCUUGGCAUGUUUGACACAAUUGAGGACACUGGAGGCUGCCAAUAGCCGAAGGUUGCAUGACGUUUGAGCUCAAGGGAGAGAAAUGUUAAGUGGUAUAAAGAGUCUCUUUCUCAGUGCUCUUUGUUUUAUCUGUUGGUACUUGGUAGUGCUAAAAUCAUGUCUCAUUUUCCCGAAAUCGUACUUGAAAACAUAUGAAGAAGCAUAAAUAACCUGAAUUAAUUUUCCACACUGUUGGGUGGAAAUGAAUAUAAGCAAAGAGCAAGGUCGAGGUGGAAUUAAAUGCAAAUUAAAGGCUCGUAGAGGUUUGACCAUCAUAUAUUAAACUCUAGUCCUAGUGAGAUAGCAUAGAUGCAUAUUGACAAGUCCACUUACCUUCGUUUUAUUUAAAAUUUGACGUAACAACAAAAACUGUUUAAAUAUAAUUCACCCUUUUAAAUACUUAAAUAGAACAUUUGACCCUUGAUUGACUUUGAUCAAUGCAAUGUUAGUUCUUGUGACUCUCAUCCGUACCAAUUUACUCUGUUCAUGAGUUAUAAGACAUAUGUGUGGAAAAAUUUCAUCAAAGGCUCCUCACCUUUACAGUUUGUGCAAAAUGAUCCCCCAACUUUUAUAUUUUGAGACUUACAUCCUUAACUAUUUACAAUUGGAGCAGGCAUAAUCUUUUUGAACAGAUUCUGUGCAAUUUGUUAUUAAAAAGAUUAAAAUAUGAAGUUUGGGUUGGAAAUGGUUUUAAAUUAGCGAAAUGGUCAACUUUGUUAGGUUUAAUGUAAUUGGGAUUCUGUGAAUGAAAAGAACUAAAUUGAACAUGUGUAAAAGUCAAGGGGUUAAGUGCAAUUUUUUAUAGAUGAGAUAGGUAGGUGAGGGUUGGAGGGAGUAAGGAAGGAAGAGUCGUGCAAUUUCACUCGCCUCUCGCCAAAACAUUGCUCGAGUGACAAAAAUAGAAUGUCCGUUGCUCGCCUGUCACCCGGACUUCGCACAAGUGACAAACCCUUCACUUGCUUGUCACUAUCCCUUCGCUCGAGCGACAAAGGUAUGUGGGAAUAUCAGAUUCGCGUUUUUGGAGAGAGUCCAUACUACCUAAAUACCUCCUACUAUAAAUACCCAAGCCUUGCACGAUUUUCAGUGUAGCUGUUCAUUGUGCCUCUCAUUGAUAAUAUAUUUAUAUUGUGUCAUAAAGAUCCAAAAACAUAUUCAACCCUUGACUCAAUCCAUUCUUUCUUAAGAUCAUACAACCAAAAAUUGGGAAAUGUACUUUCUUAAUUGUAGCUUCAAAGACUACUGAAGAUUGAGGAAGGUUGGAUUAUAAGUGCAAGAAGAAGAACGAGAAUUGGUGAUUCUUGGAUAUCUACUUGGAAGAGACAACUAGAAGAUUGGGAAGCCGGUGGAGUCAGCAGAUCUUGAAAAUUAUAGGAAGUAGAUUCAGAAGUUUAGUGGAAUUAGCUAGGCAACAUCUACUAUAAGGUUCAUUAUCUAUAGUGGAGGUAACUGGUUUAUCUCAAAAUUUUUACUCAGUUGGGUUUCUCCGUCAACAAUCAUUGUGUUCUUUACUGCAUUCCUAUUACAAACUACAAUAUUCAAACAUAGGGAAAUUGACCUGUAUGCUUAAUCAUUUAGAAACUAUUAAAAAGUAAUUUGUUGCUUUUACUAGAAUAAUUUUGUAUGUAAGGUCAAACUAAAUCGGCUAAAGAAGAACUCUCAAACUUUGUGCUUAAAUUUCAAUAGGAUCCAUACUUUGAUUUCAAUGGAACGUUCUGCUCCACGAGAUGAUUAAAGUAAUAUCUUUACUCAUCGAAAGCCAUUUAGAAUUGAAUAAAAUAUUUGAUUGGAAAUCACUACACUUAUCCCACAUAGGAAAGUAAGGAAACUUUGAUAUGGUUUAUAUAAUGGAGUUUGGCAAUUGAGUUUAGGCCCUAAAGAGUACUAAUAAUCUUUGAAAGAAAGGAGAGACUGGUUGAUCUGUACGACACAUGCCCAAGUCCAAUCCAGUUCGUGUAUAGGUGCGGAUAGGUACUUGUCCUGUAUAUCUUUUUGGACAAACUUUAUUUAAAUUUUUGGACCAAAUUGUACUUAAUCAAAUUCUUGGGUACUUAAUGAAAUUAUUAUUCCCUACCCUUGGCUUUUUUGGGUUUUUUUUUUGGGUCAUCUGUUAAUCGACUUAACGACGUUUGGGCUGUCUGUUAACCACUUAGCAUAAGAAGUAUUUUAAUCUGAACAUAAUUGUCUAUUUGGAUUUUGGAAGGCUAUCUGAAUAGUGACGACUGUUCUAAAAAAUCUUGAAGGUUGUUCGGUUUCAAAGGAUCUAUAAAGAGCCUGUCCUGUCGCUAGAAAAUUCAUACUAAUUUCAUUGCUAGUAUUCUCUGAUUCAACGGUAAGCCCUUUUCUGCCUUAUGUUUUAUUCCAUUUGAUGGUGUACAUAUAUAGGAAAAAUAUGUGUCCUAUUUAGGCUAUACACAAUUGGUGCCAAGAAUCAUGGUUGACCCGUUGAUAAUGGGGAUGUACAUUGAUUGGUUGUAUUUCCUAUUUUGGUUUCUAACAGCUCAAACUAGCACUCUCCCUCAAGUUGAUACAUAUAGAUCUUUGAUGUUCAACUUGUCGAGAGAGUUGUGGAACUCUUUACUUGAUACUCCCUUUGUGAGUAUGUUUGUUAGUUGCUCUUUGGACUUCACAAAUGGGAGUCUAAUUAUCUUUGUAUCUAGGUUUUCCUUGACAAUAUGUCAAUCCGCUUACACAUGUUUUGUUAAAUCAUGUUGGAUUGGGUUGUACGCUAUGGUAAUAGUGGCUUUGUAGUCACAAAAUAGAUCAAUCUUGGAUGUAGGGCCAAAGCUAAUUUCUAUAAGCAACCUCUUAAUCCAAACAAGUUCACAAAGUCCUUUUGCUAUUCCAAAAAAUUCAGCUUUGAUGCUUGACAGUACCGCCACUUUUUGUUUCUUACUUCUCAAUAUAACAUGAUUCUCGCCAACAAAAGUAAAAUAACCUGAGGAGGAUUUUUUGUUUGAUAAGUUUCCAGCCUAGUCUGCAUUUAUAUAGCCUUUUACUUGUAAUUGACUUCUCUGUUUUGCAUUUGUAUUCUUUGCGAACAUGAAUCCUUUUCUUGGUAAGGAUUUUAGGUAUUGGAGUAUUCGAGUUAUAGCUCUCAUGUGAUCUUCACUCAAACUGUGCAUGAAUUGACUAACCACACUUAUAGUAUAUGCAAUAUCUGGACGAGUAUGAGAGAGGUAAAUUAGCUUACCAACUAACCUUUGGAACUUCCCUCUAUCCGUUGGAACUUGGUAUGGAUGUUAGUAAGUUGAUGGUAUUGUGCGAUUGGAGUGUCCACCGAUUUGCAUUCCAACAUUCCUACCUCAGAUAAUAGGUCCAACACAUACUUUCUUUGGGAGAGAAAUAUACCUUGUUUCGACCUGGCCACUUCAAUUCCCAAAAAAUAUUUGAGCCCUCCUAAGUUCUUCAUUUCGAACUCAGUUCCCAAUUGUUUCUAAAGUCGAGAUAUUUCUUCUAAAGUCCAGAUAUUUCUUCUUCAUCAUCCCCUGUGAUAAUCAUAUCAUCUACAUAAACUAUUAGUGCAGUUACCUUGACUGAUUUGUACUUUAGAAACAAUGUAUGAUUUGAGUUACUCUGUUUAAAUCCAUAUUUCUUCAUUACCAAAUUGAACCUCCCAAACCACACUCGAGGUGAUUGGUUCAGUCCAUAUAGUGCUCGUUGCAGCUUGCACACCACUUUGGUGCCUGAAGAUGUUGUGUAACCUGGGGAGAGGUCCAUGUAUACUUCUUCUUCGAGGUCACCGUAGAGAAAGGCAUUCUUAACAUCCAGCUAAUGUAAUUGUUAGUUGAGAUUAGCUGCAAGAGAUAAGAAUAUCUUGAUGAUAUUCAAUUUAGCAAUUUGUGAAAAAAAUUCGUGGUAGUCUACCCCACAUAUGAUGUGAUAUGGGUUUCACCAAAACAAACCAAAGCAUUGGAGUUUGAUUGGAAGAAACCUAAACCAAGUUCGCGUCUUCGGGAAGCUAAUACGGGUGGUACAAUUGAUGGAUCAAGGCAUGGAGCAUACUAUGUUGAAGUUCAUGAGCUAAGUGACAACUUUCAUGUUGGGGUCGAAGUCCGAAAGCCUAUGAAACAACGUGAUUCAAUCAGCCGAAGAAGGGACUAAACCAUAACUCCAAGCGACCGCAUCGUGUCGCAGGCAUGCGGUCGCACAGGUGGCUAUUGAAACUCGAGAGGCGGCAAUAUCUUCAACCAUGCAUUCUACCAUGUGGUCGCAUGGGCAAAACUGAAGAGGGGAAUUUCCAAUUUUUGCGAGAAUUUUAAUUUGAUUCAAUUUCUUAUUUUUGGCAAGUUUCAUUAUUUUAGGAUUUUAAAAUUUUGUGGUUUCCUUGUUUCUUAGGGUAGUAUAAAUUAUUUUCUAUCUUUCAUUAUUGAACAGACUUUGAUUUGAGAAUUAAUUCAGAGAGGCGAUUUGCUCCCAAACCUUUAUUCUUCGGGACUUUGAACUUACCAAGGGAUCUGGUUGGGAUUUCUUGUGGCAUUCGGAACCUUGGGUGAGGUUCUUAAAUUGUGUAAUUAUGAGGUCUUCGAUUUAAUAUAUCGUUGGUUGCCUAAUUCAUCAUUUAAGAAUUAAAUUCGUAAACUUCGAAUCAAAUUGGCAUUCUUGGGAUUGGUGUUACUCUCGUGUGGGUUCGAUAGUGUUCAUUGCUAUCCGGGUUUGGUGUUACUCUUCUUGUGUUUGAUGGAGAGUACCCAUUUGCAUCCACUUUUUUCUUUCCAUCAGGUAACGUUACUAGGGUCUAUGUGUUAUUCUGUAGUAAUGCUUCCAUCUCAUCUUUUAUUGCCCAAGUCUAAUUUGAGUUUGACAAAGCUUUUGCAACAAUCAUUGGAAUGUGACUCGAGGAGAGUACAUGCAUAAAGGCCUUUAGGGGUUCUGAUAAUCUCCUGGUGGACACAUAAUUAGCGAUCGGAUACUUCGAUCUUCGUUCAUCAAUUUCUGAAGAAUACUUGUUUGGUGGCAUGCCACGAUUUUGCCUGAAAGGUAAUGUGUAUCGAGUAAUAUUAUCCCAGUCAUUUAUAUUUGAAGGUGUGUUACAAGUGCUUACCACACGGAUAUUCUCAGGAGAUGAGACUGUAGGUAUUGAUAGAGAGGGUGAAUUUGGUUCAACACCUUCGGGAUGAGCCUUUAGACUCGUCAAUUGGCUCUUUAGAGUUGUUAAUCUGUAGUGAAUUUUGCUCUAGUUUUAUUUCAGUGUUCAACCAAUCAAAGUAUACCCAAUUUUUCUCUUCAUUGUUUGUCUCUCCUAAGAAGGAGAAUUGGUAGCAAGCAGGAAGAAAGUAUCAGUUUCCACAAAUGUGAUGUCCAUAGUCACAUAAGUGCAAUUGGUAGAGGGAUCAUAGCAUCGAUAACCCUUCUUAUGUAUACCAUAGCCUAAGAAGAGACAACGGACAGGGAUCAAGUUUCGUUCAUUGACUUUUAUGGAUAUGGACAUAGGCCACGCAACCAAAUACUCGAUGAUGGGACAUUAAUAUAGUGGGUAUGGUUACGUGAUAUGCCAGGACUUGUAAUGGAGUUUUAAAAUUUAGGACUUUGGAGGGCAUCCGAUUAAGUAAAUGUACCGCAAUGGACACUGCGUUAGGCCAGUAGCUAUUUAGGAAUGUGCUCCAUAGAGUAAGGCACGAGUAGUCUGAAGAAUAUGUCGAUUUUUUCGCUCAGCAAUGUCAUUUUGUUAAAGAGUACAGGGGCACGUUGUCUCAUGAAUUAGACCAUGGUGUUCAAAGUAGGUGCGGAGGCGUUGAUUAUCAUAUUCACCACCAUUGUCUGAGAACUGAGUCUGAAUCAUGGCAUGGAAUGGCUGGAACACUUGUAGUACUUUAUCCUUGUGCUUCAUCAAGUAUAGCUAGGUCAUGCAAGUACAAUCAUCGACAAAGAUGACAAACCAUCGAACAUAGAUCCAACUGAGAUAGGUGAUGGACCACACACAUCAAAAUGAAUUAAAGCAAAUGAAAUACUCCUUUUAUUCAUACUUUGUAGAUAAGAAGCACAGUAACUUUUGGCCAAAAUUCAAGUAUUACAUUUGAAGUCAGUAAUCACCACAUUUGAAAAAAGACUAUGUAAUAAAUGUUUCAAAUAGCUAAAUGAAGGAUGUCCCAAGCGACGAUGCCAAAGCCAAAUCUGUCAUUCUUUUUCAUUACUCCAUAUGUGAUGUGCACGUCCAAAACUGAAAUAAUCCAUGUAGUAUAUUCCCCCUCUUUUAGUACUACGCCCAAGUAUCUCCUUCGUGAAAAUAUUUUGAAUAAGACAAAAUGUAGGUUAAAUGAGUACCACACAAUUUAGUUUAGCAGUGACUUGACUAAUAGGCGGUGACUUAUGUUAAAGUGAUGGCACAAGUAAUGUAUGAGAUAAAUGUAAUGACGGAGACAAAGACACAAAGCCGGCUCCUGUAUCUGGGAAAUGACCCCAUUGGCAUUUGCAACACUGGAGUGUCAAGGUAUGGAAUUUUGAGUAAAAUUUUUCACAUCAUAUGUUGUGUGGUCAGUGACUCCAUAGCCAAGUAUCCAAGCACCUCGAUUCUAAGCCCUAGAGGUGGUUGUUAACGUGGAACCAAAAGUACCUAUAGCUAAUGUAGGACCUGCACUUUGAAAACACUCAAUUUUGGGUAAUAGAGACAAUUCUAGUUUAGCGGUCACCACAACCAUCUUGCCUUUACAUCCAUCAGUGCCUCCUACAUCCCUUUUCUUUUUUUUCCUAUAAUUCGUGCCACCAGUCUGGAUACCUACCUAUUAAGUUCAAAACAAUUGUCACGUGUGUGCCUUAUAUUCCCACAGUGUGAGCAUUUAGUCCUUUCAGACUUAAUUUUCCAUUGUUAGUUUCGUGUGUCCUGUUGAGGCCCAUAGACAACGAACCAUCAGAAGAGGCAGUAAUCGGAUCCAACUUAAUUCCUAUGGUGGCUAGAACUGUAAUAGAGGUACCGGAGGUGUUGAUGGGAGCCAUGAUCUCCUGCUUAAGCUCCUUCCUAAGAACAUGGGUGUAGGCUUGUUCUAUGGAAGGAAUGGCUUCAUCCGCAACACGCUGCUACGAAUGCUAUCCAGGUGGUUGUCGAGUCCAUCCAAGAAAGUGUAAACUCGAUCUUCUUGGACCAUCUUGUUAUAGUGUUGAAUAUCGAUGGUGCAUUCCAGUGGAUUAGGGCAGCGAAAGUCAAUCUCACGACACAACCCUUGCAAAUUCGUUUAGUAUUUUUCCAACGAGCCACCCGAUCGUCUCAGUCGAGUAACUCGUCGUCGGAGUUCAUAAACCUGAGAAGCAUCACUUCUGUCAAAAUAGGUCGUGGCAAUGACAUCCCAAACCUGUCUCGCUAUGGGGAAUCAAAUAAAGUUUCCAAUACGGGUUAGGUCCAUGGAGUUAAUUAACCAACUCUUGAUAAUGGCAUUGUAAGUUCACCACUUUCGAAAACUGGGAUUAGUUUUUAGAAGCGAUGAAGAAUCACCUUUCACGUAGCCAAUCUUGUCUUUUCCGGAGAUGUACAUCUACAUAAUUUGGGACCAAAAGGUAUAGUUCGAACUAUCUAGUUUGAUGCCAAUUGAGAUUGAAUUUUCAGUGUUUGGGUUUGGAUGUUCAAAGUAUUCUAUCCUAAAGAAACUAUUGUUAAACUCCUUUAGCACAUUGAAGGGAGCAAAAUCGUCAUAAGGAAAUAUCGUGAAGUCGGUGAGCUCAAAUUAACUUUCAGAUCUUGUUGAUUAUCUUGUGACGCCGUUCAAAUUUGAUUGAGGUAAAUCUAUAAGUAUAUUAUCUCCAGAUUGUUUGAAGGAGGAAUUAAUACAAAUGGAGGAAUAAAAAUAUUCUCUUUAGAGGAUCGAGUUAAAUUUUUUUUUUCUUUAUAUGUUAAUAUCUAUUAAGUAACUGGAUUACCAUCAAUUUUUAUGCUUAUACAAAAACGAGCAUGCAAUAAUAAAAAAAUAUCCAAUACUAUAUUAAUUAUUUUUUAGAACACAUAAUACUAAUUUUUAUUAAUACUUAAAAAUUUUAUUUUAUUGGAAAGUGUGUGAUUAAGAUGCAAAACUUGUAUUUAGUGAGGUGGAUACAAAUAUGAGAAGGGUAAAUAACUCAUAAUUAUUAGGAGUAAGUCAUAAGGUUUCUAAGAUUGAUGGGUAAUUUCUUUCAUCUUCGACUCUUUCCUUCCUAAUUAUUGAUCACAUUUAAGCAAUUUUUUCUUUUCAAUUUAUUUUUCUUUGUAUUUAAAUAAUUAUACUAUCUAUUAUAUUAAUUUAAACGUGCAAUUCAUAAUCUUUGAAUAAAAAUACUGACAAUGUUGUACUAUAUUAUUGUAUUGACUCGUAAAAACGUUGGUCAGCCUGGAAUUGCCCCAUAAAUGGCAUUGAUCAACCGUUGACUGGUGAUACCGUUGGUGGAUAGGUUGUCCCAUCAAUUGAUUUAGCACAACCUCCACUAAAAGAAUAAUAGUGUAAGUAUUACUUUGUUCAAAAUGUCCUUUGCUAGAAGUUGGUUUAGCAAGUCAAAUGGUUCUAGAUCUAGAACUAAUAAUUUCAAUAGUAACUUUCAAGAUAAUGAAGAAAUAGACAAUAAUCAAGAGAUGCUAGAAAUUUUAAACAAUCAAGAAACUCAUAUUGCUCAAAUAGAACAAAGACUUCAUAAUUGAACUAUUCCUAAAAUAAAAAAGAAAACUAUCAAUGAAAUAGGAAGCUUUGAUUUUCAUUAAAAUUAUGCUAUCAAGACUUGUGAAAGAACUUUACCAAUUGCAAAACAAAGUGCUGAAAUAAAGCUACUCUCAAGUGAAGGAAUCAGAAACCAUAGAAAAAAAGUAUAAAUUUCUUCAUAUUGGUAUAGUCCGAAUUGUUGUCAAACCUUUAUUUAGACUAGGCCUAUAUAUACCCAUUCUCUUAAUUUUAAGAGACUAGUCGCUAUUACGUACGUUGUACGAAUUUUGUAUUUAUCGUAUUUUUAUUAGCGUAUGAAUUUUAGUUUUUUUGGAAAGUUUUUGAAGUAAUAUCUAAAAAUAUUUCCAUGAUAUAAGAAAAUAAUUGUAAAUUAUUUUUAUAAUGGCAUAGCAGUAUGUUAUCUAGAAAAAAUAUGCUUGUAUAUUUCAUACUUGAAUAAGAAAUAUACAAACUAUUUUGCUUGUAUUCUUUGAUAGUGUUGAUAUGAUUGAAUUGAAUGUGAAGAUUAUAUUUCUAAAUUUUGUGUAAUUCAAUAUUGUAAAAUUGAAAAACAAGCUCUCCUCACAGUGCGGAGAGAGUUGAACCAAGUGCGGAGUAAAAAUAAAAAAUAAAAAAAGGCGCGGAGAGAAAAAAUUCUUUUCGCACAGUGUGGAGAGAGUUGAACCAUGUGCAGAGAAUUGGCAAACUCUUCGCACAGUGCAGUCUCCGCAAAGUACGGAGAGAUGACAAAUCAACUCUCCGCAUAGUACGGAGAGCAAAAAAAAAACUCUCUGCACUGUGCGGAGAGAGUUAAUCUCUUCGCAUAGUGCGAAGAGUUGGUCCGCACUAUGGUAAAACUCGCCGCACAGUGCGGAGAGAAAAAAACUCUUCGCACAGUACGUAGAGAGUUGAACCAUGUGCGGAGUAAAAAAAAGUGCAGAGAGAAAAAAACAUUUUUGCACAGUGCGAAGAGAGUUGAACCAUGUGUGGAGAGUUGGCAAACUUUUCGCAUAGUGCGGAGUUAAAAAAAAACUCUCCACAUAGUAUAGAGAGUAAAAAACUCUCCGCAUAGUGCGGAAAGUUGUUUUCAAAUUCCUUAAUUACAAUUUAAAUUUCAAGAUUGUAAAUUUUUCGUACAUACAACGAAACAGAGUCGAAAAACAUGGCUCAAAAUCAAUUAUGUCUUCUUUAAAUUCCAGUCACUGCUCAAUUUCUGAGCAUGCAAAUCAUAUUUACAGUAUUGGAAAGGAGUUUUCUCAUGAUUCAUACAAUGAAACAAUAUGUGAGUAAUGCAAAGAAGGAGAUAUUGAUAGUACCAUGUCAUUGCUUUCACAAAUGGAAGCUCUAGGGUACCACCCAAAUUCAAUAUUUUACACUUACUUGAUAACAACUCUUAGAUAUCGGAAGUGGAUACAAUUUUCAAUAAAAUUAUACUUUCGGGUUGUAGGGCAGGAAUUAAAGUGUUCAAUGCAUUGUUCAAAAGUUGUUUGAGAAAAUGCCUCUUGGAACUUGCAGAUAAAGUCUCGAGAAUUUUUAUUUUUCUCUUCACACUGUGCGGAGCGAUAGUUUGCUCUCUCCGCACUUUGCGGAGUUUUUUUUUUCUCAUGUGCGGAGAUUUUUUUUUUGUCUCAUGGAGUUUAUAAAUACUAAAAUUAUUAUUAUUUUUCAUGUUGUUGGCAUGAUGCGUGUGUGUAAGAAUAUUUGUCAAUCACCAUAAACAAAAUUCUUCACAAAAUGUAAAAAAUAAAAAUGCAUAAUAAAUCUUCUUAUUACGCAAAAUCGAGUAAAAUCUACAAUAAUUUUUUUUAACAUAAAAAAAUCAUUUUUAUCUUCAACAAAGAAACACAUUUAAAAAUUAGCAAUUUCGUAACUUUUUUUUUAUUCUUGGAAAUAUAAUUAUAAAAAAGGAAAUAAUAUUGAAUUACAACAUUUAAUACUUAAAAAAUUCAAUAUUAAAUAAAUUUUGUACAUUUAUAACAAAUUAUAAAUUUAUAUAUGCAGUUUACCGUAUUUGCAGGCAACUUACCGUAUAUAAAACUUACCAUAUAUGCUGCCUAUCGUAUUUGUAGUUUACCGUAUUUGCAAAUAACUUACCGUAUAUGCUGCUUACCAUAUUCGCAACUUAUCGUAUUUGUAACCUACCGUAUUUGCAAACUUACCGUAUUUUCACCUUACUGUAUUUGCAGCUUACCGUAUAUGCUGCCUAUCGUAUUUGUAGCUUACUAUAUUUUUAUAUACCGAUUUUUGCACUUAAAAAUAUCGAGAAUGCAGAGCACCGUACAUUCACUUACCAAAUCGAAUUUCAAAAAAAUUUCCAAAAUUUUAUUUUUUCAAGAUAAGCAUAAAUAAAUAUUAAAUAUAUAUGAAACACAAAAUAUAAAUGCAUAUGGAUGUAGUGCUCAAUCUUCAAUUUUUCAAUAUUGAAUUACACAAAAUUUAGAAAUAUAAACUUCAUAUUCAACUCAAUCAUAUCAACACUAUCAAAAAAUACAAGCAAAAUAAUUUGUAUAAUCUCGUAAAUUUUUUAUUCAAGUAUGAAAUAUAUAAGUAUAUUUUUUUUAGAUGACACAAUACUGUUAUGCAAUUGUAAAAAUAAUUUGCAAUUAUUUUCUUAUAUCAUGGAAAUAUUUAUAGAUAUUGCUUCAAAAACUUUCCAAAAAAUUAAAAUUCAUACACUAAUAAAAAUACGAUAAAUGCGAAAUUCGUGCAACGCACGUGACAAUCACUGUGAGGAGAAUUUUUUUUUUUAAUCUUCGCACUGUGCGGAGAGUUGGCGAAGUUUUUUCUAUUUUUUCUUUUUUUACUCCGCACUGGACGGAGAGUUCGCACAGAAUGUCAUAUCUUCGCACAGUGCGGAGAGUUUUGUCAUCUCUUCGCACUGUACGAAGAGAUUUUCUUUUUUCAUGUUUACUUCACACUGUACGGAGAGUUUGCCAACUCUCCGCACAUGGUUUGUCAUCUCUCCGCGCUAUGCAGAGAGUAAUUUUCUUCCUUUUUUAUUUCGCACAUGGUUUGCCAUUUCUUCGCACUGUGCGGAAAGUUUUUUUUUUUUUUUUUUUUUUAUGCUCAUGUGUGAAGAUUUUUUUUUUAGGGCAGUUUAUAUUUACUAAAAUUUUUAUUACUUUUUAAUGCUAGUGGCAUGAUGUGUGGAAGAACAUUUGUUUGGCAUAAUUAUUUUUUUAAUGCUAGUGGGAUGAUGUGUGGAAGAACAUUUUUUUGAUAUAAACAAAAUAAAAAAUAAAAAAUGACAUCAUGCAUAGUAAAAUUGGAUUCAUUUACUAUUACAUGAAUAGUAGACACUCAUUCCCCUUUUUAUUAGAAGUUAGAUAAGAAAUAUCUCAAAUUUGAGAAUUCCCAACUUUCUGUUUUACAGUCAAACUUAGAAAGUGGUCCAGUAUUCUCAAACUGUUGUCCAUAUUAUACUAUUCAUCUGAAUGAUGCUAUAUUAAAUUUUCUCACUCUUCAUAUAGAAAGAAAAUUCUCAAUUUUGAUGAACGUUCGAAAUCAUUUGUUGUGAUAUAUAGAAUAUAUUAUAAAGUAUUGAGCACAAUUAUUCCAAAAAGAAUUCGUUGAAAUAGACUUUCAAGACCUUUAGAAUGGGAUUUUGAGAAGGUCAAUGUUCCAAAAACAGAAAAAACAAAAAGAUAACCCUCAUCAAAUAAUAAAUUAUCCUAAUGGAAAAGUUAAGAUGAUAUUUGAUUAUAUUCCUUCUAGUUCAAAAUAAUAUACUUCUUUUAGAAAUAAUCCUAUCUCUAAAAGAUUUCAUCAACCCUCAAGGCAUUCAACUUCUUCAGAAAAAAUUAAAAGGAGUUGAUUUCAACCCAAAUAUUCCUAAAACUCAAUACGAAGAUGAGCUUGAUUCACAAAGGGCAGAAUCUCCUACUCCUUCUAACAUGCAGCCCCCUCCAUCUGAAAGAUUAGGAGAACAAUUAACUUUCAUUUCUUCCUCUAUAGAUCGAAGAAUAGACUUCAAAACCGAUAAAACACCUCAAAUUAAAGACUUUAGAAAAAAAAUCUGAAAAAGAUGUUUUCUAAGGAAGAAUUAGAAUCAUUUUGGGAAGAAUUGUAUUCUUAUCCAGAAGAUUUAAGGUUUUCCAAUAGGCUGAAAUAAGAGUUUUUGGAAGAGGAAAAGAAAAAUCUGUUAAUAUGACUCAUACCAACAAAGAAAUGGAAAAUCACAAGUGGAGAUACCGUUCAAUCGGAGCAAUCCUCCAAUGAAAGAAAUUGUUUUUUCUCAUGGGAAAAAUGAGGUAAUUGCUUUUCCUGUUAAACAGGUUAUCGAUAGACCAGAAAAUUUUGGUUCCACUAAAAAAAAAAAAAAAAAAAAAUUCUAGCUCAAAAUAAUUAUACAAAUAUCCUGUAACACUCAAUGACAAAUCAAUUAUCUUGAAUUGAAACUGAUUGUUUGAUUAUCCCGCAAGUGAACGAAAUCGUGAGCAAGUAAUAUAGUAGGGUGUAGGGUGUCGAACUCACGAGAACAAUGCAUUUGAUCAAGUUUUCGCUAACACUGCCCUUUAUCGAACAGAAGAAUCGAGUGGUAACUAAAAACUAUUAAAUCUAUCAAUUAACUUAAAAGCAACGUAAAGAAAACUUACCAAAUUCCCAAGAAAUAUUGUUAAGAUGUAGAAUCUACCUUAUUAAUCCAUUUUUAGUUCGACAAUUUAAAUUGACAAUAUGAAAUCGUGCUUGUUGGUCAAUGUUCCUAUUUUAUUUGAAAACAUCUCUCGAUAGUUAUCAAAUAUAUUCCCCUCAUAUGACAUAUCUAUCUCUCGAUGAAAUAUGGGAAUAUGAUAAAUGUAUUAAACGAGUUAGAACAUCUUAUAACAACCAUAUGAAGCAUAGAUGUAUAUCUCUAUUCUCUAUCGAAUUUCACAAUAUUUAUUGUUUUGUGCUAAUGAUCCUAUUGUCUCGCUCAAUAACAACAAAAUCCAUAAACAAUUCAAUCAAUGGCCAAUUAAUUGAAAAGUAUGAAAACAAUAAUAAACAUCCAAACACUCAAACAAAUUUAACGUCAAUUUAAUUAUUUAAACUAAAAGUUGAUAACAAGAGUUCAUCACAUCCUAGCAUAAAGAAAUUAGCCGCGCAUGAUGUUGAAAUUAAACAAAGAAAGGAUAAAAGAUUUCACCAAAAAUAGACGGAACGUGAUUAAUAUCCAAAUUUCUUGUACAAUUUGUUAAUGAAUUAUCGCACAAGGAAAUCUGACAUUAUUUCUUCUACUGCCGUCCAUGCAUGUGUGCCGUCUAUCUCCAGUAUACGUGUCGGCUUCCCACUUUUUAAUUUCCAACAGCCAUAUGUGAAUGUUUUAAUUCCAAAUUCAGCUGCCACUUCCUCCAGAGCUGCCACCAAUUUGUGUUUAUAAGGUAUAUCAAAGAGCCCCUUUUUUUUUUCCCUGCAGCAAUGUUUAUUUUUUUCUCCCUUUCUCUCUCUGUUUGCGUAUAAUCUCCCUCAAAUUUUUCUUCAACAACUGCCUGUGUAUUCCUUCCAAAAAUCCCAACCGGCUGUCCCUUUUUCUCUUCCAAACUAUUACCGUUUUUCUGUGGCUUUUUCUCCCAGCCAACUCUUCGUUCUGCCGUCUAAUGUGUAUGUGUAUAUAUGUGGCAAAUAGGCUUUUUUUCUUCUCUCCCACAGCCGCCGUUUUUUACUCCAAUUUUUAUGAUAUUUCAAUUGCUCCACAUUCUUCUUUUCAACCGGCUGUAGCGUAUAUAAUGGCCAAAUAAUUAAUUUGGUUUCAUUCCAAUUCAAACUCCUAAUUUGAGGCCCAUCAAUAAAUUACUUUUCUCCAAGUCCUCAACUUUUAAAGAAUGCAAGUUAGUCCUUGAUACAAAUAUAUUUGUGCAACCAAUGCCCUCCUCAAAUUCAAACUUGUGGAAUUUAAUCCCAAAUCGUAGAUUUUACUCGAUUUUGCCCUUCUUCCUUUCCAAUCGCUUCAAACGGGUUCGUCGCUAAAAACACAAAGAAAAUUAACAUAAGUAAAAUAGAAAUUAAUAAUUUGACAACUUAAAAGUUUAAUAAUGUGGCCUAAAUAGGUGCACAAAUUGUACUUAUCAAACACCACCAAACUUAAGCAUUUCUUUGUCAUCAAACAAAACUAUAACCUAAAUAGUAACAAAUACACAAGCAUGCAGAAAUAUUUGGUUUGUGUUGAAGAUAUGGAGAAUAUUGUCAAGAUAUUGGAAUAUAUUUUUCCAUUAUUUAAUAUUAUUUCCCAUUUAUGUUAUUUCCUUUUGUUGUCAUUCAUAACCCUAUAAAUAGGGAUCUUUAUAUUGUAAUAUUUACAAGACCAUCAAUAAUAAAAUUCCUAUUAUUAUUCUUAACAUGGUAUCAGAGCGGGUUUGACUUGGUCUUGGAUUAAACUUAUAAGCUUCCGUUCUCCGGUGAGCAGCCUCAUGCCGCUCGUCCGGUCAUAAUUUUUUCCGACCAGUUUUUUACAUAGAAAAGAGUAUUUUUUUUCUCCCUCCAACCAGUUCUUUUGAUUCACACAUAUUCCUAUCUUUUCUUGUUUAUUGAUUCCUCAUCCUAUAAUAUUUCUUCUCUUGCCUCCCCAGCUAUAGGAAGUCUACUCAUUAAAAAAAAGGGACACCGAGUUUUCUAAGGUUUUUUUUUUGUUGGUGAUUUCCUUCAGCGAAUUCAACCUGCGGUUGCAUCGAUUUCAAUUGAAGUGGGCGAUUUUGGUCCAAAUGAAGUUUUGGAGUGGAGGCGGUUUCGGUUGAUUUGGUGAUGAUGUGGAUUGUAUUUGGGUUGCCUUAGUAAAUUCUUUGGAUUGCUUUCUUUAUUGCUUUUAGAGGACUCCACGUCUUUGUUCUUGUUAUCUAAUUUGUAAUAUCACUGCUCCUGAAGUAAACAUCAUCGCUGCCUACUCCGAAGGAACGUCCCCUGCAGUCUACAGAGAAUGCUUUUGGGUAUUUAUCAACUGUAAGCAAAUCUUUCCAUGUUCUCUACAAGCACAAACCUCUCUGGAGGAAUCUUGUUUUGGAACCUUACAAAGGUGGUUCUCGUAUAAUGGGCCUUGAUCUAAGCCCCGCUGCCAGCAAUAUGCACCCGCAAAAACUUCCCCAAUGGAGUAUCCCCCUCUGUAGAUUUUAAGAUCAGAAAAUCCUAGGGAUUUCAUGGGGCCAUGAAGAAACAGUGGGUUUUUCUUGGUUGUAGGCCAAAGAUUGGACUUGAGUUAAAUAUGGGUUUGUUUGUUCUUGUUGGGCCAUAUGGUGUUCUGGACCGAUUGGAUGGGUUACAAAGUGAGUUUGGGCUGCAGUAUUUUUCCUGGGCCGUUGAAAUUAAUUUUAGAUUUGGGCUACUUUCUUGAAUUUUUAUUAGUCCAUACCCAAAUGAGUCCGUUCUCUUUUUAAAUUUUUUAAAAUUGUUUAAAAAAAAUUGUUGUUUCCCCUUUUUCUUGGGAAUUUAAUUUAAACAAAAUUUUUGGAGGAUCGGUACCUUGAAUUUUAUCUUCUCCUCCUGUGCCCCUUAAACAAACUAGGGGUUUUCUGUCUCUUAAACAAAGUAGAGGUUUUAAAAAAAAAAGUUGGAGGGUCGGUACCCUGAAUUUUACCGGCUCUCCCAUUCCCCUUAAACAAACUAGGGGUUUUCUACCUCUUAAACAAACUAGAGGUUUUUAAAAACAAAUUUUUUUUUGGAGGAUCAGUACCUUGAAUUUUACCAGCACUCCCCCUGCCUCUUAAACAGCUUAGAUGUUUUUUCUUAUGUUAAAAAUAAAAAAUUGAAGAUUUGUUUGGAUUGAAGAUUUGAUUGGUCAAACUCAAUAUUCUACACCAUAUUGAGUUUGAGGGGAGGGUGUUGAAGAUAUGGAGAAUAUUGUCAAGAUAUUGGAAUAUAUUUUUCCAUUAUUUAGGAUUAUUUUCAAUUUAUGUUAUUUCCUUUUAUUGUCAUUCAUAACCCUUUAAAUAGGGCUCUUUAUAUUGCAAUAUUUACAAGACCAUCAAUAAUAAAACUCCUAUUAUUAUUCUUAAUAGUUAAAUAGUCUAGCUUUUUACAUCGGGAAUGGAGAUUAUCGUAUUAAAUUUACAAACCACUUCAAAGGCACAAUACCAAACCAAUAUCCACUUCUCCAAUACAAAAUCGACGUGUGUGUGUGGAGAAUUAAGUAAACAUUAAUGACCUCACAAGUUGUUCACAUUCCCGGCCCUCUAUGGUCAAAUUUAUCCUUACAUCUCUCGUGAGAUUUACACACCCCAAAACUUAUUCUUUUUCACUCUUUUCCCAGCGUGUAGUUGAAUUUAUUAUUACCAUCCUCACCCUUCACCAAUUCAGGUAGACGUCACUAGUUGCAAGUAAACACAUCCAUGAACAUGAAUUCUCCAAUUAUUUGAUUGUUUCGACCAUCAGGACUCAACUACGCUAAUUAUUCUUCAUCGAAAGUCAAAUUUCCUCGAACAAGUGUUAGGACUUAACAAGGCAUUUAGUACAUUUACUAUUUUUUUUUCUUUUCUUUUUUUUUCCUUUUUUUUUUUUUUUUUUUUUUUCACUCCCCCUUAAAUUUUUUUUUUUUUUUUUUUGCACUCCGCCUUAAGCUUUCUAGAUGACUCGUGUAGCAGGAUUUAGGCCGAUGACUCCCAAGUCAGACGACUUUAGGGCACCAAGUUUUUAAAUAUUCUUACAGGCUUAAUAACUCGAAUCAAAAAGGUUUUGAAGAGAACAAUUAUUUUUUUUCUUUCACGGGCAACUUCAUCUCUGAUUGCUUUCUAAAUGACCCAUGUAGCGAACUUUAGGCCAAUGACUCCCAAGUCAGAUGACUUUAGGGCAUCAAGUUUUAAGAUACCUUUGCAGGCUUAAUUGCUCGAAUCAUAAAGGCUUCAAAGAGAAGUUUUAAAAUAUAUGUCUUGAUUAGUGCAAUGCCCCUUAUCAUACACCUAUUCAAGAAAAUUGAACUUCAACUCAAGACUCUCGCCCAAUAUUAUCCUGUUCAUCUCAAACAAUCCACACAAAGUUUUUUUUCACACAAGGAAUCCACGUUCACGUCUGCAUCUACCUACAAUAGUAAAAUCAUUCCAAAUUGUGCUAAAUUUGGUCUAAAGAUAAUUAGUUUAAUAUGAUUUGGGUAAAGCAUCUAUGUCCAACUAAAUCAAUCUGUUUAGAGCAUGAAACAACUCACUUCAUCACCAUGUCAAACCCAAUUCUUGUGCGCGUAUAAUAUCAAAUUUUGUAAGUUUAAGUUUCAAUCAAUCUAGCAUGCAACCUAUCCACAAUUUAUAAAUUAACAUCAAAUCUCAAAUUAAAUCAUUAUUGUUAGCUAAACCAUUUAACCCACACAAGCAUACAACUAAAUAAAAGAGAUUUUUUUUUUUUUGAAAAUCUUCAAAAUUUUUCAAUUUUUUUUUUUACUAAGACAAACACACAAAAAUACGAAACAUACGAAAAACAAAAACUAAAAGUUUUUUUCACCUCCAAACUAAAAAAUCGGCAUUUUCCUCAAUGUCAUAAAGCGUAAGUAAGCACAUAAAGGGGUAGGGAAGAAAAGGAAGAAAGCACUCAUCGAAUUUUUUGUUGAAUGUGCGAAGUACUAUGUGUGAUGGUUAGGAAAUUUUUCUCAUCAUGUUUUCCCCUUGGGUCUAUGUUGGUUCAUGACACGACCCGUCCCAAAUCACCCUAGUGGACCCGAAACGUGACGUGCACUGAUGAUAGAUGCUGACUAGAUGUCAGAUCUAUCACCAAAGCUAACUAUGAAUUACUACAAAAUAUACGACAAAAUCAAAUGUUUAUAAAACCGUAGUGCAAUUGGCCCAAAAUUACAUCGUGUUUUAUCAAAUUGACUCAUCAAUAUGUCGUGUAGCUCUAACUCUGAAAUCACUAGGCUCCUCAAGUUAUCAAGGACCAAUAUUACCUGUAAGAAUAAUUUUAGGAAAAUAUGAGUUGACAGCUCAGUGAGUGGAAGAGUUCGAAAAUAAUUAUGCUUUCUCAUUUAAACAUUUUUAUCAAACAUCAAGUUCAUAUCAUUUAAUAUUUCACAUGAUAGACUCAUACGAAUAUAGACAAAAAGUGAGACAUUCUCAUAACUCUAUAAAUAUCAUCUCAUAUCCACGAUAUCGUCAUCAGCUGAUAUCUAUACCAUCAUCUCAUCACAUCACAUGUGUUCCACCAAAAAUGUACAAUCUAACUAAAAUUUGUAAUCCACCCCUCGGGUUAAGAACUUUCGCCAUGGGCCUUUGGCCCCUCCGUGAACAAAAGUUGGUCUCAAAAACCUCUGGUAAUCAAUUCUAAAACACGGCCAAGACCCACUCAGUGAACUAUAUGUACACAGUCACGACCCUUUCAUCCCCAGUCAACCCCUCAGUGUAAGACAGAACACGGCCAAGGCCCACUCAGUAAACUAGAAGAAGUAUGUAAUCAUGGGUAUUUUUCUGGUCGAUCUCAAUAUCACAUGUCUCACAUUCCACAUCACAAAUAUUUUCAUAUCUAAUCUUUGAGUUCCACAAUUAUCAUAAUGAAAGAAUAUUUCCAAAAUAAUCAUGUAAUCGAACACAUAAUUGUAUAUAAUUGCACAUAUUUUGACAAUAUACUUAAUUUAUAAAUACUUUAAAAAUAUUUAUAUUUUUCCACUCACUUGACUAUGUAUCGAACAAAAAGUAAUUCCACUAAAAAGCUUUCCCAGUCUCACUAUCUCCUGAAAAAUGAAUUAUUUAUUCAAAUUAAUAACUAUUGAAUCCAUUUCCUAACCCCAUACAUGGAUAGGAAACCUCAAAAUCUCACCUAUUACUUCUUCAUUUCUUUCUUCCCAUUUUAGUCAAGUGGGCACACAUAUCCAUAUGCCAAUAUAUACACAAUUUCUCAUUUACCGAUUUAUUUAUAGAAUAUCUUUUCCACAUUCAUUUCCCCACUACAUUGGCAUAAUAACAUACUACCUUCCAACAUCUUGAAUUUACACUAUAAAUACUGUCCCUUUUUAUUUGCUCUAUAAUCUUAAAAUUACUAAAUAAAGAACUUACCACAUUUAGGCUAAAUUGAAUUCCAAUUAAAUACAAUUCAUCUCUUCUUCAUCAGUUUACUACUUCCCCACUGGCAUCAAGCUAUGCAAUUAGGUAUGUUCCCUUCUUAAUACUUUCAGCCACUAGACAUAUACGUGUGCCAAACAAUUCAUUAGUUGACCCAAAUCCUCACUUGCCUUUUGGUUUCUUUAUUUAAAUUUCAAUUUUAACCCAAUUACUUCAUGAAUUUUUCAUUCACAAAGUUCCAACCCAAAAAUUUAUAAAUAUUUGAUUCACAUAACUUAAAAGCUUCAAAAAUUGUUUACCCAUACUAAACCAUCAAUAAAUUGAACUUCUUUAUCACUUGUUGGAGCCAAAUAAGAAAUUUAAGUUUGUAUAAAACUUAUCCACUUGUGAUUGUAGAAGAAAUGAGGCUAUGAAAGAAAACCCCAUUCUUGAAGAAGGGCAUCUCACCUCCUACACAUCGUCGGCCAGCAAUUAUUCUUUUUUUUUCUCGGUCUCUCUCUCUUUCUCGAUUAUUCCUGUCCGUCUCCCUGCUCUCUCCUUCUUUGGUGUGUAUAUAUCAUAUGAAAAUGGGAGAUUAGCUAGUAAGUUGCCACUUGUACUCCACCAAUCCAUUUUUGCAAAGAAGUCCCUCUUCUUCAAUUAAAUAUGACAUUUAAUCAUCUAACUUCCAUUAAUAAAAAGUAAAUCCCCAAAAUUUAAUUUUAUCUAUCUAAACCUUCAAGUGGUGUCAAUUUGUAAAAUAAAAUUUCAAAAAUAAUUUGGUCAGUUCACGUCCCACUAAAAUGAUUUACUUCAAUUAAAUCCUUAUUUGACUUUGACUUUAACUUUGACGAGUCAAACAUUUCACUUUGAAUAAAUAAUAUUGACCUUUGACUAAUAUGAAAUGGGUUGUAACAAUCUGACCCCCUUCAAAGAAUUUCGUCCUCGAAAUUCAUUCAGCUAGGAUUCAAACCAAUAAAUAUAUAGCGCUCAGAUUUAAUCUCCCAUAAUGCCUCAUCUUGAUUGAUUUCUCCAAUUCACCUUAAUGACUUAUUUUCCAACUUUUGUCUCAAUAAAUAGGUAUCUCAGUUUCCUUUAAAUAGUAACCAUGUGUUGGUAACAUAUCUUCUGAACUUGUCUUCAUAUUCUCUGGCAUUCUAUUAAAAGGAAUUGAACAAUGUACUUUAGUUCUGUAACUCCCUAUAUUAGCCAAAGAUAGAUACUCGAACUCCACCAUGUAAAUCACUGACUUGUCCAUAAGUAAUUUAUUAACAUAUCUCUUGAACUGAUUGUAUUAUUUUAAAAUAAUCCUGUAACUUUUGUCGAUUUAUCGUCAAUGAUUCAAAUUCAAUUUGUCUCCAUUCUGUGUAUUUGAAACCUCAAAUGAAAAAUAUUUGAGGGUAACAACCUCCAUUCUAAAUUGACAAUAUCUCCAAAAAUUCAAUUGUUCAUAAAUUUUCAAAAUUUCUAGAUAACCCCAGCAAAACAAUUGAGAUAACUCAAUAUGGUGUUCUUUUCCUUAAUUUUAUAUCACCCAAUGAUAAUAUACACACAAUUUUCAUUUCCACAAUUCCUAAUAAAAUAUACUUUAAACUCCGAUAAUAGAUAAAUAUUGAUGUUCCUCGCAAUGUUAUAACACCAAAAUUCCUAAAUUCAACAUCAAUAUACCCAAUUAUAAAUCAUGUUUUAAUCAAGCACCUUCAACAAUCUACAAUAUAAUCCAUAAUUCAUCAUUUUACUUCAGGACACUUUCUAAACCUUAACAUAAUCAUUAUCACAAAUCAAACCUUCAUCAACUUUAGAUACAAGAGUAAAUGUUUCCUCAAAAUAUAAUCUAAUAGCAACGCUUUUUACAUUCUUAAAUUCACACAAUUUUGGUGCUCUUUCUUCCUACGAGGAGACAAUUAUAAUAUUCAAUCCAUAGUAAUUCCAUACUCUUAUUCCAUAAAGAGGCCAUUAGCCUAUUACCAAUGCAUAAACUUUCUUGUAUAUCUCACAAAAACCUUCAAUUAAAAUUAUAACCUAAAGACACUGUUCCACAAUAUGAAUAAAAUUUACAUUUGAUGAUCGUCUUAAACUUUAAACUAUCCAACAUAUCAUCCUUGUGUUCCAUAACAUAUAGAUCUUAAGAAAAAUGGAAUUCUUUAUUUGUGAAAUCCAAGAAUACGAUCAAAAUUAACUCAAAAUUUACAUCACUUAAACUUCAUCAAAUUCAUCUUAAUUUCAAAAUUUAGCUCAAAGCUUCCAGGUUUUAUUAUAACAUAACAAAAUAAUCGAACAAAUGGUCUUGGCAACGCCAAUUAAUUUAAUAACCUAAAUAUAUCAUCCCAUUAUUUCGCUAUAGGACAACCAUUACAUUCAUUUACUUGUUAUUCACCAUAUCAUGUUAUGAUCAUGUAACCUUAUCAUUUAUCACGCGAACCUUUUUACAUAUCAAUAUUCACCAAGAUUUCAUAUUCUAAUUUCUCAAUCUCCAUUAAUUUCAACUCUAUAGUUCUUAAUUCUUUUCUUCUUUUCUUAAUAAUUUACAAAGCAUCACUUCAUUCUUCAAACCAUACAUGCUUAUAUGUGAAAGAUGCUAUACUAAUCACUCCUUUUCAUUUCCUUUACUUCAAUGCAUGAUUCCUUUUCUAUAAUUCAAAAAUGAAAAUCAAUCUGAGUUUCGUAGACUCCCUCCAUUCAUAUCAUUUGUACCCUAUUUACAUAAAUGUACAAAUCCAAUAAUUCUUUUAUUUCAACAACAACUUACCCCGCAAUAAGCAGUCUUUGUGAAAUCUAUCCAUAUCUUUCUCACAUCUCUUAUAAUCAUAUAACCCAUAAAUAAUCAAAAUGAUCGGAGUUACAUGAAUGUCAAUUUCUUCAAUGAAUAAUAUACAUAAUAACACAUUAUUCUUUAUCGAUCAAUAUACUGUAUAAUAUCAUCAUUUAUCCUCCACAAGAUUUCUUAUCAUAUGAAUAGACACAUCACCAAAAUUUUAUCAUCCUUACAUAUGAGUGGCUACAAAUUACCACAAUCUCCGAUGAUGCUAAUGAUCAUUUAGUUUACCAAGAUAAUUAAGAUUCAUCAUAUGAUUGUCAUGGAUUACACAUAAUAUCAAUCCCUUUAUCUAUCACCUCGAAUAUCUAUAUGUGAACAACCUCUGGAACCAUCAAAACUUUCACUUCAAAUUAAUAAUCCGUUCAAUUCUCAAUAGAUUACAUACACCUCUGUAUAAACCCAACAACUUAUAAUAUUUUCAACCAUCAGAUCAUUGCAACUAUCAUAAUUACAUCCUAGUCAUUUCUGGAUCUAUUAAAAAUAAUUUUCUAUCACUUUUGGUUCCAUACCUUCGAGCUUGAGAACCUACCAUCACGAAAUGUGAUCAUACACAUUGAAUAUGCAUGACAUGCCAGUGCAUGUACUAUGAAGACUUUCAAAAUUUUAUAAACCAUGCUCUGAUACCACUUUGACACGACCCAUCCCGAAUCACCCUAGUGGACCCGAAACGUGACGUGUACCGAUGAUAGAUGCUGAUUAGAUGUCAAAUCUAUCACCAAGGCUGACUAUAAAUUACUACAAAAUAUACAACAAAAUCAAAUGUUUAUAAAAAUGUAGUGCAAUGGGCCCAAAAUUACAUCGUGUUUUAUCAAAUUGACUCAUCAAUAUGUCAUGUAGCUCUAACUCUGAAAUCACCUGGCUCCUUAAGCUAUCAAGGACCAAUAUUACCUGUAAGAAUAAUUUUAGGAAAAUAUGAGUUGACAGCUCAGUAAGUGGAAGAGUUCAAAAAUAAUUAUGCUUUCUCAUUUAAACAUUUUUAUCAAACAUCAAGUUCAUAUCAUUUAAUAUUUCACAUGAUAGCCUCACACGAAUAUAAACAAAAAGUGACAUUCUCAUAACUCUGUAAAUAUCAUCUCAUAUACACGAUAUCGUCAUCAACUGAUAUCUAUACAAUCGUCUCAUCACAUCACAUGUGAUCCACCAAAAAUGUACCAUCUGACUAAAAUUUGUAAUCCGUCCCUCGGACUAAGAACUUUCACCACGGGCCUUUGGUCCCUCCGUGAACGAAAGUCGGUCUCAAAAACCUCUGAUAAUCAAUUCUAGAACACGGUCAAAGCCCAUUCAGUGAACUAUAUGUACACAGUCACGACCCUUUCAUCCCCAGUCGACCCCUCAGUGUAAUAUAGAACACAGUCAAGGCCCACUCAGUGAACUAGAAGAAGUAUGUAAACAUGGGUACUUUUCUGGUCGAUCUCAAUAUCACAUAUCUCACAUUCCACAUCACAAAUAUUUUCACAUCUAAUCUUUGAGUUCCACAAAUAUCAUAAUGAAAGAAUAUUUUCAAAAUAUUCAUGUAAUCGAACACAUAAUUGCAAAUAAUUGCACGUACUUUGACAAUAUACUUAAUUUAUAAAUACUUUAAAAAUAUUUAUAUUUUUCCACUCACUGGACUAUGUAUCGAACAAAGAUUAAUUCCACCAACAAGCUUUCCCAGUCUCGCUAUCUCCUGAAAAAUGAAUUAUUUAUUCUAAUUAAUAACUAUUGAAUCCAAUUUCCUAACCCAUACAUGGAUAGGAAACCUCAAAAUCUCAACUAUUACUUCUUCAUUUCUUUCUUCGCAUUUUAGUCAAGUGGGCACACAUAUCCAUAUGCCAAUAUAUACACAAUUUCUCAUUUACCGAUUUAUUUACAGAAUAUCUUUUCCACAUUCAUUUCCCCACUACAUUGGCACAAUAACAUACUACCUUCCAACAUCUUGAAUUUACACUAUAAAUACCGUCCCUUUUUAUUUGUUCUAUAAUAUUAAAAUUACUAAAUAAAGAACUUACCACAUUUAGGCUAAAUUGAAUUCCAAUUAAAUACAAUUCAUCUCUUCUUCAUCAGUUUACUACUUCCCCACUGGCAUCAAGCUAUGCAAUUAGGUAUGUUCCCUUAAUACUUUCAGUCACUAGACAUAUACGUGUGCCAAACAAUUCAUUAGUUGACCCAAAGCCUCACUUGCCUUUUGGUUUCUUUAUUUAAAUUUCAAUUUUAACCCAAUUACUUGCUGAGUUUUUCAUCCACAAAGCUCCAACCUGAAAAUUUAUAAAUAUUUGAUUCACAUAACUUAAAAGCUUCAAAAAUUGUUUACCCAUACUAAACCAUCAAUAAAUUGAACUUCUUUAUCACUUAUUGGAGCCAAAUAAGAAAUUUAAGUUUGUAUAAAACUUACCCACUUGUGAUUGUUGAAGAAAUAAGGCUAUGAAAGAAAACCCCAUACUUGAAGAAGGGCAUCUCACCUCCAACACAUCGUUGGCCAGUAAUUAUUCUUUUUUUUUCUUGGUCUCUCUCUCUUUCUCGAUUAUUCCUACCCGUUUCCCAGCUUUCUCCUUCUCUGGUGUGUAUAUAUCAUAGAGUAAAUUUAACCAAUAAUCACUGAACUUUACACUUGAUUACUACUUGCUCACUUGUCUUUCACAUAUUACCGAAUGCUUACUCAUCUUUUCAUAUAAUUACUCAUUCACCACUCGUCUCUUCAAAUAAUUGGGCUACUUUUACGGCAAAAUUUCGACAACUUCCAACCACAAAGAAUGUCGAAUUUUGAUACCGUUGGAAAGCCCAUGAUGUCCUCUUCAAUUACCACCCAAAAUCUCAUUAUAACUCCAAGGGAUUCGAUCGAAAAAUUGCCUUAAAAGUCGCUCAAAAAUUCUGAAAAUCUGCCCAGAUUUUCAGAUUUUUUGGGCGACUUUUAAGGCAAUUUUUCGGCAACUUUCGACCAUCAAAACUAUCCAAUUUUGAUACCAUUGGAAAGCCCACAAUGUCCUCUUCAAUUACCACCCAAAAUUUCCCAAUAACUCCAAAGGAUUCGGUCGGAAUAAACCCACAAAGUCAGCAUCUUGAAAAGGCGAAAAUCUGGACAAAGUUCGGGAUGCUGACUUUGUGGGUUUAUUCCGACCGAAUCCUUUGGAGUUAUCGGGAAAUUUUGGGUGGUAAUUGAAGAGGACAUUGUGGGCUUUCCAAUGGUAUCAAAAUUAGAUAGUUUUGAUGGUCGAAAGUUGUCGAAAAAUUGCCUUAAAAGUCGCCCAAAAAAUCUGAAAAUCUGGGCAGAUUUUCAGAAUUUUUUGACGACUUUUAAGGCAAUUUUUCAAUCGAAUCUCUUGGAGUUAUAAUGAAAUUUUGGGUGGUAAUUGAAGAGGACAUCGUGGGCUUUCCAACAGUAUCAAAAUUCGACAUUCUUUGUGGUCGGAAGUUGUCGAAAAUUUGCCGUAAAAGUAGUCCAAUUAUUUGAAGAGACGAGUGGUAAAUGAGUAAUUAUAUGAAAAGAUGAGUGAGCAUUCAGUAAUAUGUGAAAGAUGAGUGAGCAAGUAGUAAUCAAGUGUAAAAUUCAGUGAUUAUUGGUUAAAUUUACUCAUAUAUCAUAUGAAAAUGGGAGAUUAGCUAGUAAGUUGCCACUUGUUCUCCACCAAUCCAUUUUUGCGAAGAAGGCCCGCUUCUUCAAUUAAAAUUGACAUUUAGUCAUCUAACUUCCAUUAAUAAAAAGUAAAUCCCGAAAAUUUAAUUUUAUCUAUCUUAAACCUUCAAGUGAUGUCAAUUUGUAAAAUAAACCUUCAAAAAUAAUUUGGUCAGUUCACGUCCCACUAAAAUGAUUUACUUCAAUUAAGUCCUUAUUUGACUUCGACUUUAACCAGUCAAACAUUUGACUUUGAAUAAAUAAUAUUGACCUUUGACUAGUAUGAAAUGGGGUGUAACAGUUUGAGUGUUCCAUGAAGUCAUGUCCCUACACAUAGCAAUCAAGUCAAACAUUAAAAAUCAAGAAAUCUAGAACAUUUGUUACUUAGCCCAAACAAUCAAAAUCCAACAACAAAUCCAAUGGCCUAACGGAAGUAUUAAGGAUGGUGAUACCCUACAAAUUAAAACGUGCCUAAAUCUAAUGCAACCUAGUAAUCAAAAAAAAUCUAUAUGCUAUGCGAUGCAGAAGGCAAAAUAAAUAAAAGAGUUAGAAGAUUGGGUUAUCUCCCAAUAAGCACUUAAUUUAUAGUCUUUAGCUAGACUGUACGGAUGAAUUGAUUACGGUGGCUUAAAUAGGUGUUUUGAGCUUUUGCACUCCUUACAAUUUCCAGCCUUGCAUCCUCGUUUUUUCGUCCAAACCUUGAACUCUCCAUUCUUCUCUCGUCCAACGCUCACUAGAUGUUUAGGCUCCAUCUUUCUCAAGCCUUGUUGCACCUUUGUAGCAAUAUACUUGCACUCUUUCUUAGACUUUUUGCUGAUCUCUUCAUGUAAUGUAUUCUCAAUAGUGUUGUAGAUCUUGAACUUCUUUUGCUUAUCUUCCACUCUCAAUGUCAGUUCGCCAAUUUCAAAGUCUAUGGCAGCUCGGCUUGUUGAUAGAAAGGAUCUGCCCCAAGAUAAGUAACGCUGCAUUCCAUGGCUCCUCUAUAUCUAGGACAACAAAAUCGAUGGGAAAUAUGAAGUUACCCACUUUAAUAAGUACAUUCUCAACCAUUCCUCGUGGGUAUUUAAUUGAUCUGUCUGCCAAUUGAAGGGAGAUAGAUAUGUCAUUUAGCUCUUCCAAUCCUAAUUUCCUGUAUAUAGGGAAAGACAUUAAGUUUAUACUUGCUCCUGAAUCACAUAAGCAAUUAAAAUCUAAAUCUUUUCCUAUUGAGCAAGGUAUUUUGAGACUCUCUGGAUCUUGUCGUUUAUGAGGUAAUUUGCUCUGCAAAAUGGCACUACACUCUUCAUUUAACUUGACGGUCUCAAAAUCUGUAAGCCUUCUCUUUUUGGAUAGGAUCUUCUUCAAAAACUUUGCACAGUUUGGUAUUUGAGAUAUAGUUUCAAUCAAUGGGACUUUGACAUGAAGCGUCUUGAAGAUGUCCAAGAACCUUGCAAAUUGAUCUUCCAAAUUCCUCUUUUGUAAUCUCUGUGAAAAUGGGACUGGAGGCACAUAAGGUUUGAUAGGAACGGUUACCUUGACCUGUAGAUUUUCUAGCUCUUGAGAUGGAACUACUUGGUCUAGUUGUUCAUAUUUAUCCACCUGCACCUCAUCUGUAAAAGUUGCCUGUUUAUUUUCUGUCACCCGUCUGUCAACUGUAAUUUCUGGAAGUUUAACCCUACUACGUGUAUUGAUUGCCUCAAUCUCCUCACUCUCCAUAACUUCUACUGCCAUUACCUGUUGUUUAGGAUUUGUUUCCAUGUUGCUUGGCAGUGUUCUUUGCUGUCUUUUUUAGAGUGCUUUUGCUAUUUGUCCCAUCCGAUUUUCUAAAUUCUUGAUAGCAGCUCCUUGAACUUGUAAAUCUUAUCUGUUCUUUGCAUGUGUUGAGUCGAGAUCUCCGCCAAUUUAGUAACAAGAUCUUAUAAUGAAGACUUAUUUUCGACCUGCUGAAAACCUAGUGGUGCAGUCUGCUGUGGCGCAAUCUGAGUUCCUUGAUUGUUGCUCAAUUGAAAACAUGGGUGAUUUCUCCAGCCUAGGUAGUAGGAGUUAGGAUUCUGAUUGUGUUGUUGUCGUUGAAAAUUUUGAGCAUAAUUUACAUCCUCUAGUGAUUGAGUAAAAGGACUACCCACGGUGCAAUCAACACUUUCAUUAUUUCCUCCACAGUGCUUAGAUUUUUGUCCGGCUGUUUGAAUGGUAUUCAUCUGAUCCACCAUUUUAGCUAAAGCUACCAGCUGCGCUAAGAUUGCUAUUAAUGGAUCCACCUCAUGUAUCCCAGUUACUUUCUUUACACUUGUUCUUUCAGUAAGCCACAGUGCACUAAUGAAUGCUCAAUCCUCCAUGAUUUGAUAUACUUGAUCCACUAUUCUCUUUGUGAUGGAACCAUCGCAUGCGAAGUUAACGUUAGCCCUGCUUAUUGGAUUUAGUCCAAUGUAGAAAUAUUGUACCUGGAGCCAUUUUUGCAAUCCAUGUUGUGGACACUGACAGAACAGCCCCUUGUACCUUUUCCAAGCUUCAUAAUAGUACUCCGAGUCAAGUUGAGUGAAUGUGGUGAUUUCGUCCCUCAACCUGGCAAUCCUUUUAGGUGAGAAAUAUUUAUUUAGGAACUUCUGACUCAAACUAUUCUAAAUGGUGAUGCUGUGUAGAGGAAAAGUAUCCCACCAAUCCCUAGCUGAAUCUCUCAAAGUGUAAGUAAAAAAGCCUCAGCCGAAUUGCUUCGCUUGAAACACCUAGAUAAUCGAUUGUUGCACACAUGUCCAAGAAUCUUGAGAUAUGCGCAUUGGGAUUUUCAGUAGGUUUCCCAAUAAAUUGCAAUGCAUUUUAGAACAUGUUGAUCACAUCUGUCCUCAAGUGAAAAUUUGGUUGACCAAAUGAUGUAUAUACUCUACUAGAUUGACUAUCCACGACCGAUGGAACCAUAUACUCUCCCAUCAACCUAACAUUUUCAUUGGUUGCAAUUUCAUUCGGUUGCGCUACACCCAAAUUAGCACCGAUGGGUAUUUGAUUCGGAUUUUAUUUUGCCAUGAGCUUUGCUUGCUGUUUUUGGUGUGCUUCUAAUUGUUCUCUUGUUCUCGACCUGAACGUUCGCUCGAUUUUCGAAUCAAAUUGAGCAAGAUCUCCGGUUCUCGAACCUUGCAUACAAAGUCCUGAAAAGGAAAAAUAGAAAACACUGUAGUAUUUUUCUAAAUUAAUUAACUAACUAAGAAAACUAAAUUAAAAUUAAAAUUAAAUUCAGAUUAAAGGUAAAUUAGUUAAAACUUAUAAAAAACUAUAGUCUCCGACAACGGCGCCAAAAAUUUGAUCGUUUGAUUAACCGCAAGUGAACGGGAUCGUGAGCAAGUAGUAUAGUAGUGUGUAGAGUGUCGAACCUACAAAGUCUGUGUUUGAUCAAGUUUACGCUAACACUACCCUUAAUCGAACAGCAGAAUUGAGUGGUAACUAAAAACUAUUAAAUAUAUCAACUAACUUAAAAGAAACGUAAAGAAAACUUAUCAAAUUCGCAAGAAAUAUUGCUAAGAUGUAGAAUCCCUCUCAUUAAUUCAUUUUUAGUUCGACAAUUUAAAUUGACAAUUUGAAAUCAUGCUUGUUGGUCAAUGUUCCUAUUUUAUUUGAAAACAUCUCUCAAUAGUUAUCAAAUAUAUUCCCCUCAUACCACAUUCCUAUCUCUCAAUGAAAGAUACGAAUUUGAUAAAUGCAUUAAACGAGUUAGAACAUCUUAUAACAAUCAUAUGAAGCAUAGAUUUAUAUCUCUAUUCUCUAUUGAACUUUACAAUAUUUAUUAUUUUGUGCUAAUGAUCUUAUCGUCUCUCUCGAUAACAACAAAAUUUACAAAUAAUUCAAUCAAUGGCCAAUUAAUUGAAAAGUAUGAAAAACGAUAACAAACAUCCAAACAUUCAAACAAAUUUAACGUCAAUUUAAUUAUUUAAACUAAAAGUUCAUAACAAGAGUUCAUCACUUCCUUGCAAUAAAGAAAUUAGCCACCCAUGAUGUUGAAAUUAAACAAAAAUAAGGAUCAAAGACUUCACCAAAAAUAGACGGAAUGUGAUUAAUAUCCAACUUCUUGCACAAUUUGUUAAUGAAUUAUCACACAAGGAAAUGUGACAUUAUUUCUUCUACUGCCGUCCAUGCGUGUGUGCCGUCUAUCUCCAGUAUACGUGCCUGUUUCCCACUUUUUAAUUUCCAACAGUCAUAUGUGAAUGUUUUAAUUCCAAAUUCAGCUGCCAAAUCCUCCAAAGCUGCCACCAAUUUGUGUUUAUAAGGUAUAUCAAAGAGCCCCUUUUUUCCCAGCAGCAAUGUUUAUUUUUUCUCCCUCUCUCUCUUUGUUUCCGUGUAUAAUCUCCCUCAAAAUUUUCUUCAAUAACUGUCGUGUGUAUUCCUUCCAAAAAUCCUAACCGGCUGCCCCUUUUUUCUUCCAAACUAUUACCGUUUUUCUGUGGUUUUUUCUCCCGGCCAACUCUUCUUUCUGCCGUCUAAUGUGUAUAUGUAUAUAUGUAGCAAAUAGGCAUUUUUCUUCUCUCCCACAGCCGCCGUUUUUUACUCCAAUUUUUGUGAUAUUUCAAUUGCUCCACACUCUUCUUUUCAGCCGGCUGUAGCGUAUAUAAUGGCCAAACAAUUAAUUGGGUUUCAUUCCAAUUCCACACUCCUAAUAUGAGGCCCAUCAAUAAAUUACUUUUUUCCAAGUCCUCAACUUUCAAAAAAUGCAAAUUAGUCCUUGAUACAAAUUUAUUUGUGCAACCAAUGCCCUCCUCAAGUUCAAACUUGUGGAAUUCAAUCCCAAAUCGUAGAUUUUACUCGAUUUUGCCCUUCUUCCUUUUCAAUCACUUCAAAUGGGUUCGUCGCUAAAAACACAAAGAAAACUAACAUAAGUUAAAUAGAAAUUAAAAAUUUGACAACUUAAAAGUUUAAUAGUGUGGCCUAAAUAGGUGUACAAAUUGCAUUUAUCAAAAUCCAACACAGAACCAAAAGAAUCAAGAAGAGAAGAUAAAAGCCCGAUUAGUUCAAUUUUUAAACCAAUAGAGGAAUCCUUAAAAUCAGGUCUAUGAAAACUCUCUACCUAAUCAAGUGUUAUAAGAGAAUUAUCUAAACAACUAUCAAAACUAACUGCAUCAUAUAAUGUUAAUGUAGUUAAAUCGAUUGAAGAACUAAAGAAAAUCAAUUUCUAGAAGAAAAAGUACCCCCUCAAAUUAAUAAAUUAAGAGGUCAAAAUUCAAAAAUGCCUAAUUUUUACCCAAGACCUUCCUUUCCUGAUAUGCAAUAUUAGGAAAGAAUGAAACCUCAUAUCUCUUAUAAUGGAGAUGAGAUAAUGGAAUGGAAUGAAAUAUUGACGAAAUGACUGAACAUCAGGUUAUUCAAGUCAUUGAAAAUAUUGUUAUGUGUUGUUCGGUUUAUCUCUGUUGAUUUAUUUCUAAAGAAACUGCCUUCAACAAUAUUUUACUUGCUUUCCAGGUCAAUUAAAAAGUUAGUGGACUAAUUACCUUAACAAUAAUGAACGUGAUGAAGUAUAUAAUGCUACUAAGCCCUUGUUUAAUCCCUGUUAUUUUCAAAAUAUAUUUUUGUUUCUCUUCUUUUCAACCAUAUAUUCUUCACUAAAAUAAUAUUAUACGCAAAUCCAACCUUUCAUUAUUUUUUGACUACAAAUUCUCUAUCAAUCUAUUAUUUCAAAAUGCAUUCUUACAAUAAAAUGGGGUUCAAAUAGGCUCUAAAUCAAAUGGACAAAAUGACAUCAAAUUAGCAUUUAUGUUUGCUGUUAUCGAGCAUUUUAUUGGAAGCCCUACUUCAUUAUAAGAAAGAUCAUCAGAAAUCUUAAAAGAAUUUAACAUGCUCAAAACUUCAUGAUUUUAGAUGGUAUAAAGAUAUCUUCCUCACUAAAGUUGUGCUUAGGAAAGAUUGUUCUCUUGUUGAUCCCAAAGGUGAUGUAAGAUUGAGAUUUAAUGGCAAUAAUGAAAUAUUCAAGAUCGCACCACGAAAACAAGAUUAAAGUAAAGUUAAAAAGAGAAACUAAGUAGAGGAACGAUGAAUUUUAUUAAAUCCGACAAUAUGGAGAGAAUAAUAAAGGACAACACUAAUGCUUCAUCUAAAACUGACAAAGGAGUCUCUAAUUUUAGGUCACAUCCAUAAACCUAAUGGAGUCCUAAAAGGUAAGAAAAUAUACUAAAAUUAGGUUAAAUCACAUAUAAAAAAAAUCUUGGAUGUAAUUUGAUUUCUUUUCAACUUCAAGCCAAACGUGAUCUUCCAAGAUUUCAACCCAAUUUUGAGGCAUUAAACCUAACAAUCUCCACCUUGACUCAAAAUUUCGAUACAACGAACGAAACUCCAAAAUUUCAAAUCCAUCUGUUUCGAAAUGAACUGACCAAUCUCCUCAACACAAUAACCAAAAUCUCCAUCACCAAACUAUCGUCAUCUGCACGAUGUCCACAAGCGACACCCGAACCCAAAUCCUGGGUUCCCAAAAUUCCAACAAGGAAUUACUGUUGACCAAACAGGUCGAAGCACACCCUGUAGCAGAAACAAUACCACAUGUUGGAUCAGAAGGCCCCUUGCUAGAACUGUCACCUUCAACAUCUCCUAAAGCAUUCCAGAUAUUAUUGACACCACUGUAUCUACGCUCCAUGAGUCUAAAUCUAGCAACUGAACACAGUGUAUCCGCUAAAAUUGGUGACAAAGCGGAAUCACCAAUACUCUCCCUAGAAGUGUUAUUAAUCAACUCAAAGGUCGCCACAAGAGGUAUUGUACCAAACUGAACUUCCGCCACGGUACUGAACUUGUCCAAAUAUCUCUUAACUGGUUCUGCACUUCCCUAUAAUAUGUCAAUUGGGAUCUCUUCCGUCCCUCCAGUACAACCCGGACAUCCCUUCGAACCUUCAAAACUCCACUUCCACCAGAGAAUUUAUAUCCUUUUGCAUCCAAGGUACUCAGCGAUAUGAGAUUCUUUGUCAAGUCCAAAACAUGACGAACCUGAUCAAAUGUCCUCACUGUCCCAUCUUGUAGCCUCAAUCUGAUCUGACCGAUUCCUGCAACCCGACAAGAUUGGUUGUUCCCUAUGACAACUCCACCUUACUACACCGUCUCAUAUGUCUGAAACAAAGCCCUAUUGGGACACAUAUGAUACGAACAUGCAAAAUUCACUCCCCAGGCUUGGAUUCCCCAUCAGAUACAGCCAAAAUUACAUCUCCAUCGUUCGAAAAAUUCUCAACAAUGUUAGUCUUAUUACCUGAUUGCCCCGCAUGAUUUGCAUGUAAAUCACAUUUACCCUGCAACUUGUUGUAAUCUUUCUUAAUGUAUCAUUUCCUCAUGCAGUAAUAACAAUACACAUUGAUGUACCUCACUAUUGAUCUACCCCUCCGUUGUUCACCAUGAGUAACCAGAGCGUCCUCACCCCUGGAUAUAGGAUUUUCAACCAACAGCUUCAUCUUCUCCUUUGAGAAUAGGGCAUCAUAUACCUCCUCAAUGGUCAGCAUGUCAAGACUAUACAAUAUAGUAUCACGAAACGACAAAAAAAAAAAAAAAAAAAAACCUGGGUAGCUAAUACAGAUCCUCUUCAUCAUAUUUUACCUCCAACAUCUUCAAAUCUACAACAAUCUCCUUAAACACGACAAAAUGGUCUUGUAAUGACUCUCCUUCUACCAUGCGAUGGGAAUACAGCUUCUAGUUUAGAGUGAGUUUCCUCAUCAGACUCUUUGUCAUGCACAACAGCUCCAGCUUAAGCCACAAAAUAGCCGUCGUCUUUUCCCUCAAGACAUCCUGCAGAAUAUUGUUGGAUAAGUGAAGAUGAAUCUGCACUAAAGCGUUUCGAUCCUCCAUUGUUUCUCCUCCAUACACAAUUUGUCGACAUCCUCUGAAAAUCCAGCAAAGCAUCGUCAAGAUCCAUCUGCAUCAACAUAGCCCUCACCUUUACUUGUUGCAGUGAAAACCUUGUAUUGCGAUCCAGCAUCGGAAUUUCAUAAUUCAACGAAUUCAUCCUUGAAAAAUCUCAACCAAAUCACGAAGAAUCUGUAACCCAUGCUUUGAUACCACUUGUUGAUCCCAAAGGCGAUGUAAGAUUGAGAUUUAAUGGCAAUAAUGAAAUAUUCAAGAUCGCACAAUGAAAACAAGAUUAAAGUAAAGUAGAAAAAGAGAAACUAAGCAGAGGAAAGAUGAAUUUUAUUAAACUCGACAAUAUGGAGAGAAUAAUACAGGACAACAAUAAUGCUUACUGGCAAAUGAGUCUCUAAUUUAUAGGUCACGUCCAUAAACUUAAUAGAGUCCUAAAAGAUAAGAAAAUACACUAGAAUUAGGUUAAAUCACGUAAAAAGAAAAUAUCUUGGAUGUAAUUUGAUUUCUUUCCAACUUCAAGCCAAACAUGAUCUUCCAAGAUUUCAACCCAAUUUUGAGGCAUUAAACCUAACAUCUCAAUCAUUUUAGAAAGAAAGAUUUAUUUCUGGACUUCUAAAACUUUUUGCCGAACGAGUAAGAAUUGCAAUAAAAAAAUACAAAUAAUGAUACGAUUCCAUAUGGUUCCCUAACUUAUGAUGAAAUUAUAAAUUACAUCAACUAAGAAAGGUUGUCAUUAUGCAAUGGCAUGAAACUCAAAUCAAACUCAAAAGUGAAAGAGCCGAAAGCUGACAAGUACUCGGAUCAUUUUGUGAGCAAUAUGGUUUCGAAAAAGUUUUAACUCCUUCUUCAAAACGUAAAAAACAAAAUAUAUCAUAUCCAAAACAUUUCAGAAAAUUGUUUUAUCAAAGAGAUGAAAAAUAUCAAAAGCCUUAAAAAAGAAAAUUUUAUAAAAGAAAAUGUCAAAAAUUUAACAAAAUUAUAACUUGUUGGAAAUGCUAACAAACAGGUCAUUAUUCUAACAAGUGUCCUAUGAAAGAAAAAAUAAACAACAUUCAAAUAGAUGAAAAGGUAAAGAAUGAACUUUUAAAUUUGAUUACUUCUAGUUGUGAAGAAAAUUUAGGAUCCGAUUAGGAACAAAUUUAUCAAAAUCAAGAAGAUUCACUUAUUGAAGAAAGCUUCAAUUCUUCAAGUUUUAGUAAUGACAAAGAUAUUUGCAGAUGCAAUGAUAGUAGUUGCUACUGCGAAAACAAAUCAAUUAAUGUCCUUACAGUCCUCAAUUAAAAAAGAAAUUCAACCAAUUAUUAACACCACAAGAACAACCAAGAGAACAAUUUAAUAUAUCUCAACUAAUGAUUAGAUUUAAACAAGAAUCCGCAUCCAAAUUUACAAGUUCUGAUUUGAGAUCAGAAAUCAAUGAAAUGAAAAAUCAAAUAUCAAAGCUUGAACAUCUGAUGAAAGACGUAAAAAUGGAAGUUAGUAUUCUAAAGACAACAUCUUUAGAAAAUAAUAAUCCAACAAGUAAAAUAAAAAUUGAAUCGGAAGAAUCUAUCUCAGAAGAAGAGGAGAAAAUUCAAUCAGAAGAAGAAAAAGUUAAUGCAAUCAAUAAAGUCCAACUUCAAAAAUGGCAUUGUAUAGUAAACAACAUAUUCAAGCUAAAAUCUCUAGUCCUUAUUAACUCUGGAGCUUAUCAAAACAGUAUUAGGUAAUGAUUCAUUGUUACAAAAUAUUUUUGAAAAGAUCACUAAGCGACUAUAUGGAGCUAGAGGAAAGAAAUUAUAUAUACGAUAUAAACUUUCAAAAGCUCAUAUUUGUACUUAAAACAUUUGUUUCAAAAACAUUUCUAUUUGGUAAAAGACUUGGAUCAAGAAGUGAUCCUUGGAACACCUUUUAUUGUACAAAUUUAUCAUUUUCAAGCAAAUGCAGAAGCACUAAAAACUACAAGUCCGGGUCAAGAAAUUAUCUUCAAAUUCACUAAUACUCCUUCACACAAAGAUGUGAAUGCUCUCAAACAAGCUUCAAUUUCAAAAAUAAUUAAUAUACUAAUUAUAAAAAAACAACAUAUCAAGUUUAUCAAAGAAGAGAUUAAAUGUAAAUUAAUUAAAGAACAAAUCCGAGAACAUAAAAAUCAAGAAAAAAAUAAAACAAAUUGAAUCAGAAAUAUGUUCUACUAUCCCAAAUGCAUUUUGGUAUAGAAAGAAAUAUAUCGUUUCUUUACCAUAUAUUUCUAAUUUUAAUGAAUCAAGAAUCGCCACAAAAUCAAGACCAAUUCAAAUGAAUAAAGAAUUACUUGAUUAUUGUGUCAGAGAAAAAUUUAAUUCAUCCCAGUAAAUCACCUUGGAGUUGUUCAGCAUUUUAUGUCAACAAUCAAAGUGAAGUAGAAAGGGGUGCUCCAAGAUUAGUUAUUAACUACAAGCCUUUAAACAAAAUUUUUCAAUGGGUUAGACAUUUUUUGUCUCCAUAGAAAAAUUUAUUAAAUAGACUUCUUAAAACACUAAUAAUUUUCAAAAUUUUGAUUUUAAAUCCAGUCUUUAGCAAAUCCAAAUUGCUGAACAUGAUAAAUACAAAACUGUACUCAAUGUUCUAUUUGGACAAUAUGAAUGGAAUGUAACGCUAUUUGGAUUAAAGAGUGCUCUUUCAGAAUUCCAAAAAAUCAUGAAUGAUAUUUUUAAUCCAUAUCAAAUCUUUUUCAAUUGUUUAUAUUGACGAUGUUCUAAUUUAGUCAGAUGGUUUAGAACAACAUUUUAGAUAUUUAAAUGUCUUAUUCAAUAUAAUAAAGUCAAAUGGAUUUGCAAUUUCUACUAAGACAAUAAUUUUUUGUCCAACUAAAAUUAUAUUUUUAGGAUGUGAAAUUUAUCAAGGAACUAUUAUUCCAAUCCAGAGAGGCGUAGAAUUUUCAAAUAAAUUCUAGGUGAUAUUUUGGACAAAACUAGUCUUCAACAAUUUUUAGGAUGUGUCAAUUAUGUGGCCGACUUUGUACAAAACAUUAUGCAAAUAUUUGAACCCCUUUAUCAUAGACAUAGAAAAAUCUCACAAGGUGGAGUCAAGAACAUACAAUAGUAGUCAAGACCAUUAAGGAAGCCGUAAAAACUCUAUGUCUCAGUAUUGUAAAUUCAAAUGCCCUCCUCACCGUAGAAACCAAUGCUUCUUAGACAUAGGAUAUGGAAGAAUUUUCAAACAAGAAACUCAUGAUCAAGAACAAUUACUUCAAUAGCAUUCAAGAAUAUGGAUUGGUGCUCAAAAGAACUAUUCUAUUGUCAAAAAUGAAAUUUUAUCAAUAGUACUAUAUAUUACCAAAUUUCAAGACGAUCUUACCAAUAAAUCAUUUCUUGCCAAAAGGGACUAUAAAGCUUUAAAAGAUUUUUUUGCAAAAAGGUGUGAUGAAACUUAUCUCAAAACAAAUCCUUGUAAGGUGGGAAGCUAUUUUUUCAUGUUUUGAUUUUGAAAUCCAAUUUUACAUGAAAAAUCUAAUGUUUUACCAGAUUUUUGUACAAUAGAAUCCUUGCAAGGUAAGUGUAAGUGUUAUGCCCUAAAUCCAAUCGAUUUAGGUUGUAAACACUUUUAAUAUGUUUAAUGCAUUUAAUUUUGGCAAGAUCUAUUAUUUAUUUAAAUUAAUUUUGUGAUAAAUAAAAUUAAAUAAUAGAAUCCGAAGAUCCAAAUUUAAGUGAUUUGUUAAUCACAAGGAGUUGUGAUUGUGAGAUACAAAUUACAUAUGAUUGGAUCUUGAAUAAAUCGUGGUCAUAAGUAAUGACGAGAUACGGAUAUCGUUAAUACAGUUAGACCAUCACGUGUGGCAUUUCUAACUUGUGAAGUAAGUAGCUGAUCUUACGAGCUAAAGUGUGGUGACACUUAAAUGAACACGUGGAUAUUUUGUUAUAGAACAAAAUAUUGGAGAUCCGCUAGGAGAUUCCACAUAAAUAACUAUCUAAUCAAUGGUUAAUCUCUAACGUUCGGUAGUGGAAUUGGUCCUAUGACUUGAGGUCAUCAUAGUGCCUUGUAUGAAGACAGUCAUACUUUGACGGUGUUGGAUGUUGCUUUGCUAAAUGCCGCUAAUACGACAUCGUUCGGAUAUGUUAAGAACCAUAUGAAGGUUGUGAAUGACCAACAGAGAAUUCGUCACUCUUAGAAAGUAAGAGAUUGUGAUCUGCAUUUCGUUCAAUUAAGUCAAUAACGAAAUCCUUGGCCAAGGUAUACAUAUAAGUCGAAAAGGAGUUUUCGACUCAUAUUGACUUAAUAGUAGAAUGAAAGAUAUAAUCGAUAAUCAGGAUUGAUACACUUCCAUAUCUCAUAGUUGAUUGGAUCAUAUUGAUGAAGGGAUUAUAAUUUCAUGGUAAACGAACAGUUUUGGUUUUGUCAUACCACGUGACAUUUCCCGUCACAUGUGUUGCCCUGAUACAUUGCUAGAUGUCAAUCUGGGAUGGCGAGUGUGAAUUUAUGAUAAAUUAAAAGGGUGUUUAAUUUAUCAGUUUUGAUUAGAUCAAAAUAAUAUUUCACGUCGUUAGGCAUCGUGGUCGAGAACCUAAUGGGUCGCACAUAAAAGAGAAUUGGAAGAUUGCAAACUGUCAAUUAAUUAAUUUGACAAUCUUUGGAUAAAUUAAUUAGUUGGAUUGGUUAUUUAUAUCCCCGAAUUAAUUAAUUGAAUUAAUUAAUUUACGGAGCGGAUUUAAUUAAAUAUUGGACCAGACCGAGCCGAACCCGUUUGGGUUUAUAUAAAUAUAUGGUUAGGGUUUAAGAUCCAUAAGGUUUUCAUCAUUCUUGCUGGCACAAGAGGAAAAAUCCUAGCAGUUGUAGUCUAUUUUCUAUGUGUAUUUCAUUGGAGGCUGGAUAAUUGGACAGCUGUGGGAGGUAGAUUCAAGUUAUUGAAAAAGAAUAACGCAAAGGAGUUUGCAAAAUCAAGAAAAAGGUAUAUUUCUCAUCACAGUUCUUAUCUAAAUACAAAGCUAAAUCCUGAAUGAGAAUUGAAAUUGUUUAAUUUCGCUAUGCAUGUUUAAGUAAAUUCCCAACAGUGGUAUCAAAGCCAACUUUGUAUUUGUUAGGAAUUGAUUUACAUAUUGAUUAAAUUAAAAGUUGAUUUAAUCAUGUUUAUCCAUGAAUCUAGCAAUUGUAGUUUUAAUUUUAUUUCUUCAGAAUCUGAUUUUGAAAAAUCAACAAAAAAAAUUUUUUUUUGGGUCGAACGUUGUGGCAACGGGGGGUAGCGCGGCCACCGCCGUGCUAUAGCGUGACAGGAGCGCGCUGCUGCGCCGGAGCAGAGGCAGCAAUGCUGCUACAACAGCAGCACUAAGGCGCUGCUGGCAGCUCCUUAGCGCUACUUGCAGGGCGGGGGACUACGGCCUGUCCCCUACCAGGUAUUGGACGGGGGCGAAGUCGUCAACAGUAGAAGAAAAAAAAAUUAAUUUCUAGGGUUUUGGUUACAGACGGGGGCCUCAGAUGCAAAUUAUGCAAUUACGGGCCCUUGGUUGCAAUUAUGAAAAUGGGGCAGUUUGCAAAAUUUUAAAAAAGGGACCUGUUCUGCAAUUUUUUAAUUUGGAAGGGUCUGAUUUUAAUUUUCAACUUGGGUCAAUUUUAAAUUUCAAAAUGGUUUUGAAUUUGAUUUUUGAAAUGGUUUUAAAAUUAAAUCUUAAAUGGGUUCGACCAAAUAUUUUAAUUUUGACCCAAAUUUAAAUUUUUUUUAAAAAUUAACGACUUUUAUAUUUUGUUAAAAUUAGAUUUUAACUUAAAUAUUUAAUUUUGACCCUUAAUUGAACUUUUAUUUUAUUUGGGAGUUUUGUCCUAAAUUAAAAUAUUAAUUCAAUUUUAUUAGAGUUGGACUCUAGUAUUAUAUUAAUUAAAAUUUGUUUUGAAUUAAUAUCACUUACCAAUAUAAAUUAAAAUUUAGAGUAUGACUCUAAUUUAAUAAUUAAUUAAAAUUUGAUUUUGAUUAAAUUACUUCGCCCAAUAGUUAUGGAAUUAGAGUUGGACUCUAAUUUGGGAUUUAGUUGAAAUUUGAUUUUAAUUAAAUAGGCCCGCCAAUUAAGUUAAUUAAUUAAUAUGAUUAUUAAUUAUUUAAUUAUUUCGAUCCAAAAUUUUAAAUUAGUUUUGAUGACUAUAAUUUGCUAGAUUUAUGAGAUAUUGCAUAUAAUAUUAGAUAUUAUACAUAGGAAACAUUUAUAUGAUGAAUGUUUAUGGAUGAUUAUAGAUUCGACCACAUGGAUGUGUUGAAUGGUUGAUUUACUUCUUGUUGUUUUAUGGGCCUGCGAGCCCUUAAUUGUUUUGGACCUGCGAGCCCAUUGUUAUUAUUGUUGUUAUGGGUCUGCGAGCUCUUUAUUAUAUUGGACCUGCGAGUCCGUUGUUAUUAUUAUUAUUAUGGACUUGCGAGUCCGAUUUCUUUUAGGCCUGCUGCCAACUAGUAUAGGAUACAUGUUACAGUUUGACUAAUUGAAGGCGCAAGAAGAGGUGGACACCAUGGAGAUGGUGCAUUGGUGUUGAUCCAAUGNNNNNNNNNNNNNNNNNNNNNNNNNNNNNNNNNNNNNNNNNNNNNNNNNNNNNNNNNNNNNNNNNNUAAAAUUUAUCUUUUGUUGAGUACACUCAAGGAGAUAAAUUUUAGAGACAUGUUAAGUUAACACAUUAGAUGUUUGAAGACAAAAGAGUUGUCAGUUUAAUGAUCUGGGAGUUGUAUGGAGAUACAAUUGAUAAUAAUAUCUACCCAAAUAUUUUUAUUAAGAUUUGUUAAGUACACUCAAGAUCUUGAUACAACGAAUAAGAUCCCAACCCAUUGGGAAUCAAAUGUGGAUUCAAAUAAUUUAUGUAUGAGGGUCAUGAAUUUAUUUUAAACAGUGGGAGCACUUUUAAUUAAAGUCCAUAUUGAAUUUGAGCAUAUGUAUUGUAAUACAUAUUAAUUCUAUAUUUUUCAUCAUUUACAGUUUUUGAAUCAUGAGUAAUCAUAUGAAUUUGAGAGGUAUACUGGAUACUAACAAACUGACCGGACCAAAUUUUCUCGAUUGGCACCGUAAUUUGAGAAUCAUUCUCUAACGUGAAAAAAUUGGGUAUGUCCUUGAGCAGCCCUUUCCAGUGGUGCCUAUUGAAAAUUUCACUCAGGAAGAUAUGGCUGCUUACAACAAAUACAGUGAUGACGAUAAUACUACAGCAUGUGUGAUGCUUGCAGCUAUGUCACCUGAGUUGCAGAAGCAACAUGAGUGUAUGGAUGCUUACACUAUGAUUUUUCAUCUCAAGGAAUUGUAUGAUGAACAAUCUCGUGUGAAGAGGUAUGAGACCUCUAAACAACUAUACUGGUGCAAAAUGGCAUAAGGAUCAUCAGUCAGUGUUUAUGUGCUGAAGAUGAUUGGUUUCAUUGAAAAACUGGGUUCAUUGGGUUUUAUCAUGAAUCACGAACUAAGUAUUGACUUGGUUCUGCAAUCUCUGCCAGAUAGUUAUUCACAGUUCAUUAUGAACUUCAAUAUAAAUAAGAUCAAAUGCACACUCCCUGAGUUGCUUAAUAUGCUUAAAACUGUAGAGCUCAAUAUCAAGGCUAGCACUGGGCAUGUCUCAACUAUUCAUUCUUCCAAGGGCACUAAGACGAAAAUCAAAGGAAGUUUUAAAAAAAUAUCUAAAAAGUCUAAGGGCAAUAACAAAGCAAUCAAAGCAGGCAAGGACAAUACCAAAUCUGAUGACCCAUGUUAUCACUGUGGAGUGAAAAGUCAUUGGAAGAGGAACUGCAAGGCUUACCUCGCUAGCUUGAAGGGAAAGAAGUCUUCUGAAGCUUCUACUUCAGGUAUUUUUGUUAUCGAGGUUAAUAUGUCUACUUCAUUAGCUUCUUGGGUAUUAGAUACCUGAUGUGGAUCUCAUAUUUGUAUAAAUAUGCAGGGACUAAAGAGAAGUAGACCACUGCAGAAAAGAGAAGUUGACUUGCGCGUGGAAAAUGGAGCAAGAGUUACUGCAUUAGCUAUAGAGACAUACUUCUUACCACUGCCUUCGGGCUUAGUAUUCGAAUUAGAAAUUUGCUAUUUUGUUCCCGCCAUUACUAAAAACAUUAUUUCUAUUUCAUGUUUGGACAUGAAUGGUUUUUCAAUUCAUAUUAAGAACAAUCGAUGUUCGUUUUAUAAAGAUGAGAUCUUUUAUGGUUGUGGUGUGUUGCAAAAUGGAAUUUUUGUUCUUGAUACUGAGUCAUCUAUUAUGAAUAUAGAAAAUAAAAGGCAUAAAAGUGAUAAUCUAAAUAAUACAUACCUCUGGCAUUGCAGGCUGGGUCAUAUUAACAACAAACGCAUUUCCAAGUUACAUAAAGAUGGAUACUUGGGGUCAACUGAUUUUGAAUCAUUUGACAAAUGCGAGUCGUGCCUGUUAGGCGACCAAGUUCCCUUUUACUGGAAAAGGAGAAAGAACCACAGAACUGCUGGGACUAAUACAUACUGAUGUAUGUAGACCCAUGUCAAUAAUUGCCAAAGGUGGUUUCUCUUACUUCAUCACAUUCACUGAUGAUCAUUCCAGAUAUGGUUAUGUGUAUCUAAUGAAAUUCGAGCAUGAAGCACUUGAAAAGUUCAAGGAAUUCAAACUUGAAGUAGAGAAACAAACUGGUAAAAAUAUUCUCACGCUGAGAUCAGAUCGAGGUGGAGAGUAUUUAAAGGGAGAAUUUUUAGAUUAUCUAAAAGAGAAUGGGAUUCUCUCUCGCAGUGGACUCCGCCAUAUACACCUCAACAUAAUGGUGUAUCUGAACGGAGGAAUCGCACUUUGUUAGACAUGGUGCGAUCUAUAAUGAGCCAUGCAAACAUCCCAAAAUCAUUUUGGGGUCAUGCACUAAUUGCUGCGUGCUACACACUCAAUCAUGUCUCAUCUAAAUCGAUCGACAAAACUCCAAAGGAGCUAUGGAGAGGAAAAAGACCAAACUUAUCUCACAUGAAAGUUUGAGGUUGUGACGCUUAUGUAAAACGAAAUGAAUUAGAUAAGCUUGAGGCUAAAUCUGAUAAAUGCGUAUUUGUGGGAUAUCCAAAAGAGAUAAUUGGAUAUUAGUUUUAUAAUCUCGUUGAGAAGGUGUUCAUCUCAAGACAUGUCAUAUUCCUAGAGAAAGACUUUAUUCUAGGAGAGGGUAGUGGGAGCAAACUAGAACUUGAAGAAGUUCAAGAAUCCACAGAUACUGUUGACCAAUUAGAUGAACCUGAGUCUGAUCCUACACCUGUUGACGGAUAGACUCUUGAUCAGGAUGUAGAGAAUCCUGAGGACACUCCAGCUCAGCGUAAAUCAAGUAGGAUCAUUCGACCUCCCAGAAGGUACAAAUUCACGAUUACUAAUCAAGUUUUAUUAGUCGAGGAUGAUGAACCUACAAAUUACACAGAAGCGAAGUCAAGUGUUGACUCGAAGAGAUGGCAAGAAGCCAUGGAAUCCGAAAUGAAUUCAAUAUAUGAGAACAAGGUUUGGACCUUGGUCGACUUUCCAGGUGGUAUAAAACCGAUAGGUUGUAAAUGGGUUUACAAGAAAAAGGUCGAUGUGGAUGGAAACGUUCAUACAUACAAAGUAAGGCUAGUAGUGAAGCGUUACACACAAAGAUAAGACAUUGACUUUGAUGAAACCUUUUCACUUGUAGCCAUGCUAAAGUCCAUUCGGAUUUUACUUGCAAUAACUGCAUACCAUGAUUAUGAGGUAUGGCAAAUGGAUGUCAAAACUGCUUUCCUUAAUGGAAACUUACAAGAGGAGGUGUACAUGACACAGCCUAAAGGUUUUGAAUCCAAAGGAGCCAACAAAGUAUGUAAACUAAAUCGAUCCAUUUAUGGAUUAAAGCAAACCUCUAGGAGCCGGAAUCUUCAUUUUGAUGAGACAAUUAAGAGGUUUGAUUUUAUCAAAAAUGAAGAAGAACCGUGUGUUUACAAGAAGACAAGUGGGAGCGUGGUCGUAUUCCUAAUAUUAUAUGUGGAUGACAUAUUAUUAAUAGGAAACGACAUCCCAAUACUUCAAUCGGUAAAAUUAUGGUUGUCAAAAAAUUUCUCCAUGAAAGAUAUGGGAGAGGCAGCAUAUAUCUUGGGAAUCAAGAUCUAUAGAGAUAGAUCUAAAAGAUUACUAGGCUUAUCCCAAUCUUCGUACAUAGAUAAAAUCUUGAGAAGAUUUAAUAUGGAAGAGUCUAAAAGAGGUUUAUGUCCCAUGUCACAUGGGAUUUACCUCUCAAAAUAUAUGUAUCCUAAAACAUAUGAUGAAAGGAGUCGCAUGGAUAAGAUUUCUUAUGCUUUGGCGAUAGGAUCUAUCAUGUAUGCGAUGCUAUGUACGAGACCAAAUGUUUCAUAUGCUCUAAGUGUUACGAGCAGGUUUCAAGCAAACCCUGGUAAGAAACACUGGAUAGCGGUUAAGAACAUUCUUAAGUACUUGAGAAGGACUAAAGAUGUGUUCUUGAUCUAUGGAGGAAAUAAACUGAAGAUUCAUGGGUAUACUGAUGCCAGCUUUCAAACUGACAAAGAUGAUAGCAAGUCUCAAUCAAGAUAUAUGUUUACUCUCAACAAUUGAAUGGUUAGUUGGAAAAGUUCCAAAUAGGAGACAACCGCUGAUUCAACAACAGAAGCCGAGUACAUUGCUGAUUCUGAAACAGCGGAGGAAGCUGUUUGGAUCAAGAAGUUCAUUAAUGAACUUGGAGUAGUUCCUAGCAUUGUUAAUCCCAUACCUUUAUAUUGUGAUAACAAUGGAGCCAUCGCACAAGCGAAGGAACCGAGGUCUCAUCAACGAUCCAAACAUGUGCUAAGGCGAUAUCAUCUCAUCAGGGAGAUUAUACAAUGAAAUGAUGUAAUGAUAGAGCGAGUUCCUACAGAUGACAAUAUUGCUGAUCCAUUGACAAAGCCGUUGUCACAACAGAAACAUGAUCGUCAUGUGGACGCUUAUGGUAUUAGAUACAUGAGUGAUUGGAUCUAGUGCAAGUGGGAGUUUGUAAGUGUUAUUCCCUAGAUCCAAUUGAUUUAGGUUAUAAACACUUUUAAUAUGUUUAAUGCAUUUAAUUUUGGCAAGAUCUAUUAUUUAUUUAAAUCAAUUUUAUGAUAAAUAAAAUUAAAUAAUAGAAUUUGAAGAUCCAAGUUUAAGUGAUUUGUUAAUUACAAGGAGUUGUGAUUGUGAGAUACAAAUUAUACAUGAUUGGAUCUUGAAUAAACCUUGGUCGUAAGUAAUGACGAGAUACGGAUAUCGUUAAUACAGUUAGACAAUCACGUGUGGCAUUUGUUACUUGUGCAGUAAGUAGUUGAUCUCACGAGCUAAAGUGUGGUGACACUUAAAUGAACACUGAAUAUUUUCUUAUAGAACAAAACAUUGGAGACCCGCUAAGAGAUUCCACAUGGAUAACUAUCUGAGUGUCAGUGUUUAAUCUCUAACGUUCAGUAGUGGAACUGGUCCUAUAACUUGAGGUCAUCAUAGUGCCUUGUAUGAAGACAGUCAUACUUUGACGAUGUUGGAUGUUGCUCUGCUAAGGGCCGCUAAUACAACAUUGUUCAGGUAUGUCAAGAAUCAUAUGAAGGUUGCGAAUGACCAAUAGAGGAUUCGUCACUCCUAGAUAGUAAGAGAUUGUGAUCUGCAUUUCGUUCAAUUAAGUCACCAAGGUAUACAUAUAAGUCGAAAAGGAGUUUUCGACUCAUAUUGACUUAAUAGUAGAAUGAAAAAUAUGAUCGAUAAUCGAGAUUAACAGACUUCCAUUUCUCGUAGUUGAUCGGAUCAUAUUGAUGAAGGGAUUAUAAUUUCAUGGUAAACGAACAGUUUUGGUUUUGUCAUACCACGUGACAUUUUUCGUCACAUGUGUUGCCCUGAUACAUUGCUAGAUGUCAAUCUGGGACGACGAGUAUGAAUUUGUGAUAAAUUAAAAGGGUGUUUAAUUUAUCAGUUUUGAUUAGAUUAAAAUAAUAUUUCACGUAGUUGGGCAUCGUGGUCAGAAAUCUAAUGGGUCGCACACAAAAGAGAAUUGGAAGAUUGCAAAUUGUCAAUUAAUUAAUUUGACAAUCGUUGGAUAAAUUAAUUAAUUGAAUUGGUUAUUUAUAUCCCCGAAUUAAUUAAUUGGAUUAAUUAAUUCACGGACCGAAUUUAAUUAAAUUGAUUAAUUAAAUAUUGGACCAAAUCGGGCCGAGCCCGUUUGGGUUUAUAUAAAUACAUGGCUAGAAUUUAAGAUCCAUAAGGUUUUCAUUAUUCUUGCUGGUACAAGAGGAAAAACCCUAACAGUUACAGUCUAUUCUCUGCGUGGAUUUCAUUGGAGGCUGAACAAUUGGACAGCUGUGGGAGGCAAAUUCAAGUUGUUGGAAAAGAUUAACGCAAAGGAGUUUGCAAAAUCAAGAAAAAUGUAUAUUUCUCAUCACAGUUUUUAUCUAAAUACAAAGCUGAAUCCUGAAUGGGAAUUGAAAUUGUUUAAUUCCGCUGUGCAUGUUUAAGUAAAUUCCCAACAGUAAGAAAUAAAACUCUAUAAAUGGAGAGAGAGCCCGAGAAAAAAAGAAAGGAAAAAAAAAAUUAAGUGCUAAAGGAAAGAGUAAGAAAACUUUUGAUCAAGUUUUGUUACAAAGUGCCAACUCAAGAACAGCUUCAAUGUUUUCGCAAAAACAACUCAAGCAUCUAUACAUUCAAAUUCUCAAGCCUUAUCAAAUUUCCAAUACUUUCCAAGUCUUAGGAAGUUCUCCAAGACAAAAGAUUUCCUAGCUCAAUUUGGACUCUCUUUCAAGCCAGUAAAAUCAUUUGAUAUAUUUCCUCCAAAACCCUCUCAAAUUUCUCAAACAUCAAAAUAAACCAAUUUCAAAAGAGCAGUUUAAACAUGAUCUGAAAAAUUGCUUGUCAUAAUCAGCCUAAAAAAACCCAAAAUUUUCAAUAUUAUACAAAACCAAGAUUUUUACCAAUGAUAGAAAUGGAAGGAACAAGUUUAUUCUCAAAUAUACAAAUUCAGUCAAAAUUACUCAUAACCCAAGCCCUUAAGAAAUAAAUUUUCUAAAAUCAAGAUUAUUUAAGUUUUAACUUAUGAAGAGUCGAGACAGCAUCCAUGGUAAAAUAAGAAGGUUGAUAUUCAAGAAAUGUUUCACCUUCAAGGUUCAAUUAUUUUGAUCAUAUAAUGGCAUGGUACUAAGUGUUUUAUAUUAGAACAGUUUCCCACUCCUAGUUUAUUAUGUUCGAUCAUAAAUGCCGAAGUUCUUUUCAAAAUUGGUGUCAAGAUUGGUUCAUAUUCAUUGGACUUGAAGAAGAGAUACUUACCAAUCUCUUUUCUCAAGGUUUCAAAUAUUUCAAAGAAAACAGAACAAAAUUUUGCCAAAUUCAAGAAUAGCUCCUUUCCAAUUUUCAAUAACUUUUAAAUUAUCAUGGACAUUCUGCUGGGAUUUUCAAAUUGCAAAAGAAGCUGCUUCUGACUAUGCUCCAAAGAAAAUAGUUAAACGUCUCAAGAUCAAGUGGUAGGAAAGUUCUCAAAAACUGAUGUCUGCUCGAAAGCAGUUCAAACAUUGCUUGAUGGUUACGAAUAUUGACAAAAAGAGAUAAACAAGUUUUCUCCAAAGUCAAGAAAAGCAAGCUAAUUUUUUAACAGAAAAAGGAAGCUUAAGUCAAUGUUAGUUCAAUGCAAAAAUAUAAAGGAAUUCACUUAUGUAGCACAACAAUUAGCUGUUUUAGCAUAUUCGGCCUCAAAUGCCACUAAAGCCUCCAAAGCCUGCAAAUUAAGCUCAAGGUCACAAACUAAAGACUAUGCCCAAGACAAUGGAGAAGAUGAUUUUGUUGAUGAUCAAUAAUUCAAAAAUAUCAAAAAACAAUGGAGUAAGAAAUAAUUGUCCUUCAAACUUUACAGCAAGUGGAGAAGACAGCUGUACUUUUAAGUACUUUAAAAGUAGCUUAUUCAAAAAGGCAAGUGACAGAUGUAAUUGUCCUUCAUCCUUCAAAAUCAAAUUGCCAACAACUCUUUUGAAAAGAAGAUGGUCAACCAUCCUUUCAAGAUUCCUUCAAAAAAUUAAUAAAAUUUUCAAGUCCUGAACACCCGAAGACCUCUGUAAGAGGAGAGAAACUCUUCAAGAAGAAAAUCAGAGUGUAAUUUUUAAAAUUUUUCUCUAUGUUGUGUCAUCAGUUCAACAUUUUAGAUUUUCGAUUACUAUUCUUGAUCUUUAUUUAAAGAAUAUUUCAAGAAAAAUUGUAACCGUUCAAGUUGUUACUAUUCAAAAGUCAAAAUUAUUGUUCACUAUUCAGCAAUAUAUGUAAAUUACAUAUGAAAUAAUACUAUAAUAUAUUAAAGGUUGCAUUAAUGAUAGAUAAAUUAUAAGUUAAUUUUAUGUAGCCUCCUUUUAAGUCUAGGGUUCAUUAAUUAAAAUAUAAAAUAAUAUUUAUUACGAUUUUAAUAUAAUUACUCCAAUAUAAAACAAUGACCAUUAUCCUUAAAUGGAUAUUAAAUGAAGAUAAAUUAUAUUAAAUGGUACUAUAUAUAAGAGUAGAAUUGACAUAUAGUUUAAUAUAUAAUGGUAAAAUUGGUAUUCAAAAGUCCUUGUCUAUUCUCACUUUUAAUUUCUAACACGACCUUUUAAGCAGAAACCUCAAAUUAGAAAUCCAUCCAUGGUGGAGCCGUAGUUGCUAACUAGGUAAUAAUAUCAUGAAUUUUCUGAUGGAUGAAUAUCCAAUUAAAAUACACGACAUAAUAUUAACAUUGGCUUACUUAGUUCGAUUGAUUUCAAGGAGAUCAAUAGUCUAAAGGAUAUAUGAAUAAGCAUUUCUUCUUUAAAUAUCAUAGAAUUUCUUCAAAUACAGUUUCAUCUGUUGGUUUUGAUUAUGUGCAAGGAUUGAAAAUGAGGAAAACAAGUGGAUCCUCUGUUAGAAUGCUCAAGGCUCAUGUUAGUGCUUCCUCAUGAUGUGUUCCAAACUAUGGUUUAUAAAUAUUAUAUAAACUCUAAACUAUCAAAAAGGUUGCCACAAAGGUUAUGAGUAAUGGUACUUAUCGUCAUGACGUUAAAUCACUGAUGAUGUGACAACUCAUUAUCCCUCACAUUUCUAUUUCUCUCCUCCCCCUCUCUCUCUCAUAUAAAUUGAACUAUUCAAUCUCAUUAUUACACAUAGACUAUCACAUCAUCAUGAUGAUAAACAACAUUAUUUAAAUGUUAUAGUAAGACGUUUGCUAUUAGCUAAUACUUUUUAAGUUUUUUUAUGUUUGUUUAUGUUGAUUGUAAGUUAAAAUGAGCUAAGAUUUAAGGAUGUAUUGAAAAUCCAAGUAUGGGAAAUAAUUGUCUAACUUCCAUUUACAAAGUAAUGUAAGUACAAGUAGGUCUUCACAUGGUAUAAAACAAUUCUUUACAAGGUCUUAAGUAGUGCUCGAAAAGGUUUUCAAUGUCGAAUGCUAACUUAAAUAGAACAAAACGGAAAACUCAUGUCUUGAGUGAGUUUGUUAUUUGUGCAUAGAGUCAUUUAGUGAGCUCGAUUAUCAUGGUUUUGGGCAAUCACUUGGGUUGGAACAAAUUAUCAUGAUUAUACUUAUUCGACAUUACUAGAAAAAGUUUAGUGAAUAUUGAAAUAUAAUCCCAUAUUAUGGAGAUGAUAUUUUACUCUCUACAAGAAAAUAAUGUUAUUCAUUAUAAGCAAUAAUUAUUAUCGGUUUAGGUAGUUAUACACCUCUAGAUUUAUUGUAUUCAUGAUCACAACUAAUGGUGAAAUAUAGUAAUUCCUAGAAGGCAAAAAUAGAGUUCAGCUUAGUAUCAAAACAAAGCAAACAUAAGAUAGAAGUUAUUUGAUGUUUUAUUUAAUAGUGCACACAAUACCUAGUAACAAGAUGAGAAUGUGAAAGAGAAAAAAACAAGAGAUCAUCUCUUAUUACGCUCACAAUGUUGGAAUAAUUCCAUAUGUGGGCUUCACAUUCGAUUGCAAAUUUUACAGGUUAGAUGUAUGGCUCAUAAUGAUAUUGUGUUUGGGCCAAAUUUAUUAAGUGAUCAAUUGGGUCUUUUACACCUUACGAGUUGUAAUUAAUUUGAUGUGGUAAUUUUAAGUAUGUGAGCCGGAAAUAAAUCCUAAUUAAAAUUCUAGUCGUAAUGGGACGGCUCAAAUUAUUUCCUAUAUAUAAAGGCUAGUUCAUCUCUCCUCUUCAUAUGUUUUAUUGACUUGCCCCAUUGAUAACUGAUAUUUUGUGAGGAGCAAGGAGUAGAAUAUCUUGACUGCUAUUACAAAUAUCAUUCAUAUCAACAAUGGCUUCCGCAUGUAUGAAUUAGUAUUUAUAAAUUUAUUGGAAUGUGAUUAUCAAUUCUUAACAUGGUUAAAACUAAAUUAAACAAUUGGUAUCAGAGCAGCAUAUUAAGAUCGAAAUCCUUAAUGAUUUUUUUUCUUAUCUCACGUUGAAAAACGUCUUCUGUGCAUACAUUAAAAUUAUAUGUAUAAUGUAUAGUUCAUUGUAUAACACGUACGUAGAUUUACGGUUACCAAUGUGUCAUUGGAUUAAUUCCUAUUUCCUUCACGUGGUUGAGUAACCCACAAGCAGGAACAAUAAAUGCUUAUAGUGUCCCUCUCUCUCCUCCUUUUAUAUAAAUGUGUGUGUGUGUGUGUAUAUAUAUAUAUANNNNNNNNNNNNNNNNNNNNNNNNNNNNNNNNNNNNNNNNNNNNNNNNNNNNNNNNNNNNNNNNNNNNNNNNNNNNNNNNNNNNNNNNNNNNNNNNNNNNNNNNNNNNNNNNNNNNNNNNNNNNNNNNNNNNNNNNNNNNNNNNNNNNNNNNNNNNNNNNNNNNNNNNNNNNNNNNNNNNNNNNNNNNAUUUAUAGACAUACAUAUAUAUAUGUAUAUACACAUAUAUAUGUAUAUAUACACACGUAUAUAUAUGUGUGUCUAUUUAUAACCAUGCUAAUUUGAAUCUUCAAUUGAAUUUGUGUGUGAGUUUUUGUCUAUGAUGAUUAUCAAGAAUACAAAAAAAUGAAUAAAAAAUAAAUAAAUAUUUGGUUGAUCAGCGGCAGCAUGUUGCUGCCGCACGGGUUGCAUCGCCAGCAGGAAAGGUAGAUGGGGGCUUCUGUCGUAAAUAAGUAAUCGUCAAACCCCUGUUUACAAUUAUAAAUUGGGGGUUAGGUUUUGUAAAUAAUAAAAUGAGGGCCUAUCAUGUAAUUUAUAUAGUUGAAGGACCUGUUAAGCAAUUUUGGGUACUGGGGACCUGAUUUUAGUUUGAAUUUAGGGUUAAAAUGUAAUUUUCAAUAAGGGGCUCUUAAUUUGAACAUUUAAAGUUUUGACCCUAAAUUUUAAUUUUGACCCAGUUAAAAAUUUUAUUCAGUAAUUGACUCAAUUGAAAUUUAUUAAAUAGUACUAAUAAUUUAAUUGACAACUUUUGUAUUAUUUCAUGCAUUUAAAUGUUGACAUUAUUUGCGCGCUUAAAUUUCAAUUUUUAUAUGCUGACAUAUUGAAAUUUGUUGCCCUGUUUUGUCUUCAAAUCACAUAUAAAUUUUGCCGUUUAUCGAUUAAUGAUUAUGAUUUGUUACAUAAUUAUUGUUUUGUGAUUGUAUUUUUCAUGGACAUUGAGAUGAUUCUUAUUUUCCCAUUGAGAGGGAAAUAUUUUGAAAUAAAAAUGGGCGGUAGCGACAAAAAUGGCACACUCAUUAUUAUUUAUUGGAUUUUCUCUGCAAUAAAUAAAUAUAUAUUUUUGCGCACCAAUUUUGAUUUAUUGCAUAUAAUAUCUUGCCCAAAGGUGUUAUUAAAUGUAAUAUUUUUUGGAAAUGGUAUAAGGCGGUUAACGAAUUUACCUUGGUCUAGAAAUUUCCUUCUGCCCAAAAGUGUUGGUGUUUCAAAAAUCAGUGUAAUUUUGUUAAUUGGCUACAUGAUGUGUUUUAAGAGUACCUUAUAGCAUGUUGUAUUGUCGCCCCAAAGGUGACUUUAUAAUGAUGCAUCUAGGCUCUUACCGUAAUAAAAUUCAUAUGUUUCGAUUUAAAUUACGGAUUAUCUAAUUAAUAGCCCAUAUUAGUUAGUUGGAUAUUACAUCAUCCAUUUGAUUGCAUGCAUUACAUUUGGAUGAUAUUAAGAGUAAUAUUUUAUGUUUCCACAGUUUAUAAUGAUUCAUCUCUUUCGAAUCAAUUGUCUGCUAUUGAAACCUUGAGUGGGAAUAACUAUGUGAUAUGGAAACGAGACGUAGAAAUAAUACUUGGUCUUUUAGGCUUGGAUUUUACAAUGGAGAAAAAGCUUGAGAAACCCACAGAUAUGAAUACUGUUGAAUCUGUAGCCGAGCAUGAAAAGUGGGAAAGGGCUAACAAACAAACUUUGCUCGAAAAUCAUUUAGCGAUCAAUAUCUGAUUCCAUUCUAGGUGCCAUCCCCCGAUAAUGAAAAUGCCAAAAGUUUUAUGGAUGCCAUAGGAGAAAAAUUUAUUGAGUCUGAUAAAGCCCAAACUGGAGAUCUGAUGGAUAAACUAAUGAACAUGAAAUAUGAUGGUACAAGUGGUGUUAGAGAGCAUGUCAUGAAAAUGAUAAAUAUAUCAUCGAACCUAAAAGCUCUUGACAUUCCCAUUGUGGAGCCUUUCCUAGUUUAUCAUGUUUUGAAUAGCCUUCCUAGCAAGUUUAAUCGGCUUUAGGUUGCUUACAAUGCUUAGCGGGAUAAAUGAAAUUUGAAUGAUCUCAUAACAGUGUGUGCCCAAGAAGAGUAUAGGAUGUACCAUGAAACUGUUGAAACUGUGCAAUUAGCCUUUCAGCCAUUGCAGAAUAAGGAGCCUUCUCAUAACCAUAAAUCUAAGUUUCGUAAGGGUAAUAAGUCCCAUCAAAGUGAACAGAAUAAAAAUUUUAGUGGUCCCAAAGGAGUAUAAAGAAAAAUGAUUAAUGCAAGUUUUGUAAAAAGAAUGGUCACUGGCAGAAAGACUGUUUUAAGUUCAAGACUUGGUUAGAAAAGAAGAAGAGUUCUCGAGGUAUUCCCUUGGCCUUAGUUUGUUUUGAGUCUUCUUUAGUAGAUGUGCUUUUGAAUUCUUGGUGGUUAGAAUCGGGAGCUAGUAUUCAUAUUGUGAAUCCCUUGCAGGGAUUCACAAGCAAAUGGAGGCCAAGUGAGAAUGAAGUAAGCUUGAGCGUUGCAAAUGGAGUUCAAGUGAAGGUUGAAUUCAUAGGAGCAGUGAAGUUGACUUUAGAGUCUGGUUUUUAUCUUGUUUUGGAAAAUACAGUUUAUGUACUGCAGAUGAGACGAAAUUUAAUUUCUAUACCGAAACUUGAUGCUUGUGGUUUUAUAUUUAAUUUUGGUAAUGGAAUGGUUAAGUUAUUUAAUGAUUCUCGUUUGAUUAGGAAUGACAUUUUAUGUGAUGGUUUAUAUAAAUUAUCUUUGACUCAUUUUGGUGAUGUCUCGUGUGUUACAAAUGUAUCAAAGAAAAGGACUUUAAUUCGUGAAUCAUCCUCUAUGUUGUGGCAUAAGCGUUUGGAUCAUAUUUCUAAGGAUAAAAUGGAAAGAUUAGUAAAAGAUGAGAUACUUCCCUCUUUAGACUUCUCUAAUUUUGAAACAUGUGUGGAUUGUAUAAGAGGAAAGCUAACUAAAUCUACAAACAAGGGUUCGACUAGGAGUAAUGAAAUUUUGGACUUAAUUCACAUUGAUAUCAGUGAACCUUUGCCUUCCACCAUAUGUGGGAACAAAUAUUUUAUAACCUUUAUUGAUGAUUUCUCACGACAUGGAUUUGUUUACUUGAUUAACGAUAAAUCACAGGCACUUGAGAAAUUCAAAGUUUUCAAACUAGAAGUAGAGAAACAAUAUGGAAAAAGUAUCAAAGAUGUAAGGUCUGACUGUGGUAGUGAGUACUAUGGGAAAUAUAACGAGUCUGGUCAAAAUAUGGGUGAUUUUGCAAAGUUUUUACAAAAGUGUGGAAUAGUGCCCCAAUAUACCAUGACAGGGACACCUGAGCAGAAUGGUGUUUCUGAAAGACGUAAUCGAACCCUAAAAUAUAUGGUUAGAAGUAUGAUGAGUAGAACAAAUUUGCUUGAAUAUUCGUAGGGUGAAGCUUUGAAAACUACUAUGUAUAUUUUGAACAGAGUUCCAAAAAAAGUUGUUGCAAAGACACCUUUUGAAUUAUGGACAGGACGUAAGCUAAGUUUGACUCACUUUAAAGUUUGGAGAUGUCCAGCUGAGGUUAGGAUUUAUAAUCCAUUUGAAAAGAAAUUAGACCCUAAAUUAACUCCUGGCUACUUUAUUGGGUAUCCGGAUAGAUCAAAGGGAUAUAAGUUUUACUGUCCAAAUCGCGGCACUAGAAUUGUGGAGUCCAUUACUGCUAAGUUUCUGGAGAAUGAUUUUGGAGAUAAUGGGAGUUCCACGUUGAGAGAAAUUCUUGUUGAACCUAAUCAAGUUCUUGUUCCAGUUCCUAUUAUAUAUGAAAGAGUUGGUUCUCAACUAAUUGAAGUUGUUAAUGAGAAACAGAGGAACCAGGAGGAACCUCCAAUUCCUCAAACAAUGAUUGAAUUGUUUUCUGAGCCACAAGUUAGGAGGUCACAAAGGAAAAGAAAAUCUGCAUUGCCCAGUGAUUAUAUUACAUAUUUAUUGGAGAGCGAUUUUAAUAUUGGGCAUAUUGUUGAUCCUGUAACUUAUAACCAAGCAUUGACAAAUCUUGAGGCAGAUAAAUAGAUAGCUGCCAUGAAAGAUGAAAUGAAUUCCAUGGAAAAGGAAUAAAGUUUGGGAUCUUGUUGAACUUCCUCCAGAUACUAAGGCUAUAGAUAACGAGUGGAUUUUCAAAAGUAAAUUAGAUUCAAAAGGAAAUGUUGAAUGAAAGAAAGCAAGAUUGGUUGCAAAAUGUUUCACUCAGCGAGAGAGCAUUUAUUAUGUUGAAACAUUCUCCCCUGUUUCGUCGAAAGAUUCUUUUCGAAUUAUCAUGGCUCUUAUAGCACACUACAAUUUGGAGUUUUAUCAAAUGGAUGUUAAGACAAUAUUUUUGAAUGGAGAUCUUUCUGAAAUGGUUUAUAUAAAACAACCUAAAGGAUUUGUUGUUAAAGGAAAAGAAAACUAUCUUAAAACCAGUGGAAGAAAUUUUAUUUUCCUUAUAAUAUAUGUUGAUAACAUUUUGCUUGCUAGCAGUAACUUAGGGCUGCUUCAUGAGACAAAGAAAAUGUUGUCUGCUAAUUUUGAGAUGAAAGAUCUUGGAGAAGCUUCCUAUGUACUUGGCAUUGAAAUACAUCGUGAUAGAAAUCAUGGCUUAUUGGGACUUUCUCAGAAAGAUUAUAUACGACGUGUUCUAGAAAUGUUUAAUAUGCAAAAAUGUGCACCUGGUGAUGUACCUAUCAUAAAAGGAGAUAAGUUUAACAAAACUCAAUGUCCAAGGAAUGAGCUAGAAAGGGAGUCUAUGAAGAUGAUUCCAUAUGCUAGUGUUGUGGGGAGCUUGAUGUAUGCUCAAGUUUGCACUAAUCUAGUCUAAUCUACAACAAGAGCAUUGGAAAGCAGCUAAGAAAGUUAUGAGAUAUUUGAAGAAAACUGAAGGUUAUAUGCUUACAUUACAGCGUACAAAUCAUCUUGAGGUGGUAGGAUAUUCAGAUUCUGAUUUUGCUGGAUGUUAAGAUGAUUUGAAUCAACCUCAUGUUAUAUUUUUACAUUAGCUGGUGGUGCCAUUUCUUAGAAAAGUGCUAAACAGACUCUAGUGGCAUCUUCUACUAUGCAAGCUGAAUUUGUGGCAUGUUAUGGGGCUACACUCCAAGCCGUUUGGUUAAGAAAUUCUAUCUCUGGCUUGAAAGUUGUUGAUUCCAUCUCAAGACCGAUCACCAUCUACUGUGAUAAUAGUAUAGCAGUAUUCUUUUCAAAGAAUAAUAAAAGUUCUGGUGGAUCAAAACAUAUUGACAUCAAAUAUUUGGUUGUUAGAGACAGAGUCAAAGAAUGGCAGACGAAAAUAGAGCAUAUCAAUACAGAGGCGAUGAUUGCAGAUCCCUUGAUUAAGGGAUUUGCUCCAAAAGUCUUUAAGACACAUGUUACUAAUAUGGGUAUUGUGGAAACAUUUGAUAUUUUUAGUUAGUGGAAGUUAUUUAUGUAAAGAACUACGUUUUGGGCUUGAUCCCUUUGCGGGGUACGUAGGCAACCCAUAUGUUUUCGAGUACAGCUCCUUUUGACAAUAGAAUAUUUUUUCCCUAUUCAUGGACUAUUUUGAGCAUGUAUUUGACUUAUGUUUUUUAUUAUAAUAUUAUUAUGAUCUUGAGAUAUGACAUGUAAAGGCAUAAGAUGUGUCUCUUUUGGAGACAUGUGGCUUCAUUUUGAUGAAAAGUAUUAUGAGGACCGAUAUGAAUUAGCACAGUUUUGAUCACAUUUGGUGCUAAGUUCAUACCACAUACUACCACAUUGGUUGGAGGAUGGGAAUCCAUGUCGAUAAGGAUGUUGACAUUUGUAGCUGUGGAAUGAUCUUACAUCGCUUAAUUGGUGUAAUAACUUCUAUGUUCGGUGUUUAUAUUCUUGUUGGAUCGGAUCAUGUUACGUAAGGUUACAUCAUUGGAGUCAUACUUUUGUAGCCACCUAUGUAGUCUAACUCGGGUGUUAAAACUUUGUUAUAGCAAUCAAAUAUUUGCCGAAGUGAGAGAAUGUUGGAAUAAUUCUAUAUGUGGGUUUCACAUUUGGUUGCAAAUUUUACAGGUUAGAUGUAUGGCUCAUAAUGAUAUUGUGUUUAGGUCCAAUUUAUUAAGUGAUCAAUUGGGCAUUUUACACCUUACGAGUUGUAAUUAAUUUGAUGUGGUAAUUUUAAGUAUGUGGGCCGGAAAUAAACAUUAAUUAGAAUUCUAGUCGUAAUUGGAUUACUCAAAUUAUUUCCUAUAUAUAAAUGCUAGGUCCCCUCUCCUCUCCAUAUGUUUUAUUGGCUUGCCCCAUUGAUAGCUGAUAUUUUGUGAGGAGUAAAGAGGGGAAAACCUUGGCUGCUAUUACAACUAUCAUUCAUAUCAACAAUGACUUUCACAGAUAUGAAUUCGUUUUUAUAAAUUUAUUCGAAUGUGAUUAUCGAUUCUUAAUAUGUUAAAACUAAAUUAAACACACAAAUGUCUCAGAAGGCUGACAAAGUAUCUCCUGCUAGAAAAGAAAAUGUUUACAAUCCAAUUGAAUAAGUGAAAAGCAAAUUUUUAGAGAAGCGUAGUAUACCAGCAACAACUAUUGCUCUGUUUACUAGUUUCUAUAAAGUUCCAAAAUUUUCACAAAAUAAAAUUAAUUAUUUUAUAUGCUAUAUAUUUAAUACUUUGGAAAUUUGGGGGCGUGGGGGGGGGACUAAAGUGACAUAUGAAUUAAUUCAAUUUUAUUUGGAUCAAAUAUUUAGAUUUCAAUAGGGCGAAGAUAAGUAUAUUAAUAUUGGAUUAGUUGGAUAGCUCGUAGUUAAUUAUCUAUUUUAAGCCCAAAAAAAGUUUGAUUCGAAUACGUCAGUCCCAAAUUAUUUAAGUUUAAAGAAAUUAUUUGCUUAGUAUUUGAACAAAAUUUGGUUUCCUAACUGUGAAGGACGGCAACCACGUGUGUAUAUGGUUCAAAAGGGGUAAUUGAAAAAGUAGUUUCCUUUUAACUUUCCUUUUCAUGUCCUAUUGAAUAUUUUCAUAUACUAAUCAUUUUCCUCUACUCCUCACAAUUUAGAAUGAAUCGUUAGUUGGCGGGCGAUGAUGUAUAGUUGUAGUCUCAUGAUUUAUGGAACUCAAUAAAAAAAUUAAUUAAAUAUGGUGUAACGUGUCUAUGGUUUUUAUUUUUAGCAUUAUUCAAGUUUUAUUUUUAUGUGAAGUUUGUUAUUUAGGAUUUGGAAUAUAUUUUAUUUGAUUAUGCUUUCUAUAUGUUUUAUUUAAUAUUGGUAUGUUUGAUUUAUUUAUUUACGAUAUGAAUAAGAUAUGGCGUAGGAAAAUUUUUGUUCUUUCCUUUUUAUAAAUGCAUAUAUAAAAUUUUCUGUAAGAAUUUGAGUAAAUUACAGUUACAAAUUUUGUAGAUAUUGCAUGUCAUGUUAUUUAAAGUUUGAAUGAAACUUUUGGUAACGAUUUAAAUGUCUUAAAAAUUAGCUCGUUACAGUUUAAUAUCAUAGCCCAGAUUUUACUUUUUCUUAGACCAUAUAAAUUCUAAAAGUUCAAACUAUGUGUGUCAAGAAAAAAAUCAUUUCGUGAGUAGUGCACGUCAGUGUUCGUUGAACACUGUUCGUGUGAACAGUGAAAAAUGAUUAAAAAAUUUUAUUUUAAAUGAUUAUUUAAUGUAGAUGUGUGUGUGUGCAUGUAUGUGAGUGCGUGUAUCCAAAAUUUAAAAAGAAUGUUAAGGAUGUCGCCUGCAAGUUUUUAAUGCUAUUGUUGUACCAAAAACCAUCAGUUCCCAGCUUCAGACUUCCAAAAAGAUUUGCCCAAUCAAAUGUUUUUUUUUUCGACUGGCCCAUCUACAGCCUCUUUAUAAUUAAAAGCCCACUUAAUAAAAAUUUUCAAAUUCUAGAAGUUAGAAUGUUAGAUUGUAUACCUCAUUUCUUUAAAGAGUUAAAACAUAUAUAUAAUUGAUUAAUUUAAAUUGUCACACGUCUAGUCUAACUUUGCGUGGUAUUUGUUAAAAAAAUAGUUAAUAUAUAUAUAGUAUACCUCAUUUCUUUAAAGAGCUAAAACAUAUAUAUAAUUGAUUAAUUUAAAUUGUCACGCGUUUAGUCUAACUUUGCGUGGUAUUUGUUAAUAAAUAUAUAUAUAUAUAUAUAUAUAUAUAUANNNNNNNNNNNNNNNNNNNNNNNNNNNNNNNNNNNNNNNNNNNNNNNNNNNNNNNNNNNNNNNNNNNNNNNNNNNNNNNNNNNNNNNNNNNNNNNNNNNNNNNNNNNNNNNNNNNNNNNNNNNNNNNNNNNNNNNNNNUCUUAAAUAUAUAAGAAAUUGAAAGACUUUUGGCACUCAACGACCACUAAUUGAGCACCUUCCGACAACUCCAAGCUAUGUAAAGGGGUAAGAAGAGGAGUUUAUUUAAACCUUUACAUAACUUAAAUCUUUUAAUUGCUUGUUUUUACAUUUUGUUAAGACAUGCAAGUUUGUUUUCUAGCUAAAAUUUAUGAUAUUUAUUAUGAGAAUAUAUCUAUAACAUGUUAAACUUAGUACUAGUAUGUGACGGGUGGCUUAAUCUUAAAUUUUAGGAAAUGACACGACUACCCACACGAAUUUGAUGCAUGAUUUAUUGUGAGUAGUACAAGAGCUAAGCAGGCAGAAUCAAGCACCCCACCACAAAAUGCAUCGCCACAGCAGAAUGCACAUCCCUUUGUCCCUGAAGCUGUUUCAGUGGUUGAGCAGUUUCUAACCACCGACUGCCAAGGAGUAGUUAAGAGGUCUGGAGCGCAUAUUUUGACACGUCGCUUGUACGGAUGUACAUGAGGUAUUAUCCAUAGAAUUCAUGUUUGUUGGAGCAGCCAAUCGGUGGUGGGAAUCUGUCUCUCGUACUCGGACUGAAAAACAGUAGCGCAACAUGACUUGGGAGCAGUUAACGAUAAAGUGAUAGUAAAGUAUUUUCCACAGGCUUUGAGAGACUUCAAAGAAUCAGAGUUUCAGCAACUCAGGGAGGUAGACAUGUCACUUCCUGAUUACAAGAGACAGCUUGAGUAGCUCUCAAGAUAUUCCUUGCACUUGGUAGAUACCGAAGUUAAAAAAGAUCAGGACGUUUGAAAAUGGACUGUGACUGGAGAUCAGCAUGAUCAUAAUGUCUUAUCGUUUUACUUCAUAUCAUGAAAUGUUGGAGAUAGCUCAUGCUAUUUCAUAUCAAAUAACUACAUUUAACUAGUAUGCCGAGCAAGACAAGGAGUCAUUGGGAAAAAGAAACUACUACUCCUGUACGGUCAUCAUAAAGGACUCUCCAGUGAAAAUGUCUCCUAUCGGUAUGCUACCACUGAAGAUCGACCCAUCUGAAACACUCAUCUUUUGAAUUGACAGUGAAUAACAGUAGUACGCGCAUUUGAUCAUGUUCGACUGUAUUUGAUUAUGUGAAUUUCUAUGUAUGAAAUUCUAAAAGUUCCUCCUCUAUUUUAUAAGAUGUCCGUCAAUAAUAUUGAAUUGAACAUUAUUUUUCAAUUUUCUAUUUAAUUGUAUUUUGUUUUUCUUAUGUCGACACAUUAUGUCUUGGUGCUAUUUUCAUUCAACGAGCAACUACUGCAGCAUGGCCCUGUUCAUGCAAUUGAAGCCUUAUGGCUUGCUGGGAGAUCAAACAAACCUGAAAAAGUUUAACAUGUGAGGCUUGCUUUUUCUUUGGCUUUCCAAAGAGGUUUAUUUCAAUACUUUGCCAACUAGUACACUAUAUCUCAGAAUCGGUAGCUUCUGUUGGUAAUGUUAAGUAGCUAUAUUGGAGGUCAAAGUGAAAUUUUAGUUGUAAUUUCUACUCUUUCUCAGUUCUUCCGCAUACACGGUGUAAGGCAAGAGCUAAAGCAAAAGUUAAAACAGGUUAGGUAGUAGACUUCUGUCAACACGCAAUUAGCAAUGUUCAUUCAAAUCAUUCCAUAAUUUAUUGAAGCAUUCUCUUUUUAAAGUCACCAGUUAUUUUUAAUGAAGUAGGUCAUUGUGUACUGUAGUUACACUUCAAUUGGCAAAAAAAUUGAAAAUUAUAUGUUUAAAAUAAAAAUCCAAGAAUUACAUAAAUAAAGAUAAAAUAAGUUUGGUAAUAAUUGUAUUUCAUUGAAGUGACAAACUCUUUGUGUUGCGAAAUAAAUUUAAAUACAAGCACAUCUAGUAUUGUAAAUCUAUUGUCAUAAAAUAAUUUAUGCAAUAAUUUUAUAUGUUGUAAAAUAAAAUAUUUGACAUAUAUAAAUAAUCACGAAAUAAAUUAUCCAAUAACUAUAUAUAAUAAUGACGCAACAAACUCUUUAUAUUGCGAAAUAAAUUUAAUUAGAAAAAUCACUUGUUACAUAAUAAAUUUUACUACAAGUAUUGAAUAUCUGAAAAUAAAUUAUAUGUCAUAUCAAAGAAAUUGUAAAUCAUAUUUCAUGACAAACAUGACUUGUUAUUAAAAAUAUAUCACUACAAGCAUGUGUUGUUGCAAAAUAGAAUAGAUAACAAAAGUUAUAUCUUUAACAUAAUAUUCACAACAAACAUUUUCUCACAAAAACAUUUCUGGAAUAAUAAUUGCGACAAACUAACUUGUCGCUAUCUUUAUUUUUCGCGACCUAUAUGCUUUGUAACGACAUUAUAUAUGGCGACAAAUUACUUGGUGCUAUUUUGUAUUUUUGCUUCAAACAAAUAGUGUUUCGAGUUUGUUAAUGUGAUGAAUCAACAAAAGAUUUUGUAAAAAAUAUUUUAUGACUCAUAUAGCACGACAACGUUUGCAACAAAUAUAUCAUCGUCGCAAAAUUAUUUUUGCAACAAAAUAUCUAUUUAUGUGACAACAUUUUUUUGUAGUGAUUUCGGUAUGUUGUUUUAGUGGAUGAAUGCUAAUUUGGGAAGAACAUGUGUUUUGAGUGUGGUAAAUCAGGACACAUUGCUCUCAACUAUACAAAGCCUCUAAAGAGAAAUGAUGAUGAUUAGGAUAAGAACAAGAAAUGGAAGACUCGAGUUUUUGCAUUAAAUCAGCAUGAGACGGAGCAGGAUGCGAAUGUGAUAGCAGGUAUUUUAUUAUUAUUUGAAGCACUUGUCUAUGUUCUUGAUUUUACAUCCUAAGUCGCUAACUCUAACACUAUAGUUACGAAAACAUGUAUUUUAUUAAUGUCUGAUACACUUGUUUAUGUACUUCUUGACUUUGAGACCACAAAUUCUUUUAUCUCGACAUCCUUCGUCGCUAAGUCCAACAUUGCAUGUGCUGCUGGUGAACUUAUACCUUUUAAAGAUGAAAGAUCUUGAUAUUAUUUUAAGCAUGGACUGUCUGAGACACAAUCCAUUAACCAUUCGAUGUCACGAGAAAGAAGUGUUGUUUCAUUGACCAGGAGAGAAAGAGUUUUGUUUCUUUGAAGCAAAGUGCAAGACUCUACCUCGCCUUGUAUCGGCUUUUCAAAUGGAGAAGAUGUUGAGAAAAGAGUCAUGUCAAGGAUUCUUAGUUAAUAUCAUCGGUUUCAAACCUAUAGAAACAACCGUUGAUGAUAUUAUGUUGUCCUAGACUUUGCAGACGUAUUCUGAAAAGAUCUACAGGCAUUCCACAAGAUAGUCAAAUAGAAUUUACAAUUGACUUGGUUUUCGGAGCGGCACCAAUAUCUAAGGACCCAUACCGAAUGACACCAAAAGAACUUCAAGAAAUGAAAUUACAGUUGGAAAAGUUGUUGGAAAAAGGUUUCAUUCAACCGAGUAUAUCUCCUUGAGGUGCUCCACUAUUUUUUGUGAAGAUGAGAGAUGAGAGUAUGAGGAUGUGCAUUGACUAUCAAUAAUUUAACUAUCUGACUAUUAAAAAUAGGUACCCUCUGCUAAGAAUAGAAGAUUUAUUCAACCAAUUAAGGGGUACAACAGUGUUUUCAAAUAUUGACUUGAGAUCGGGGUAUCAUCAUCUAAAGGUCAAGGCAAGCGAUAUACCGAAAACUGCUUUCAAAACUCGUUGCGGACGUUAUGUAUUCACUUUCAUGCCUUUCAGCUUGACCAAUGCUCCAACUAUAUUUAUUGAUCAAAUGAACUGAGUGUUCCAUCGGUACUUAGACCAGUUCGUCAUAGUCUAUAGUCUAUAUACUUGUGUAUUCUAAAGAUAAGAAGCAGCAUGAGGAACAAUUCUGAAUAGUACUCGAAACUUUGAGGAAAGAGAAAUUAUAUGCCAAAUUCAAGAAGUAUUGAUCCCCUCUCCAUUGGAAUGAGGUCGGAAAGACCUGAAAUCAUUGAACGAACAGUUGAGGUUGUCGAUAAGAUUAGAGCAAGAAUAACGACAGUAGAAGAUUGACAGAAAAUUUAUGCUGAUGGUAAAAGAAAGGAUUUGGAAUUUUAAGUAGGGGACAAAGUUUUUCUAAAAAUAGCAUCAUUGAAGGGUGUAUUGAGAUUUAGAAAGAAAGGGUAGUUGAGAUCGCGGUUCAUUGGACCUUUCCAAAUUUUUUAAAGAAUUGGUAAUGUGGCUUAAUGACUUGUCUUACCACCUGAACUCACAAAAGUCCAUAUAGUAUUCCAUGUUUCGAUGCUCAAAAAAUAUGUCUAUGAUCCAAUUAUGUGGUAAGUUAUUAGACAUUGGAGGUACAAAAAGACUUGUCAUAAAAAGAAAUCUCGAUGAUGGUUUUGGAUAGAGAAGUGCACCAAUUAAGAUAUAAACAGGUUCCAUUGGUAAAAGUUUAAUGGCAAAAUCAUGAACUGACAAGUCAACUUGGGAGAAAGAAGAGGAGUUUAAAACCAAGACUUAGAACUUUUUGGUUAGACAAGAUAAUUUUCGAGGACGGGUAUAUUUAAGGAUGGGAGAUUGUAAAAUCCCAAAAUUUUCAUAAAAUAGAAUUAAUUAUUUUAUAUGCUAUACAUUUACUUCUUUGAAAAUUUGGGGGACUAAAGUGAUAUAUGGGUUAAUUCAAUUUUAUUUGCGUCAAAUAUUUAGCAAAAUUUGGAAGCGUGAUUUUUUCAAGUUUCUAUCUUUCAAGAAUUUAUUUGAUCUAACGAGAUAGGAUAACAAGGUACGAUUUUUUUCUCGUUUAAAUUAUUUUUUCAUGUUGUUGAAUUAUUAUAUUUAUGAAAGUUAAAUAUAUGAUAUGAUAUGUCAAUCUAAUACCAAAGAUAUGAUAUGUUUUGAGAUCUUACUAGUCCCCAAGGAUUAUGACUGUAUGAUAUUUAUAACACGUGAUUUAAAUAUUUUUAUUCAGGAUUGUACAAUUAUUUUUGUGUCAUAUUGUUUCCUUUACUCCUCACAGGUUAGAAUGUGUUGUUGGUUAGCGGACGAUGAAAUGCAAUUGUAGUGCCAUGAUUUAUGUAACUCAAUAAAAAAAAAAAUUAAUUAAAUCUGGUGUAACAUGUCUACAGAUUUUAUUUGUAGCAUCAUUUGAGUUUUUUUAUUUCGUGGAAAUUGUUAUUUAUGAUUUGGGACAUAUUUUAUUUGAUUAUGCUUUCUAUAUGUUUUAUUUAAUAUUGGUGGAAUAAAAAAUUUCAUGUGGUGAUGUUUGAUUUAUUUAUUUAAUUAUGAUAUGAAUAAGAAAUGGCGUAGGAAAAUCUUGGUUAUUUCCUCUUUAUAAACGUAUAUAUAAAAUUUUCUACAUGAACUUGAGAAAAUUACCAUUACAAAAUUGUGUACAUAUUGCAUGUCAUGUUAUUUGAAUUUUAAAUGAAACUUUUGGUGCCAUAUUAAAUAUCUUAAAUAGGUCGGUAAUGUUUGUUUCUUCUUCACUUUCUUCUUCAAGUUCACUUUCUUCUUCAGGUUCACUUUCUGCUUCACUUUUACUCUGCCAGUCAAAUAUUAUGACUUUAAGUUCUUCAUUUCCCAUGUCUUCUUGUUCUUCUUGAAUUCUCUUAGCAGAUUCUUUGAUAGCUUCCACGCAGUGAUAUACCUCAAUCAUUAGUAAUGUUGGAAUGUCGCCUAAACUGGUUGGGAUCAUCUUCAAAUGUUUGCAAUAUCUCAAUUCUAGUCGUUGAAGUCUUGGGAAAUGAUCUCUUGUGGUAUUCCACUCUGCAAGUCUUACAUUAGAGAGUUUCAAGAAUUUAAGUUGUGGAAAUUCACCUUCACCAGUGUCCCAUCGUCGUCCAUCAAAGGAAACAUCACGUAAUUUGAGAACCACUAGGUACUCCAAUUUCCCAAUCAACUCCAUUUGUUCCCGAGCCAUGCGUACACGUAUUAAAGUCAAUUGUUUGAGAUUUAAGGGCAGACUGAUCAAAUUGAACGAUGAAUAUCCCAUGUAACGUCGUGAUCUGAGCUUCAAUGAUUCGAGCUGAUUAAGGAAGUCGAAAGCAUAACUGUGUGAAGAUUUAACCUUGCCCUUAAGUCUGCGAAGAUUGGAUGAACAUCUCAAAAUUUUCUCAUCCGCUUCAUCGAAAAUUUGAAGGAAAGAAAUACUUUGUAGGUUAUUUUUUAUUUGGAAGCUCUUAUCCUUAAUUGCUCGAUGACGGAUAGACUCACUGAAGUAUGCACCGCCGUCAAAAUGCACUUGUCUCAAACUCAUCAUAUUAAGGAGGACAUCCGGUAUUUCAACAGCAUCUCGGUUGCGUAGAACAAGAAAUUCUAGUUUGUGGAAGCUAUCCAUUGGUGGAAGUGUAGAUGAAAGUGCCAAGUACCUCACGUGAACCAGCUGGUUAAUUCCGACUACAACAAGAUUUAUCCAGGGACUGCAGAAAUCCAAGACCCUAAGAACUUUGAAGCCGCAUGCAACUAAUGUGGGCACCGUUACAUUACCACAUAAAAGAGAGCGCACAUGUGGGCCGAAAGGUAGUGAGGCAGUAGGAUUCUCCCCAUUGAAGAUACUCAAACAAUGGUGUUUCUGAUACAUCGCCACUUCAUUGAAGUAUGGUAGUGGAUGAGGUUCAUCAACAUUACUGGUAUAAACAUAAUCACGCGUGAUACGAUCAUCAGAUAUAGUCACCAUUAUUAUUACACUAAAAAAAUGUACGAAUAGAGAAGAAAAAAUAAGAGAAAUAGGGAACUUACAUAUUGACAACCUUCAAAAAGUUUUUUUCUUCAGCUAUUCUCAAGCACAUUUCACGCAAUAGAUCAUGAAUCUUGCAAGUUUUGAUUGAACCAUCAAAUUUUUUUCCAGCAACAAGUACCAGGCUCCGAUCAAUGAGUUUCAUCACACAUUCUAGUGCCACAUCCUCUAAACUCUUCUGCUCUUCCUUCUUUAUAUAACCUUCAGCAACCCAUAAUGAUAUCAACUUUUGUAUGUGGAUUUCCUCGUCCUCUUUGAAUGCUCCAAAGUAAAGAAAGCAUGGUUUCAAGUGCAUUGGCAAUUGAUUAUAGCUAAGUUCUAGUAUCUGGGUGUAGUUGUUUGAAUUUUUGGAUAAAUGUGAACUUAAAUUUCUUGCAACUUCUUGCCACAAGUGUUCUUUAUUCUCCAUAUUUGCAAGAACUCCAGCUAUCACGACCACGGCAAGUGGUAGGCCAUGACAUUUUUUUGCAAUCUUCUUCCCAACGUCUAGCAGUUCUUGAGGACAACUUUUACCUCUGAACACUUUCUUUUGUAACAAAUCCCAGCAUUCAUCUUCCGAUAGAAAAGGAAGUGCAUUUAUGACACAAUGAGGUGACACUUUCAAACUUACUUCUUUAUUCCGAGUGGUGAAUAAGAUUCUGCUUCCAGUUGCGUCAUCUGGAAAAAUUCUUUUCAGAUCAUCCCAUAAUUUUAUAUCCCAUAUAUCAUCCAGAACAAUGAGAUAUCGCCUUCCUUUUAAACUUUUGUAAACAGCUUCAGCCAAACUUUCUUCGUCCUCGAUUGCAAUUUGUUCUUGCUUAACAUUUCUUAUACAGCUCAAAAUGUUAAUCAAAAUAUUUUUCUUAUUAUAUGUUUGAGAAACAACACACAAGGCUCGCUCGUAAAAAUGAUAGACUACUGAUGGAUCAUUAUAUAGUUUAUUUGCUAAAGUUGUCUUACCAAUUCCAGGCAUUCCAAAUAUGGAGAUAAUUUGUAAUUGCUCUGUUCCUCUUACAAGUUGUUCCGUAAUUUCGAGUGCAACAACUUUAAACCCCACAAUAACAUCCAAAAUGGGAGUUUCUUCAGAUUGAGAGGAUAAGUGUUCAUCCGGAUAUUGUGCAACUUCUAGCAUUCCAACCACAUCAAUAUCGUUCUUCAUUUCUUUGAUGGCCAUUGUAAUAAGCUGAAUCUUCUCGAUGAGCAGAGGAAUUCUGAGGGCGAGAUACCAAACAGGGGGAAAUGAGUUGAUAAUAUAUUCAACUUCAAAUGCUAUGUCUCUGGUUUUUAUUAUGAGUUCUUCCUGCUCUGCUUCUUGCUGCACAGCUAUACUGGUGAUGGAAGAUCCCAAUAAAAAUAGCUCCUCAUGUAGCAUUACAAUUUGAUCGUUCAGACCAACAAUCCUGUCAGACUUGUUAUUUAUUAGGUCCAUGAGAUCAUCAAGAACGGAAUCAACGAUGAAGAGUGAAACCACACCAGUCUUUGGAGCCAUAUCAAUUGGCAUCUUUGAGACUGUGAUGCAGUGCUCCUUGAUCUUUGAUUUCAAGAGCUCGAACUUUGGUAACAAAUCAGAAAGAGCUAGAUCCACUAUUCCACUCUCCGGGACUCGAUCAUUCUUGGUGAAAACUAUGAAACUUCCUAUCUCAUGGACCAUAGCUUUGAUAUCCGCCAUUGCUUUCUCGGUUUCUUCUACCUCAGUAGUGGUCUGCAAUGGCAUGUCCUCAAGAACGUCGAAAAUGCCAGAGUGCAAGAAACUUACUACGUCGUUGACCACAUUACAAUUUGAUCGUUCAGACCAACAAUCCUGUCAGACUUGUUAUUUAUUAGGUCCAUGAGAUCAUCAAGAACGGAAUCAACGAUGAAGAGUGAAACCACACCAGUCUUUGGAGCCAUAUCAAUUGGCAUCUUUGAGACUGUGAUGCAGUGCUCCUUGAUCUUUGAUUUCAAGAGCUCGAACUUUGGUAACAAAUCAGAAAGAGCUAGAUCCACUAUUCCACUCUCCGGGACUCGAUCAUUCUUGGUGAAAACUAUGAAACUUCCUAUCUCAUGGACCAUAGCUUUGAUAUCCGCCAUUGCUUUCUCGGUUUCUUCUACCUCAGUAGUGGUCUGCAAUGGCAUGUCCUCAAGAACGUCGAAAAUGCCAGAGUGCAAGAAACUUACUACGUCGUUGACCACAUCUUCAAAAUCCGUUGAAUGAAGCCUCGAAUAAGUAAAAGGGGUUUCUUCCUUCCGAGUGGCAAAGAAUACUUCAAAGGCGAAAUACAAGGAAUAAAAGAAACUUCCAACCUCAUUGACCGCAGCUUCGAUAUCUAUCACUACAUUAUUUGUGGGCUGCAAAUGCAUCGAUGUAUCUCCAAGAAAAGUAAUAAGAAAUCCCAGCUCUGUCCGGAGAUUAUGGAAAGCAAUGUAUUCGGCCUUAAAACAAAGGAUGGAUUCUACCAUUCGGAGUAGAAAGUUGAUAAAGGCUGCAACAACUUCAUUAGGACAUGACGAGCUUUGCUGGUUUGGGACAGUGAAGAGUUCUUCAAGCUUUUUCCCACGUGACAAUAGUUGUUGGAGACUGUGUCUAAUUUUUUCAACAUCUUUUGAGUUUCCGAUCGGCUCCGGAAAAUCAACCCUAUCGGUUGAUGGGAGCCCAAGUUGGCAGGACAAAAUUGACUCAUACUCAAGCACGAUUAUAUGGAAACCUAUUGGCCCAGUAAACAAUUUAUCUUCGUCUGGUAAAUAGUACCCCUCUUCCGUGCCCAGGCAGUCUGUACCUGUUUCUCCCUCUCCUGAUGACAUAAGGAAAGGAUGCAAGCGAUUGCAGGGAAAAAAGUAUUUGUGUUUAAAAGCUAAUAGAUUCUACCAAUUGUUUGGAUUAAAUACAAACAUUAAAGAAGCAAGAAAAAAUUUAGUAUAUAGCUUUGGAGCUUGCAGAUCUGAAAAUGGAGUUUGAAACCAGAAUAUGGAGACGACAGAAAUUAGUGCGGGGGAGAGUGGGUUUGAAUUAUUGAAUAUAGUGGAGUACAUAAUUCACACUUUUCAAAUAGCUUUAAAUUAAAAAUGGAUGUAAAGGAAAAAACCACAAACGUCCCAAGCCUUUUCUGUCAUCUAAUAUCUUCACCAGAUUGUCUGACUAUGGCUACCUUAUUAGGAUUGUCCACGUCAAUGCAAUUAUCAAUUUCUUGGAGUGAAUAUAAUGUAAAAAAUAAUCAAUAUCAAUAUUUUGACAAAUUCGAUCAGUAUUAAACAUCGAGAACCUUCCAUUUCAUCCAUAUAUUAUAUACAAAUUCGAUCAAUAAAAGUAAAUAUUUCAAGUCAAUCCCCCCGUUUGAGCUCCAUUAAUUCUUAUUACAUUAAAUUAUAUUUUUUUCUCUCCUACUUUUAAUUCCACAAUUUUCAAUAAAAUAAUAUUACACGUAAAUCAAAUACUUUUCAACCACUCAUUUUUCAAAAAAAUAUAUUAUUCAUCUUAUUAUAAUAUACAAAUAAUGGGGUCAAACGGCUUCUAAAUCUGAUUUUUGUAUUUUUAUUUUUAUAUUUUUUGUAUUAGAACUACGAACCAAACCAAAAUUGAUCGAUUUCUUGAUUUUAAUACUCGGAAUUCAUUAUAACUUGAGCAGAAUUAGACUAAAUCAAUCGAUCCUAGUUCGGUUUUGAUUUGGUCCAAUAAUUUUAAUAACUUUUGCCUACCCUACUUAUAAUUUAUCAAAAUAAACUCAAAAUUGAAGAAAUGAAAAAGAAAAAAAGGACAAAAUUGAAAGAAAAUGAAAAUUUUAUGCAUAAAAUCGUGACCCUUACGUUGUUAUCAAAAUGGGACAAGAAACACAGCUGUAUGAUGACAUUUGUAGCUUCAUCACCGCUAGGCUACCACCCAAAUCAGCAGUAAAUCCAAAGCAGAACCAAGCGUGUCCUCUCCAUCGCCAAGAAAAAUUGUUAGUACAAUAAAGUGCGAAAUUUCUGGGUUGCAACACUAAUUCACAAAUAUGUAAUUAAUCUCAAUGAAUGUGACCGUAGAAACUGUGAUCUAAAUAUGUCUCGACAAGUGAUCAAUAUGAUGCUCACGAUUCGAAAAUCAACAGUAAUUUGCAAUGUAAUUUCUGAAGGAUCGAGCUCCAUGUACAGAGCUCGGUUCACAGAGGCUGUACAUAUUCCCUCACUGUAGGGGGUCGAGUCCCACAGCAAUUUAAAAAAACAGGUGGAGCCCACGUCCAUCUCCUCUUUCAUUUGACAGGGGUUGUGAACUAGGCUCCUGUAGCUCCAUCUUUUUCUAAUUUCUGAAAGUGACUGUAGUAUUCACUUUUUGAAGGUAUACGAAGUUGGAGUAAUUUGUGGGAAAUAUUUUUGAAAAAAAAAAUGUACACAAUGCUUUAUGUCUUAUAAUAAAAAUUAUGGAAUUCUAAUAACCCAUUAAGCCCCCUUUGGCCUCAAAUUUUUCAAAUUAAAAUGGGUUGAAUAGUAUAUUUUGAAAAAUGAGUGGUUGAAAAAAGAAAAAAAAAAUUCGAUUUACAUGUAAUAUUAUUUUAUGGAAGAUUGUGUGAAUAAAAAUAAAAAAAAUAAAAUUUAAUUUAAUGGGGACAAACGGGAGCUAAAUCUAUUAAAAUUAUGUAACUUUGGAUUUUUUACCAGUAAAGAUUAAAGAAGGGCGAAAAUGUCUUCUUGUUUUGAAAACUUACAUAUCCCCAAAUAUUUUGAGACCGAGACAGCCUGUUGAGAUUAUUGAGGGGAGAGAAAGAGAAGUUGAAUUAUUGAACACAUUGAUUGGAGUACAACUCAUCCGAUUCACUUUUCAAAUAGCUUCAAAUUAAAAAUGGAUGUAAAGAAAAUACAAAGAGUAUGUUUGGGCCCGAUUUUUCCAUCUAAAAAAUUAAUUUUUUGACCAUUAUUUUAUUAUUCCAAUCGUUAUAUUUGAUUUCUUCUCUCACAAGUAAACCCCACUUUUUUCCUAACGGUCAAAAAAUCAAUUCUCAAAAUCACUCUCAAAUAGGCUCAAAAAUUAAUUGUGUACAGAGAAUUUUUUUUUACAACAAUCUCUCAUAAAGGUAUGGGUCCUAUAUAAAUAAAUAAUGUUAAAAAAUUAACCCACCCUCCCAUGUGAGGUGUUGGUAAGGUUUCCUGUACACCUAUCAUCACCCAAGAAAAAAUCACAAACAUCCUUUUCAACCACGCCGUUUUCUGGUAUCGAAAUCUGUUUGUGCCCGUUUUAUUUCAAAAAAUGUAUUAUGAAUUAGUGAUUGUUGUUAAAAUAUGUGGUUAAAAAUGAAGGAAAUUUUGUUUAUUUAUGUUUAAUAUUAUUUUAAUGAAAAAUGAAACUAUAAAAAAAUUAAUGUGGGUGACAAACAAAGACAUAAUAUCUCCACUAGAUUGUCUGACUAUGGCUACCACCCAAAUCAACAAUGAAUCCAAAAUCCAAAUCGGAAUCGAGUGUCUCCUCUCCAUCACCAAGAAAAAUCGUCGGUGCAAUAAAGUGCAAAAUUUUUGGUUUGCAACACUAAUUCACUAAUAUGUAAUUAAUCUCAAUGAAUGUGACCGUAAGAACUUUGGUCUAAAUAUGUCUCGACAAUAGUGAUCAAUUUGAUACUCUCGAUUCGAAAUUCAACAGUAAUUUGCAAUGUAAUUCCUGAAUGAGACUUUUUGAAUGUAUUCGAAGUUGGAGUAAUUUGUGGGAAAUUUUUUUGAAAAGAAAUGUAUAUAAGGGCAUCUCCAUCCACAAUACCAUUGCACCAUUUUGCACCAUUUUUUGGUGCAAAAUUGCUUCAACCCAACACCAAACUUUGCACUAGUGCAAAGUGUAAAAUAUCUAUUUUGCCCUUAUUUAACAUUUUCCAAAUAAAUUUGUUGAGAGUAUUUAUAUAAUUUGUGCUAUAUAUUUUUUAAUACAAUAAAUUAUUGCUUUUUUUUAUUAAUAUUAAUAUUAUUUGGGUUUAAAAUAAAUUUUAAAUAUAAGACAUAAUAAUUAAUUAAUUAAUUAAAAGACGAAAACAAUUUAAAAUACAUCAAACACGAUUAUUUAUUAAAGUUAACACAAAGUUGAGUUGGUUGAAGACGAAAAUUGCCAUUUUCAGGAAUUUCUUGUUCUUCAUAGACAAAUCAAGGAUAAAGAAACUCACAUUGCACUUCGAAAUGCAUUAAUCGAUUAUUUGUGGGAUGAACAUAUGAAUUUUAAUAAUUAAAUUGCAAAAAUUUAACGACUUCGUAAUAUCGUCUAUCCAAAUUUGAAAUGCAUUGUACUAUUUUCUAAUGGCAUUAUUUCAUAUUUUCGUUGUUGUAGUAUUUUUAUUAAUUGUUCUAUGUUUUUAAUAUUUAUUAAUGAAUUUAAUCUUUUUCGUAAUUUAACGUAAUUAUUUAUUUAGUAAUUUAUGUAUUUAUGAAAUAAUUAAAUAAAUAAUAUUUCAAAUAAGUAGAUUAUAAAAAAUAAAAAAAGGGAAGAAAUGGUUAAAUACUGUUCAUUUGGUGUAAUUUUGGUGUAAUGGUUGGAGAUGAAUUUUAGUUUGGUGCAAGAUUUGUUGUAUAAUUUGGUGCAAAAUGGUGCAAAAUUUGGUGCAGGUUUGGAGAUAGUCUAAUGCUUUAUGUCUUAUAAUAAAAUUAUGGAAACUCUAAUAACCCAUUAAAUCUAUAAAAUUAAGGAUAAUUUAAAUUUAUAUAACUUUGGAUUGUUUAAUAUUUCCAGUAAAAAUUAAAGAAGGAUGAAAAUGUCAGUUAUAUAUGUAAAGCACCUUUUUGUUAAACUUAACGUAACCCCAAAAUAUUUACAAAGACAGUUAAAAAUAAUGAGAUUUUAAAAAAUUUAAAUUGAAUCAUAUCUUCCAAUCUAUCCUCCAAAUGGAGAGUCAAUUGUUCCAUAGAUCCAUAUCUUAGAUUACUCACUGAAAUUUAAAAUAUUGAGUUUUUGAUCAUCGAACUUAGGUUCAUAUCUUCGAUUGCUCACUAAGAUUUAAAAUAUCGAGUUUUGGCUGCUAAACUUUGAAAAAUAUUGUACAUCAUUCGCUAGCAUAACUUCCGUCUCAAACAUCUAAUAGAAUUGGUGACGUGACUGACAGAAUGCAUACAUGGUGUUUCAUUACACUGUUAAACUUUAGGAUGGUCAAAUUUUGAUCAUUAAAUUUUGAAAAAUGUCUUCUAUUCUCACUGAACUUUGAAGUGGUCGAAUUUUGGCCACCGAACUUUGAAAAACGUCUUAUAUUACUCACUAUAAAUUUGAAUUUAACCACACAUCUAUACAAUAAAAUAUUUUACAAGUAAAUUCAAAAAAUUUCCUAACUUUUCAACCAUAUAUUUUUCAAAAAAUCACUAUUUAAAAACUCGAUCAUCUCAAAUUUUAGUAGCCAAAAUUUAACUAUCUCAAAGUUCAUUAGCCAAAGUGCGAUCACUUCAAAGUUAAAUGAGUAUGGUUGAGUUUUUGUCACAAAACUUAAAACCGACUUCGAUGGUUCACAAUAAAUUUGGAUUUGUUUAAAAUCCGUUGUUAAAAUUUGGAUUUAAUUUUAUUUAACAACAAACAAAUUCAUUGCGUGUUUCAUUAUAAAAUUCAAAUAUCAUAAUGAAAAUAGCUUCAAAUUCUAAACAAAUAAAUUAAAUUUAAAUUUAAUUACUAUAUAAUUCAGUAAUCAUUCCUAGUGGUACGGACAAUGUUUGCAAAGCUGUGUGAAGGAAGUGACUAUUAAUUGCAAUGAAACACACAAUAUAUUUAUCGUAAAAAUUAAAUUAAAUUCGAAUUUUAAAAAAAAAACGAAUUUUAGCCCAUGUUUAAUGGCCAUUAUUUAAAAAAAAAAGUUCUAAAAAUAGUGAUUUUUUUUGGAGAAUGUUAUUUUUUGAAGAGUGUGUAGUUAAAAAGUUGGAAAAAAUUUGAGUUUACGUGUAAAAUAUUUUAUUGUAUGGAUGUAUGAUUAAAUCUAAAUUUAUAGUGAGUAAUAGAAGAUGUUUUUCGAAGUUUAUUUGCCCAAGUUCAACUUUUUCAAAGUUCAGUGGCCAAAAUUCGACCACUUCAAAGUUCAGUGAGUAAUAGAAGAUAUUUUUAAAAGUUUAGUAGCAAAAAUUUGACCUUAAAGUUUAACAAUGUGACGGGGUGCCACAUAUACAUUCCGCCGGCCACAUCAGCAAUUUUGUUGGAGAUUUGAGAUGGAAGUUAUUUUAGUGGGUAACAGUAUAACAUUUUCCAAAGUUCAUUGGCCAAAUCUUGACAUUUUAAACUUAGUAAGCUAUCGAAAAUAUGGAUCUAAGUUUAGUGUCCAAAACUCGACACCUUAAUGAACAAUCGAAGACAUGGACCUAAGUUCAGUAAUCAAAACUCGACAUUUUAAACUUAAGUGAGCAAUCGAAGACAUGAACCUAAGUUUAGUGAUCAAUGGAACAAUUAACUCCCAAAUGGAUGAUUAUUAUACAUUGUGAACUCGACAAAAAAUUAAAAAAAGGUAACUCUUGUGUCUUGGGGACCAUUUUUGAAUAUAUUGAAUAUAUUGGAGUACAGCUCAUACGAUUCACUUUUCAAAUAGCUUUAAAUUUAACAAUGGAUAUAAAGAAAAAGCCAUAAGAAAAGUUCACAAAAGUCUGAAUAUUUCUUCUACCAUUUCUGUGCUAUUUCAUCACAUCACCUAUGUGAAAUCUUAUUUGUGGAGUCCAAAUUAAAAACAAUACAAAAGUUGAAUAAACAAUGUACUCAAAGUUUUAUAUAUUUUUAUUUGUUUGCUCCAUCGUUUCAUUUUUGACAUAAUUUUUUUUUCGUUAUCCGAUGUCCUCAAAGGAUUGUCCCAAAUCAAUAGUAAAUUCAAAAUCUAAAACAGAAUCGAGCGUGUCAUCUCCAUUGUCAAGAAAAAUCAUCGGUGCAAUAAGUGCAAAUUUUUUUAUUUGCAUCAGAAAACGCCUUCAAUGCUAAUUCACUAAUGUGUAAUGAAUUUCAAUGUCUGUGACUUAGAAAUAUAUCUCAACAAUGGUAACAAUGAUCAAUUUGAUACUCUUGAUUCAAAAUUCAACAGUAAUUUGCAUUUUAAUUUCUGAAUGUGAAUGCAGUAUUCACCUUUUGAAUGUAACUUAACAAUAAUACCCCAGUCUCAAACUUCAACAUUGAUCAUUUGCCACUACGCAUUCGAAAUUUAAAGUCGUAGUACUUCAUAAAAAAUUAUGAACACUCUAAUAACCCAUUAAAUCUAUAAAAAUUAAGGAUCAUUUAUAUGAUUUUAGAUUUUUUAGUAUUCCAAGAAAAAUUAAAGAAAGACGAAAAUGUGGGUUAUAUAUGUAAAGCACAUUUUUUAAACUUAUAUAUCGGCCCCAAAUAUUUUGGGCCCAUGAUGGCCUCUUGAGGUUUACAAGAAAAAAUUAAAUUGAAUCAUAUCUUCCAAUCUAUCCUUGAAAUGGAUAAUUAUUAUACAUUGUGAACUCGAGAAAAAAUUUAACGAUGAAAAUUCUUGUCUUCAAAAGUAUCAUGAUGACAAUUUUUUGACGAAACAACCAAAAAAUUAACUUUUUACUAUAGAAAAGUGCGUUGUCAAAAGUGAAAUUUCUGUACUCACAUUGCUUUUGCAAGUAACAUUGGUAUUCUAAUUUUGCUUUCUAUUUUUACUAAAUUUUAGUAGCUUAUAGCUUUGGAGCUUGUAGAUCUGAAAAGCAAAUCAAUACAAGAGAAGGAAAAAGACUACUAAUUAUUGAAGAGGGAGAGAAAGAAUUUGAGUUAAUCAAUAUAUUGAGUACAGCUCAUAUGAUUCACUUUUCUAAUGCCUUUAAAUUAAACAAUGGAUGAAAAGAGUCCCCAAAAAAUAUAAAAAGGGACUAGAUGUAAACAAAAAUAUUGCACUCCUUAGAUGUUCAAAUUACUUUUUGAGCUUUUGUUGAAGAUGUGGAUGCAAUGACGAUGUUCAAGAUGAUUAUUCAUUUUUCUUUACUUGCUUUAAGAAGAAAACUCACCUUCUUACUCGUUUUCACACACACCGCGUGAAAUUAUUGUUGUGUUAAUGUAUGUUUUCAUUCUUAGGAGAAACUAAAAGAAUUUUUCCCAUGUUAGAUUACUAAUAUAUAUUGAUAUCCUCAAUAGAAGUCUCAUUAUUAUGAUGAUUUUUUUUUCCCAUUAUGAUGACCACUUUUACUUGUCGUAAUUUAAGAAUUAAUCAUUUUGUUUUGAGCAUGUAAAGUACUUAAUUUUUUGUUAAAUCGAUCAUGUGAUAAAAUGAACUAACAUACGUACAUGACAAGUUGAUAAAAUAUACUGAGUGUACAAUGUAGACAAACGUUCAACCAUAAAAUUUAAAAGAAAAUAUUUAGUGCUUAUUUGGAUUUCAUUAUACGUUUUUGAAAUAUAAUGUGAUAGAAAUGCAUGAUGUAUAAGUGAGUAUUUGUGAGUCCUAUGAAAUGUAUGGUUAAACUUGAUUUUGACAUUAUAUUAUAAGCACAUUAGAAUGAAAGGCUAAUUAAGAAAUUAAGCCCAAUAUCAACAAAAGCAGCGUUCAUAUAAUUCAUAUAUUCUAUUUUCGUGUAUCAAUGCAAGGCGGUCGCUCCAUACACAUCAAAGAACACAGCAGUUUUCAAGAGUUGAUCGCGGUACUGUAGUGAACAUAUGUAUCAGAUGUCCAAAUUUUCCGCCAUUGCUAUGUCUGCAUAUAAUCUGAUCGCUCCAUCUUUUGCCACAUUAUUUCCGCAAUUUUACAUUGUAUUAUAACAUGUGUCUCAAAUUUUCUUAUGGUUUUGAUAGAAAGGAUAAAUUGAAUGAGUGACAAUUUACCGUCUAUGUAGCGUACCGCCUCCACUCAAAUAUGUUCAUAGAGAAUUUACCAUAUGAAAAUCCUAUUCUUUGGUGGAAUGUUUAGCGUCCAGAAGCCUUUCCACCAGUUUUUUAUUACCACAUUAUAAGAUGUAGAUGCUUGAUGUUGAGAUUGGAUGCCAAUCUAUAAUCUCUAUCCGGACUGAACCGAGAAUUUCCCACUCCACUCGUAGAGCCAAAUAAUCUGAUCGUCACAGGAGAAAGAACUGAUUGAGAUUGCUAGUAUGGCAUCGCGAUCAUUGGCGAAAAAUGGCUUUCAACUCAGCAAAAAUCCCAAACCCCUGGGGAAAUAAAUAAUUCGCUGACCAUGGUUUAAAGGUAUUAGGACGUAGAAUCCAAGAAAUUGUUAGUUCUGAAGUGUUCAUGUAACUACUUAACUCUGUGAGAUAGUCUGCGUUUUGAUUGUCCCGUCUCCUUACAUGAAUACUUGAUGAUCUCUGUAUCCUUUUAUCAUUUCCUGGUGUUAAUUGUUUAUGUAGAACUAUCCCUAAGAGAUUAUCUUGAAAACUCCCUUGACCUGAGGACCUAAUCCUCACGGAAUCCUAGGAUCUCUUGAUAAUAAAUCUAGAACUAAGAUCAGUAAGUGAUUCACUUUGUGUGAUAUUCUCUCUGUGAUGAUUGACUAUUUUUUGGCAUUUGAUAAAUACUUUUUGUAUUUUAUUGUGUGUUGGGUAUUUGGGAAACUCUUGAAUCUAAUUACUUGAUUCAAGAUAUAAAAAAAAAUUUGGCAACAAGGGAAUAUACAAGUAUAAAGCAAUCAUCCUGUAAAAUGCUAUCACAGAGAGCGAUGAGGAGGCUAACAGUGUCAUCAAUACUUUAAGAAGCAAUGAUCUAGAACUUAGAAAUGAUACAGAAACUAAAACCAAUGCUAAGGGGUAAAUCCAAACAUAGAGAGUCUAGUGGUUAGGAGAGUAAUAAUUCUAAUAGUCAUCACCGUAAAAAGAACUGUAGGAGUUAUUUUGGGUGUAAGUCGAAGGCUAAAAAAAGAAAACGCUGUAAUUUUGGAAAAAGAGACAUUAUAUUAAGGAUUGUUAUAAACCUAACAAUAAUUUCAAUAAAAUGAAAUAGAAAUCGAACCAAGUAAUUUUGCCACAACUAGCAACGAGACUCUUGAUGAUCUCUAUGUAGCCAUCCAAGUGGAAGAGACCGAGCGCCUUCCAUUGAUUAUUUAAAUGAAUGGUUACAAGAAUUAGAUUGCACAUUUCAUAUGACAUCCAGAAAGGACAUUUAUUGUACCUAUAAAGAAAUAAACAGAAUGGUAGUAGUUAUAGGAAAUAAUAUAUCGUGCAGAGUUAUAGGAUUGGAAAUAUAAGGGUAAGAUUUGAAACUAGAGAUGUCUGUGCUAGAAAUUGUAAGGAGCACUCCUUUCCAUCAAAAGAGUUUGGAAUAGUCUUCUCGAAAAUAGAGAGCGUUUCUGCAGAUUCUGCAAUGGCUAACUCUGUUAAGGGUAAUUGUAAUAAUCUGUUGCACCAAAAAUUAGCUGACUUGGGUAAUAAAGGGUUGCAAAUGCUGCAAAACAAGGAGCUUUUGGGAAAAAUCACAUAACACAUCUACCCUUUUGUAAAAAUAAUGUCCUAGGAGAAUAGCAUAGAGUCCAGUUUUCAUAUGGCUUGCAUAGAACUUCCUCAAUAUUAGAAUACUUGAGCUUUGUUUUUUAGGGUCCUUCUAGAACAUCCACACAUUGAAGAAACAUAUGUUUCUUAUCAAUAAUAGAUGAUUCUUUAAGAAAAGUACGGUUUUAUUUGUUAAAACUUUAUCUAUACAUUAGUCCAAUUUUAAACCAUUUUACUUCUUUUUCUUCACUUUUAAAGAAAAGUCUGCUCUUCAAAAAUUGACUUUGUUUGAGGUAUAACCCAUGAUUUAUUUCUAAACUUGCAACAAUAUUGAAAAGGCUUAUGCAUCAUAAACAGAAUUGAUGUGAAUACCCAAUGCAAAUUAGGUACAAAUGCAUAAAAUAAAAUCCCAUGGACAAGGCACAAUGCAUUGCUUUUAUUAAAGUAUAAAAUAGGACGAGCUCGUGGGCAAGGCAUCUUUACAAUUUACCUUCAGUCAUCACAACGCAUCUUUUCUCAAAAUUACAACUAUGAAGGAGUUUUGAAUAUGAUAAUAAAUUAUUUGUUGAGAUAUAGUGGAACUGUUAGAAUCUCAAGAUACGGAAACAACUAGCGUGCAAAAUGUUAUAGAGAAAUGUUUACUACUCAAAUAGAUUAAAAUCAUUCAAAGAUGAAUUCAUAAAUCAUUUUUAAUCUUAAUUUUACAGAAUAAAGUAGAACACAAAUUGAAUUCAACACAGUUCGAAUUCUGCCAGGCACUAAUAGUUUAAACAUGCCAUUUACAAAAUUCACAUACUUUAAAAACUCAUUUUUGCUCAAUGAAUGAUCAACAUGCAACUUAAUCAACUUGCUAAGCUCUCAAAUCUCUUUCAAGGUGAUCUGUAUUAGUCCUACGUGUUUUAAAUUAGUCAAGUAUUGUUAAACUCAAUACCUCAAACAGCAGCUUAUGAAAUACAGUAAUUCCUAGAAGGCAAAAAUAGAGCUCAUCUUAGUUUCGAAACAAGGCAAACAUAAGAUAGAAGUUAUUUGAUGUUUUAUUUAAUAGUACACGCAAUACCUAGGAACGAGAUGAGAACUCUUAUUACACUCAAAAAUGUCUCAGAGGGCUGGCAAAGGUAUCUCCUGCAAGAAAAAAAAAUGUUUACAAUCCAAUUGAAUAAGUGAAAGGCGAAUUUUUAGAGAAUCGUGGUAUACCAACAAAAAAUAUUCUUUGUUUACUAGUUUCUUUCUUCUUCACGUUCACUUACUGCUUUACUUUCCUUUUCAGGUUCACUUUCUGCUUCAUUUUUACUCUCCUGAUCAAAUAUUAUGACUUUAAGUUCUUCAUUUCCCAUUUCUUCUUGUUCUUCUUGAAUUCUCUUAGCAGAUUCUUUGAUAGCUUCCACGCAGUCAUAUACCUCAAUCAUUAGUAAUGUUGGAAUAUCACCUAAACUGGGAGGGAUCAUCUUCAAAUGUUUGCAAUAUCUCAAUCCUAGUCGUUGAAGUCUUGGGAAAUGAUCUCUUGAGGUAUUCCACUCUGCAAGUCUCACAUUAGAGAGUUUCAAGAAUUUAAGUUGUGGAAAUUCACCUUCACUAGUGUCCCAUCGUCGUCCAUCAAAGGAAACAUAACGUAAUUUGAGAACCACAAGGUACUUCAAUUUCCCAAUUAACUCCAUUUGUUCCUGUGCCAUGCGUACACGUAUUAAAGUCAAUUGUUUGAGAUUUAAGGGCAGACUGAUCAAAUUGAACGAUGAAUAUCCCACGAUACUACGUGAUCUGAGCUUCAAUGAUUCGAGCUGAUUCAGGAAGUCGAAAGAAUAACUGUGUGAAGAUUUAACCCUGCCCUUAAGUCUGCGAAGAUUGGAUAAACAUCUCAAAAUUUUCUCAUCCACUUCAUCGAAAAUUUGAAGGAAAGAAAUACUUUGUAGGUUACUUUUUAUUUGGAAGCUCUUAUCCUUAAUUGCUCGAUGACGGAUAGACUCACUGAAGUAUGCACCACCCUCGAAAUGCACUUGUCUCAAACUCAUCAUAUUAAGGAGGACAUCCGGUAUUUCAAUAUUAUGACUUCUCAUGACAAGAAAUUCUAGUUUGUGGAAGCUAUCCAUUGGUGGAAGUGUAGAUGAAAGUGCCAAGUACCUCACGUGAACGAGCUGGUUAAUUCCGACUACAACAAGAUUUAUCCAGGGCCUGCAAAAAUCCAAGACCCUAAGAACUUUGAAGCCGCAUGCAACUAAUGUGGGCAACGUUACAUUACCACAUAAAAGAGAGCGCGUAUGUGGGCCGAAAGGUAGUGAGGCAGUAGGAUCCUCCCCAUAGACGAUACUCAGACAAUGGCGUUUCCGAAACAUCGCCAUUUCACUGUAGUACGGUAGUGAGUUAGCGUGAUCCUCCCCAUAGACGAUACUCAGACAAUGGUGUUUCUGAUACAUCACCACUUCAUUGAAGUACGGUAGUGGAUGAGAUUCAUAAUCACUGGUAUAAACAUAAUCACACGUGAUACGAUCAUCAGAUAUAGUUACCAUUAUUAGUACACUAAAAUAAAAAUGUACGAAUAGAGAAGAAAAAAAUAAGAGAAAUAGGUAACUUACAUAUUGAAAAUCUUCAAAAAGUUUUUUUCUUCAGCUAUUCUCAAGCACAUUUCACGCAAUAGAUCAUGAAUCUUACAAGUUUUGAUUGAACCAUCAAAUUUUUUUCCAGCAACAAGUACCAGGCUCCUAUCAAUGAGUUUCAUCACAUAUUCUAGUGCCACAUCCUCUAAACUCUUUUGCUCUUCCUUCUUUAUAUAUCCUUCAGCAACCCAUAAUGAUGUCAACUUUUGUAUGUGGAUUUCCUCGUCCUCUUUGAAUGCUCCAAAGUAAAGAAAGCAUGGUUUCAAGUGCAUUGGCAAAUGAUUAUAGCUAAGUUCUAAUAUCUGGAUGUAGUUGUCUGAAUUUUUGGAUAAAUGUGAACUUAAAUUUCUUGCAACUUCUUGCCACAAGUGUUCUUUAUUCUCCAUAUUUGCAAGAACUCCAGCUAUCACGACCACGGCAAGUGGUAGGCCAUGACAUUUUUUUGCAAUCUUCUUCCCAACGUCUAGCAGUUCUUGAGGACAACUUUUACCUCUGAACACUUUCUUUUGUAAUAAAUCCAAGCAUUCAUCUUCUGAUAGAAAAGGAAGUGUAUUUAUGACACAAUGAGGUGACAAUUUCGAACUUACUUCUUUAUUCCGAGUGGUGAAUAAGAUUCUGCUUCCAGUUCCGUCAUCUGGAAAAAUUCUUUUCAAAUCAUCCCAUAAUUUUGUAUCCCAUAUAUCAUCCAGAACAAUAAGAUAUCGCCUUCCUUUUAAACUUUUGUAAACAUCUUCAGCCAAACUUUCUUCGUCCUUGAUUGCAAUUUGUUCUCGCUUAACAUUUUUUAUACAGCUCAAAAUGUUAAUCAAAAUAUUUUUCUUAUCAUAUGUUUGAGAAACAACACACCAGGCUCGCUUGUAAAAAUGAUAGACUACGGAUGGAUCAUUAUAUAGUUUAUUUGCUAAAGUCGUCUUACCAAGUCCAGGCAUUCCAAAUAUGGAGAUAAUUUGCAAUUGCUCCUUUCCUCUAACAAGUUGUUCUGCAAUUUCGAGUGCAACAUCUUCAAACCCCACAAUAACAUCUUCCAAAAUGGGAGUUCCUUUAGAUUGUGAGAAUAAGUGUUCAUCCGGAUAUUUUGCAACUUCUGGCAUUCCAGCCACAUCAAUAUCGUUCUUCACUUCUUUGAUGUCCAUCGUAAUAAGCUGAAUCUUCUCAAUGAGCAGAGGAAGUCUGAGGGUGAGAUACCAAACAGGGGGGAAUGAGUUGAUAACAUAUUCAACUUCAAAUGCUACGUCUCUGGUUUUUAUUAUGAGUUCUUCCUGCUCUGCUUCUUGCUGCACAGCUAUACUGGUGAUGGAAGAUCCCAAUAACAAUAGCUCCUCAUGUAGCAUUACAAUUUGAUCGUUCAUACCAACAAUCCUGUCAGACUUGUUAUUUAUUAGGUCCAUGAGAUCAUCAAGAACCGAAUCAACAAUGAAGAGGGAAACCACACCAGCCUUUGGAGCCAUAUCAAUUGGCAUCUUUGAGACUGUGAUGCAGUGCUCCUUGAUCUUUGAUUUCAAGAGCUCGAACUUUGGUAACAAAUCGGAAAGAGCUAGAUCCACUAAUCCACUCUCAGGGACUUGAUCAUUCUUGGUGAAAACUAUGAAACUUCCUAUCUCAUGGACCAGAGCUUUGAUAUCCGCCAUUACUUUCUCGGUUUCUUCUACCUCAGUAGUGGUCUGCAAUGGCCUGUCCUCAAGAACGUCGGAAAUGCCAGAGUGCAAGAAACUUACAACGUGGUUGACCACAUCUUCAAUAUCCGUCGAAUUAAGCAUCAAAUAAGUAAAAAGGGUUUCUUCCUUCCGAGUGGCAAAGAAUACGUCAAAGGUGAAAUACAAGGAAUAAAAGAAACUUCCUACCUCAUUAACCACAGCUUCGAUAUCUAUCACUACCUUAUUGGUGGGCUGCAAAUGCAUUGAUGUAUCUCCAAGAAAAGUAAUAAGAAAUCCUAGCUCUGUCCGGAGAUUAUGGAAAGCAAUGUAUUCUGCCUUAAAACAUAGGAUGGAUUCUACCAUUCGGAGUAGAAAGUUGAUAAAGGCUGCAACAACUUCAUUGGGACAAGACAAGCUUUGCUGGUUUGGGACAGUGAAGAAUUCCUCAAGCUUUUUCCCACGUGACAAUAGUUGUUGGAGACAGUGUCUAAUAUUUUCAAUACCUUUUGAGUUUCCAAUCGGCUCUGGAAAAUGAAAUAAAUCGGUUGAUGGGAGCCCAAGUUGGCAGGACAAAUUUGAAAUAUACUCGGACACGAUUAUACGGAAUCCUUUUGGCCCAGUAAACAGUGUAUCCUCGUCUUGUAAAGGGUACUCCUCUCCCGUGUCCAGGCAGUCUGUGUCUGUUUCUCCCUCUCCUGAUGACAUAGGGAAAGGAUCUGUGUCUGUUUCACCCUCUCCUGAUGACAUAGGGAAAGGAUACACGCGAUUGCAGGGAAAAAAAUAUUUGUGUUUAAAAGCCUAAUAGAUUCUACCAAUUUUGGCAUAUAGCUUUGGAGCUUGUAGAUCUGAAAAUGGAGUUUGAAACCAGAAAACGGGAAAGACUAGAAAUUAUUGAGGGGAGAGAGAGUGAGUUUGAAUUAGGGCCGGCCAAAUCUACCGAGCCCAAUCAAAUCAAUUGAAUCGAAUUCGAAUCGAACCGAAUUCGAUGGUUCUUCUCAAAUUAAAUAUUCGAACGGAUAUCUGAAUUGAGGACCGACGGGUACGAUUCGGUUCUCGAUUAUAGACAAAGAACUGAAAAAUCGAACAAGAAUCGAAUCUCUCUAAUUUUUUUUAUAUUGAAUAAAUUAAAUUAUUUUAAUUUUAAUUUUUUCUAAACAAAUUAACAAUUCUUAAAUCCAAAUUUUUGACCCAAUAAUUUGUUUUAUUUCUAAUUUUUUUAAUUUUUGGCCCAAUUACCCAUUUUAUUGUUUCAUUUUUUAGCCCAACAUGAUCCAAACAUGUUUUUAUCAGUGUCUGCCUUAAAAGAUCUACCUUAGACUAUUACUAUCCCUUGUCCGCUAUAUAUGAGACUGAACUCAGCUUCCAUGUUGAAUCUUUAAUAUUGCAUUUUCUCUCCAAUUCCCAUUCCUUUCCUUUUCCAUAUUAUCAAGUCGCCUAUAGUUGAAUCAACUAUACUCAAUGACUGUUAGACUUGUGUGUUGUCCCUUCACAAAGUAAAAUUUUCUCUUACACUUAGUUCUUCCACUAGUUCUAAUACAGAUUAGUUUUGGUAGGUUUGUAUGCAACAUCUAAAUUGGAGAAAUAGCCAGCUGAUCAUGUUAAUAAGAUUAGUUAGCAUUUAGCUUAUGCUCUUUAAGGGUUUUCCAGAAUGUUUUAUUCGUUUCUCUCUGUUUAAUUGGCAAGUCAAGCAAUUGAUGGAUAAUUGAAGUUUUAAUAUUACUAUCUACUCUUUGGUAUUUGUAAAUUGUAAGCAUGGGUAAAUUAAUCUUGUUGGACAACUUGUUAUUUACACGUUAUUAAAUUGGACUAUGUUAAUUUGUAAAACUACGAUUGAAUGCGUCAUUAGUUGUAUUUAUAUAGUGUUGUUAUAAAUGUUAAAAAUUUAAUUAUAGUACGGAACCGAAUGGAACCGAACCCAAACGGUUCCAUAAUUAUAUUUGGACCCGACGGUUCGAUUUACUAGAUACCCAAAAUUUUGGUUCAGUUUGGUUCUAAAGCCCGUGCCCACCUCUAGUUUGAAUUACUGAUAUGUUGGAGUACGGUUCAUAUGAUUUACACUUUUCAAAAAAGUCCCGUUUUGCUCCAUCAAUUUUCAUUUUACUAAUAUUUCAUUUUUCUCUCUUCUAUUUUUAACAACACAAUCUUCUAUAAAAUAAUAUUACACGUAAAUCAAAAAAAUUUCCCUCUUUUUCAACCACCAAUUUUAAUAAAAAACGCUAUUCCACCCAUUUUCAUUUUUACAGAAUGGGGGCCAAAUGGGGGCUAAAUUAAAAGCGGAUGUAAAGAAAAAAAUCACAAACGUCCUACUCAAACAUGCCUUUUCUGUUAUCUAGGGUUUGGGAGUAAUUUUUCACCCCUCAAAAAUUGAUUUUUUGAUCGUUAUUUCACUAUUUUUAGCCGUAAAGUUAGGGAUGGCAAUUGUUCGAUUUCGGUUCAAUUCGGCCAAAACUAUCAUCGAACCGUCAAAUUUUUUGACAUACCAUAACCGCACCAUAACCACGUAAAUCGGUUCGGUUCGGUUCGGUUCAGUUCGUAUCUCAGUUCGACUCGGUUCGGUUCGGUUAGGUUAAUAACCACGAAAAUAAUUUUUUUUCUACAUGUCCAUUCGUCAAAUUGAUAUAAAAUAAUUUAUGAAAAGAGAGUCAAUGAAAACAAAAACACAAUAUUUCAAACGAAAAUGUAAACAUUAUUCCAAAUUUCAAUUGCAAAAUACCAAUUUAACAAACAAUAUAAUGAAUAUAAUAAUACUAAAAUUUUCCUUCAUUCUUGAUUCUUGUGCAUUGUAGUUACUUGAUUUAUGCUCAAUAAUUCAAAAGCUUCAACCUUAACUCAUAUUCAAUCUUCAUUCUUCCCCUCAACUCUUACUAGCAUAGGUCAGCACUUAAAAUUGAUUCCUAUAUAGUAAAUAAGAAAUGUAAGUAGAGAAUACAACGAUACUACCUAAUCUAGAAUGAUUUUAAGAUUUAAAUAAAAAAAUGUACAUCUUCGUCAACUUCCUUUUCACUAAACCUUGUCAUCACUAAUAAAAGAAUGAUUUUUUUAAGCGGGUAAUCGGUUCGACGGCAUAAAUACCAUACUCAUACCGCCACGAACCGAUUUAUUAAAAUCAUAUACCAUAUCCGUCCCCAUUGCACCAUCCCUUCGAUUUUUUUCGCCUCAUUUAGUUCGGUUAACUGCGGUUUUCGAUUUUAACAGUUCAAAUUGUCAUCCCUACGUAAAGUUUGACUUCUUCUCUGAAAGAUGGCCCUCACUUUUCUUCUAAUGGUCAAAAAAUCAAUUCUCAAAAUCGCUUCCAAACGAGCCCCUAAUAUCUUCACUAGAUUGUCUGACCACGGCUACCACCCAAAUCAGCAAUAUAUCCAAAAUCUAAAGUAGAAUCCAGCAUGUCCUCUCCAUCGCCAGGAAAAAUUUUUGGUGCAAUAAAGUGCGAAAUUUCUGGUUUACAUUGCGAAUUCACAAGGCCAUGUUUGGUAGGUCAUGAUUUCCAUGGAAAAUGGUAAAUUAAUUCUACUUUCCCACUUUUGCCAUGUUUGAUGGCAAUUUUUUUCCAUGGAAUUUAUUUUCCAUCUCCUCCCCUCACGCGCCCAUUUUCCUUGUUUUUGGGGAAUUACAAUUCUUAAGGAUAUGGUGAGAAUUGGUUCUCUAGGCAACCCUUUUUUUUUUUGGGAAUGGAAACAAAUUCUAUGCCUAAUUGUAAAAAAAAUAUUUUCCUUAAAUUGACAAUUUGCAUGAAAAACAAAGUCAAACGUACAUGAAAAAAUACUUUUAUUUCAACAUUUUUCAGGUGGAAAGUUAUACUAAUCAAAUACAAUAAUUGACAAUCCCAGCAAAACAAUUUUUAGCCAAUUCAAUUCCUUGGAAUUCGUUUUGUUUUCCACCCAAAUUCUAUCUUUGCAAUCAAACGGACCCUAAUAUGUAAUUAAUCUCAAUGAAUGUGACUGUAGAAAUUGCGGUCUAAAUAUGUCUUGACAAUAGUGAUCAAUUUGACACUCACGAUUCGAAAUUCAACAGUAAUUUGCAAUGUAAUUUCUGAAUGUGACUGUAGUAUUCGCUUUUUGAAUGUGUUCGAAGUUGGAGUAACUUGUGGGAAAUAUUUUUUGAAAAGAAAUGUAUAAAAUGCUUUAUGUCUUAUAAAAAAAAAAUUAUGGAAACUCUAAUAACCCAUUAAGCCCCCAUAUGGCCUCUAUUUUUUCAAAUUAAAAUGAGCGGAAUAGUAUUUUUUGAAGAAUGAGUUGUUGAAAAAUAAUGAAAAGUUUUCCGGUUUAAGUGUAAUGUUAUUUUAUAAAAGAUUGUGUGGAUGAAAAUAUAAGAGAGAAAAAAAUAAAAUUUAAUUUAAUGCGGGCCAAACGAGGGUAAAUCUAUUAAAAUUAUGUAACUUUGGAUUUUUUACCAGUAAAAAUUAAAGAUGGAUGAAAAUGUCUUUUUCUUUUAAAAACUUGUAUCAAUAAAGCCACAAGUACAGAAAAAAUAACAGAAUUUGUACCGACGCUGACUUGGCAAAAUAUAAGUGGCCUGUUUUUCUACUUUUUUCCCCAUCUUCCAAUGAUGUCGUGUCAUGCAUUGUCUAUAAAGUUUUUCUGUCAAAAAAAUAUGUACUUAUAGCAUGAUUCAAAUUAAUAUUUGCUUAAGUCCACUCCUAAAAAGUUGUACUUGUUUGAAAUAUUCUUCAAUAUCAAAAUGGAUCCUUCAAAGGAUCUCGAUGACAAUUUGAAUAUUUUUAACAAGCUUGUUCAAGAUAUUGUCAAUUGUGUUGAGAAUGUGUCUGAAACCUAUAAGGUUAUUAUUUUGCACAAUUCUAUGCAUGAUUCAUAUAGGGAGGUUAAGAAUGCAUUUAAGUAUAGUAGGAACACCUUAACACUCGAGAUAAAAAUUAAGACUGAAAGAUAAGAGGGGUGGUGAGGUACAUAUGAUGAGGAGUAAAAUGAAAUUUAAGCAAAUGAGUUUGGGUAAAACUCAAGAUCAUGGCGACUCAAGUGACGAAGGUGAUAAGAAGAACAGCGGUGGUUGGGAUAAGUCAAGUGGUAAGUGGCAUUAUAGCUGUGGUAAAGCUUGAAAAUUUAUGUGGGGACUGUCUUAAGAAGAAGGUUAAGCAGAAGGUAAAGGUUAAGGUAAGAGGUGAGGCAAAUGUGGCUAUUGGGUCGAGUGACGACCCUAUUGAGAUUUAUUGAGAGUAAACAUGUUACUGCGUGUGUAUCUGUGUGUAACAUUUUUACAUGUUUGUGAUUGCUUAAUUUUGUUGCAUGAUUAUAUGUUACAUUUCAAUAUAUUUGAUAUGUACAUUUGCAUGAAUUUGAGAACAAUCUGGUUACUUGGUACAAUAUGCUUGCAUGUAUAGUGAGCUUAAUAGUAAGUGUGUAGCGUGUCUAUUAGUGAUUUGGAGUAUAGAUGUCAUAGGAUGUAUUGGUGAUAUAUAAUGGCAGAUGUGGAGAGUGAUAUAUAGAUCAUAAGUGAAGAGGUGAUUAAAUGUCAAAUCCUUUAUCUGUAAAGACCCUAAUAAAGUGGAGUGUGAGAGUGACACUUUUGUUAGGUAGAGACCCACUUUUCACUUAUGUUGGGAGAAAUGAGGCAGUAAUAGAGGACUAUCUCGUGGCCUUAUGAUCUAUUGUGAUAUACCAAUUAAACAUGAGUUUCAUAACAAUUUUUACAAAGACUGUCUAGCAUAGAAGCACUCCAAAUGACUUAGACCAACGAAGUUCUUCUCUAGUAUAACCAUGACUAUGAUGCAAAAAGGUAUUACUUCUAGAAAGUGUUUUUAAGCAAAACCAAAGUGUAAAUAUAGAAUGGAAUGAAUAAUAAACGCUUUAGGGGUCCUUUAUAUAGAAGGUGUGGGGUGUAGUUGGAUAAAUACGCCCCAAAAUUCAGCAAUUUCAUGAAGGGAUGCAACUCGUUCCACCGUUCACCUACGACUAAUGUGGCACUCGAGCAGUGGCCAGUGCAUUUUACACACUUAUUUUGAACAUAAAACAUGGAUAAUUGUUGAUAAAAUAUAUUGAAUAUGACUUAAUUCUAUAUAAAUUAUGUUUUGUAUGACAAUAUUCAUGAAUGUGGCCGAAUCUAGGAAAAAAGUAAAAGUUCAGGGACCAAAGUGCAAUUAGUCAAAAGAUGACCUGAAAGACAAAAUGAAGAUGUGAAAAAUUUAAGUAUUGGAAAAAGAAAGAAAUGAGAAAAAGAGGUCAAGAAAUGAGAAAACGAAAUUCAGGGAUUAAAACACAACAUUUGAAAGUUAAUAUAACUGGGCGACUGCCUGAAUUUUCCCUGCGUGACUACCUAGGCAAAUCGCGGCAAAAAAGUUCUGGUUUUCUCAUGUAACUGAAAUUCUUAUGGAAACAAAUAUUGGUCUUUUAAAGCUCCAGGGACGUCCAUAAGGAAGAUGAGAUGCAUUCUAAAGCAUUCAUAAGGGUUUUAAAGCAUAGAAGGAGGCAAGAAACAUGAAGAUCGACCCCAAGACAUGAAGAUUCAAUUUAAGAUUUCUUCAAUAUUCUUUUUGUUUUCUAUUUUCUACCAUGUUAAGCUAGAUUUGUUUAUACUAGGAGAACGAUGAACCGUGCGAUAUAACUUUUUAAUCUUUAGUUUUACUUUCUUGACAUUAAAACACGUUUUUGUAAUUUUAAAGGUUUAUAUGAAUUUAUUUUCUCCAAAAAAAUUUGCACAUGAUUGUGUGAAUUUGGUGGCUUGUUUCAUACAUUCAAAAGAAGGAGAAAUAGGCUCGACAUGGUAUAAAAUGUCAUAAGAUUCGAUAGAGGAUGGAAAUAUACCGCUAUACCUUAUAUGAAUCUUUAAAUAUUUACAAAAAUUUAAACAUUCUUGUAUAUUCACAUCUGUAAUAGAAAUAUAGUCGGGUCAUAAACGAGAGUAUGUUCAACAUUACUCAAGGAGAUUGGUUAAUAAAAUAGGAACAUUGAUUCUUCAAAAUUUUAAUGUGUUGUCAAAGUAUAAAACUAAGUUUAAAACGAAGUAUUGUAUGGGGAUUUAUGAUCCUAGUACUUUUAUCAUUCAUUAGAACUCUUCAACUUGCAUUUAAACACAACUUGCAUUUAGUUAGUUAAAUCACUUAUAAUUGCAUGCAUAAUUUAGUUUAGUUAUAAUUUGCAUCACAACAAACACUCUCAUUUUGAUUGUUUCAGUUAAGGUCACGAUAAUAGAAAUGGAACUAAAUCAAUCCUUUUGGGACAAUAUUUGAACUUAAAAUCUACUUUAUUACUUGUUAACAAACCGUACACUUAUGGUAAUUUUACAUUGAAAUAUAUUUUCGUUAAUAAAUUUUUGGCGUCAUUGCCGGUGAUUGAGUUUUGAUUGAUUUUAUUUACUUUGACACUAAUUAAAAAUUUUUAUUUUAUUUAGUUUUUCAGUUUAUCGAAGUGCUACUAUUGCUCUUCCUUUAUGUCUUGUAUGCGAUGGUCACUUGAAAGUGAAUUGGUUCCUAUUGAUCCAAAAAUUGAAUGCACCUUUCAUCGUAGGCAAAGAGAGGUAAGAGAAGUACAACAAAAAGAGCAAAAACAACAAAUACCAAUGGCUAAUAAGCAUAUUGAGCCAUUGAUUAAUCCUGCAAAUCUAGUAGAUGCAAAGGUAGAAGAUGAAGGAAAUAUGCUACUUGGGGACUUCAUGGCACCAUUAGUUGUCCAAAGCCAAUCUAGCAUUGUAUAUCCUCCAUUUGGGUAGCUAAACUGCCAACUGAAAAUGAAAGUCAUCCAAAUCUUUCAGCAUGGGCAUUAGUUCUUCGGAAUGGCUAAUGAAAAUCCACAUACACAUAUAUCCCGAUUCUUGGAUAUGUGUCAGCACUCAGGAAUCAAGGAAUUUUAGAUGAUGCUAUUAGGCUAAGGUUAUUUCCACAUACUUUUUGAGAUAAAGUACUCGAAUGGCUGGAUUCACUUCCCAUUGCAAGCAUAACUACUUUGAAUGAGCUAGCUCACAAAUUCUGCAUGAAAAUUUUCUCACCAUUUAAGGUAGUGAGACUGAGGCAUGAAUAUCGAUAUUCAAUUAAGGUGAAUCUAAAUCAUUUAAUGAGGUUUGAAAUAGGUUUAAGAACAUGCUAAGGAAGUAUUCUCAACAUGAUUUAGACAAGAAAACCCAAAUCCGAUUUUUCUAUACAAGAUUACUUCCAACUUUCGAAAAAAUAGUAGAUUCAUCAUCCAAUGGUUGCAUAUCCACGAGAACAAUCGAUGGAGCAUUAGAAUUGUUUUAGAUAAUGGCUACUGAUAAGUGCAUUUUGUGCACUUAUUUACGCCACGUUACUAAACUUGUAUGUCGUCAAAUUAGUGAAUUUUACACUUAAUUUGAGUUAAUUUUGUUUGUUUCAUUGACGGACUCUUUUGAAGCAAUUGAAAAGGAAGAAUGAUUAAAUUGAAUGAAAUUGGCAAUUUUGGCGGAUCAAAGCUACACAACUGAUGAGUUUAAGGAUUACAUUACAUUAACUUGGAAGAUUGGAUGACUUGAAGAAGAUAGUAAAUGAAUUGGGCUUCAAUUAGACUUUUAAGUGAAAUCAAAUUAAAUCAUUGAUUACACUUUUAGUUGGGCUCAAAUUAUAGGGCUGACAAAUUGAAAUUUAUUAGACGGCAGCGUUUUCUGGGGACGGCAAUUGGUAGAAGACGUAGAGGAGAAAAAACACAUUGAAGUUGGCUAGAAAGAAAAUACACGCACAGGAGCAUACAAUUGAAGAAGAAGAAAAAACGAGUUGCCUAAUGGAAAUAUAUACAUAAAAUAAGAGGCAGCCUAGGAAAAUUUGGUGCGAGUCAACUAUUGCGGCUGUUGGAGGAAUAAAGGGUUGUUUGUUACUAAAAUUAUAGACGAAUAUACACAAAAAAAAAAGGUAGCAAAGAGGAGAGAGACACAGACACAAAGACUAAAAGAAUUAGUCAAUUGGUGGCAGAUUGUGAGAAAGAAAAACGGCUGAUUUAUUUUGUGAUUCGUUCCAUCAAUUUUUGGUGAUGUCUUUUAACUUUUGAGUGUUUAACUUCGACUCUAUGUUUGGUUAAAUUUUUUUAUUGCUAUGAUGUGAUGAACCCUCGUUAUGAAAUUUUUUUAGUUUGAAUAAUUAAAUUGAAGUUAAAUUUGUUUGAAUAUUUGGAUGUUUAUUAUUGUUUUUCAUACUUUUCAAUUAAUUGGCCACUAGUUGAAUUGUUUGUGGAUUUUCUUGUUAUCGAGAGAGAUAAUAAGAUCAUUAGCACGUAGUACUAAAUAUUGUGAGGUUCGAUAAAAAAUAGAGAUAUACAUCUAUGCUUCAUAUGAUUUUUAUAAGAUGUUCUAGCUCGUUUAAUGCAUUUAUCAUGUUCGCAUCUUUUAUUCAGAGAUAGGAAGGUCGUAUGAGGGGAAUAGAUUUGAUAACUAUCGAGAGAGGUUUUCAAUUAAAAUAGGAACAUUGACCAACAAGCAUGAUUUCAAAUUGUCAAUUUAAACUAUCGAACUAAAAAAUUGAUUAAUAAGGGGGAUUCUACAUCUUAGCAAUAUUUCUUGUGAAGUUGAUAAAUUUUAUUUACAUUACUUUCUAGUUAGUCGAUAGAUUUAAUAAUUUUUAGUUACUACUCGAUUUUGCUAUUCGAUUAAGGGAGGGUUAGCUUAAAAUUGAUCAAACACAUAGUACUCGUGGGUUCGACACUCUACACACCAUUUUAUUACUUGUUCACGAUCUCGCUCACUUGCGGGCAAUCAAACGAACAGCUACUAUUUCAGCCAUGUGGUCCUCUAAGUAGGUAGUUUAGAAGAAAUCACCAGGGGUUUAUGAGAUAGACACUUACUCGGCCUUAUAUGCUAAAAUAGACUACAUAUUUCAUAAGAUAGAAAGCAUGUCACAUUCAACAAAUGCAAUACAAGCAUGGAAACUAAGUUGUGAAGAAUGUGGAGCUGAUCACAGUACAGCUGAAUGCCCAAUUCUAUCACAGGGAAUGAAAUAGGUAGAAUAUGCGUAAUGGGGUCAGCGUUAACAAAACAAUCCAAAUUCAGACACUUACAAUCCCGGUUGGACAGAACAUCCAAGUUUUUCGUGGGUUGAUAACCAAAAUAAUUUCAAAAUCUUAAUAGACCCCAUGGACAAGUUCAGCAUGAGAAGAAAAUUCAAUUGGAAGAGAUGUUUGCGAAGUUUGUGGAAAAGAUUAAUAAAUACAUGGAAACAAAUAACCAAUUCAUGGGGAAGACUGAAACAAACUUUCCAAAAUUAGAAUGUUACAAUUAAGAACUUUGAGAUGUAGGUGGGAUAGAUUGCACUUUUUACGAUGGGAAGGACACCAAGUACUUUGCCAAGCAAUACUGAAGUGAAUUCCGAAUGAGCGUGUUCAACCAAUUACUACAAGAUAUAGGCUUCGAUUACCAGAAAUACAUGUAAAGAGACCGGGUGAAAUUGAAAAAAUGGUGCGUUCUUCUGAUGAGGAGCACGAGAAGCAGACUGACCAGACCAGAGAGACAUCUACCAAAGAAGGUUUGGAUAUAUCACGGGCUAAAGCAACCGCUCCUAUCAAACAUACAAGGCCCUAAUUUCAUUCAUCUAGAGAUUGAAGAAGCAUAAAAUGGAUCAAUAGCUAAUGAAAUUUUUAGAGAUCUUAAAGAAACUUCACAUAAACAUUCCGUUAGCUGGGGCAAUUACUCAGAUAACCCAACUAUGCCAAAUUCUUGAAUGACAUCCUUUCCAACAAAUGCAAGAUGGAGGUGCACGAAACGGUGGAAUGCAGUGUUAGAAUUCAGAAAAAAUUACCUCCAAAGCUAAAAGAUCCAAGGAGUUUUAUUGUACCCUGCACUAUAGGAAUUGCUAUUUUGAAAAAGCUUUAUGUGAUUUGGAUGCUAGUAUUAAUUUGAUGCAACUUUCUAUUUUCAUUUAACUAGGAUUAGGGAAAGCUGAGGCAACUACGUUAACUCUACAACUGGUUGAUCGAUCAUUUACUCACCCAUGAGGAAUUAUUGAAGAUGUUUUGGUAAAGGUAGAAAAACUCGUAUUUCCAGUGGAUUUUCUCAUUCUAGAGAUGGAGGAAGAUAAGGAUGUACCACUCAUUUUGGGUUGAUCUUUUUAGCUACUAAAAAAGCUCUCGUAGACGUAUAGCGAGGUCGAUUAAUUCUAAGACUAGGAGAGAAGCAGGUCUCUUUAAACGUGUUCAAAGUAAUGAAAUAUCCUACUGAGUCAUACAACUAUUUCCAGAUUGAGGUGGUUGACAAAGUAAUUCAUGACACCUUUCAGUUGCAAAAUAUGUCAGAUGCUUAUGAGGCUUGUAUUGUGUAUUCUCAAUCCACUCACACUGAUUUCAGUGAGAUUGAGGUUUGUGCAAUAUAUAUGGAGACAAAUCCACCAUACAUGUGAAAACGAAAUUAUAUUGAAGUCUGCAUUUGUUGAGUUUUAAACGGGUAAUGAGAGAGAGCCAUACUACUUGGAGCAGGGUAAGGUUAAAAUUUGGAAAAAAGUUACAGUAUAGAAAAAAGUCAUAUUGAGCAAACUAAGCAGGACCUCUAAGGCUAUAUUCAAAGUACCACAACAUACUUGUGCCAAACAUCGAGCUUUAGACUAUAAAUCAAGCGCUUAAUGGGAGGCAACCCAUUCUUAUAUCUCUUUUCACUUAUUUUGACUAGCUAUUGUAUUACACGUAUGUUUAGGGAUUGUAUUAGUAUUUGGAGCCAUGGUUAGGAACUCAUGCAUUUAAUGAUUUUUAACAAAAACUGGGUUAAAAAUUGGGUAGUAUUUUAAAAUUAGUAUUAGGAUCAAUUUACUUAGGCUCGUCACUAGCAUUACAUUGAGCUUACAUUGAUGUGAUAUGCAUUUUUAUGGUUGCUCCUAGAUUUCAAUCUUCUUAAUGUCAGAAGAUUAUAGUUCUUUAUGGUGUGAAUACAUUGCAAAUAUUUAAACCUUAUUUGCUAUUAUUAAUAUUUAUUUUAAAUUCUUGAGACAUAAAAUUGAAGCAUAGCAACAAAGGAAAAUGGUGGUUGUCAUGAUAUCUACUAAACGGACUAGCAUGAUCCUCUAAAUAUCCGCAUCUAUCCCGAGGAGCUUUUGAUCCUUACUAGUUCAUUUUGAUUACUUUUACUUUUACUUUGAGGACGGUGUUUUAUAUAAGUGGUAUGGCAUAAUCUUCAUAACACCUUUAACAUUCAUUGAUAUUUGUGUAUAAUUUACUGCUUUCCCUGUGAUCGUAUGUGUGAAAAAAAGGGUAAUUCGAACAAACGUCCUUAUAUUUCAAUGUUAUUGUGUAAGAUGUCCCUACUUUUCAUUUUUUGGCACUUUUAUUCUUACCUUCACCUUUUAUUGCGAAAAUAAUCAUUUUCAUCAAAUUUCUCGUGUAAAAUGACAAAAAGACCCCCUAUUUAAAUAAAACAAUAAAAAAGAAAAGAAAAGUUAAAGAAUAUAUUGCAAUCAUACUCCCAAACUUUUUUAAAAAGUGCAAACGAGUCCACAUAAAUUAUUAAAGGAGUAGUUAGUACAAAACGUCCAUACUUUUCAUUAUUAUAGUGAAAAACGUCCAUAACGUUCAUUUUUUUUUUGACAUUUUUACCCUUAUUUUUAUAUUUCAUUGCAAAAAUCAUUAUUUUCAUCCAUUUUCCCAAUUAAAAGUUGUAAAAUGACAAAUACACCCUCAUCUUUAAAUAAACAAAAAUAAAGAAAGGAAAAAUAAAGAAAAAAUUGCAAUUAUACUCCCAAAAUUUUCAAAAAAAAAAAACUACAAAUAAAUUUCAAAUAAAUAAUUUAAAAAACAAAAAUCACUUUCUUUUUUAAUUAUUUAUUUGAAAUUUAUUUUUACUUUUUUGAAAAAUUUUGGAAAUAUAGUUGCAAUUUGUUCUUUAUUUUUAUUUUUUUUUUACUUAAAAAGGAGCGCAUAUAUAUUAUUUUGCAACUUUUUCUUGAGAAAAUGGAUGAAAAUAACGAUUUUCGCAAUGAAAUAUAAAAUAAAUUUGAAAAUGUCAAAAAAUGAAAAGUAGGGACGUUUUGCAUAAUAAUAAUGAAAGGUAUGGAUGUUUGUUGCUAAUUACCCUUUUAAUAAUUUAUGUGGACUCAUUUUUAUUUUUUUUAAAAGUUUGGGAGUAUGAUUGCAAUUUAUUCUUUAACUUUUCUUUUCUUUUUUAUUGUUUUAUUUAAAUAGAUGGUAUUUUUGUCAUUUUACAUGAGAAAUUUGAUGAAAAUGAUGAUUUUCGCAAUAAAAGGUAAAAAUAAGGGUAAAAGUGCCAAAAAUGAAAGGUAUGUACGUUUUAUACAAUCAUAUUGAAAGGUAAGGACAUUUUGUGCUAAUUAUCCAAAAUAAAAAAUUACAGUCUUUACUCAUUUUUAUUUAUUAUUUUGUUUGCUUAUGUAGGUUUGAUGACCUUGUCGACAAUGAUGUUGAAUACUAGAAUAGGCAUAGACUAGGAACAAUGGAAAAAGUGCAUGACUAGAAUAGCCGAUACUAGUUUAUGUGAAACUUGACAUUUUCUGUGCACGAUACUCAUGAUUUACAUGUUAAGUUGGUGAUUUGGUUCAUUAUUUAGAAAAGAGUUGAACAUAAUAUGUUAUACCUAACAAACCUCUAUUGUACUUAUCCAUAACCCAUUGUUUUGAUGCUUUGAAGAUGGUUGAGCUAUUUUAGAGGAACAUUGAGAUAAGUAGGUCUUCCGUAAAUGAAAUUAUAAUGUGUGGAAUACUUAAAACCAAUGAGACUAAGAUUAGAUGAAAGUUUUCGGUUAGGCGUUGGUUUUGAAAACUAAAUGUCUAAAAGAAAAGCGGCAUAAUAUUAAUCUUUGUGUGAAUAAUACUUCUUUCAAAGUCUUUAUGGCUCGAGCAAGUAAGCUUGUAAGGAUAUUGAAAACCUGGUGCCAUAAAGUCAAUUGAUUUGGGAGUUAUCAGCCUAAAACUCACUACGGAGGUCAUAUAGAAAACAAAAAAGGAGAAGUUGAUAAAAAAAUAUCUUUUCGAGCCUUUAUAACUCAAAUGAAUAAGCCUAUAAGGGUAUUUGAUAACUUGGUGCCCUAAAAUCAUCUGACUUCGGAAUCAUCGGCCUAAAACUCGAUACUUGGACUAGAUAGAAAGAAAAUGAGUGGAUGAUAAAAAAGAGAGAGAAAAUAAGAAUAAGUGAGGAAAGACACAAUCAUAUUGAUUAAGUCCUAAGACAUUCGGUUGAUAAAAUUAUACAUUUAAUGCGAGCCAAGUAGCUUAGUUUAGCCUUAAAGGUUGAAGCAAUCAAAAAUAGGAUAACCUCUACAUUUGGAAGCUUGAAUUUGCGAUAGUAAACUAAGAGAGGGUAAGGAUUAGAAUUAAUUUCAACCUUAGAGUACAAGUUGGGGAAAUUGAGUGAAAAGAAUAAGUUUAGGGGCAUGUAUCUCUCGAGAUAACAAAGGAAAUACUUGACCACUAUGGGUUGGGAGUUGAACCAAUCAUGAGUUUAACAUGUUUACAUUAGUUUACACACACAUCAGGUUAUGCAUAUAAUAGGUGGAGGCCUAUUUGAUUUGGUACUGUUGAAACUAUUCAUUAUGUUGAUUACUGAAUUCCAAUCCUGAGAGAUGUUGGGUUGUCAAAUCAUGUUUUAUGUUGAGUGAAGCUACAUUUUUGUUUGAGGACCAAAAAUAGUUCAAGUUUGGGGAUUUGAUAAGUGUGUUUUAUACACUUAUUUUGACAACAAAAACAGGAUAAUUAUUGAUAAAUAUGUUAAAAUAUGGCUUAAUUCUAUAUAAAUUAUAUUUUGUAGGACAACAUUGAUGAAUGUAGCGGAAUCUCAGAGAAACUAACGAAAGAGGACCAAAAUGGAAGAAAAUAAAAGUUCAUGGACCAAAGUGCAAAUAACCAAAAGACGUCUAGGAAGACAAUGACGAUUUGAAAGAUUUGAAGGCUAAUUUAUAGAAGACAUGAAGUAUUGGAAGAAGAUAGAAAUGAGAAAAAGAGGUCAAGAAACGAGAAAAUUAAAUUCAAGGACUAAAACACAGCAUUUGAAAGUUAAUAUAACUAAGUCACUGCCCAGUUAUAUAGGUCGGAUGACUGCCAAACCACGAAGAACAAAUACCAAGGCUUAAAGUUUAGCUUGGAAGACGGUGACGAAAAAAUUUUGAUUUUCUUAUCUGACAGAAAUUCUUAUAGAAAUAAAUCUUGAUGUUAGGUCUAAUUGUUUUUGGCAAUUUUGUGAACAAAAAGGGUCAAAUUGAAACAGUGUUGAAGUCGAAGAGUAAUGUGCAAUAUUGUAAAAAGUUGUUCGUAGGUUAGGGUUUAAUGUUAAAAUAAAGAAGGAAGGAAGGCUUGUUGCAUUUUCGCUUGAUUCUCGUCAACACACCGCUCGAGAGGCAUAUGCAGAGAGGACAUCGCUAGCUUCUCGCCAAGCCUUCACUCGAGUGAAAAGGUCAUUGCUAGCUAUCGGUUGACGUCGUUCGAGAGAUAAAUAUUUUCGCAAAACCCUAAUUUUCCUUUUUCGAGAGUUUUAACCAUUCCAAACUACCCAAAACAUCCUAUAUAUAAAAAUCUGUGUUGUUUUCACGAAAAAGCUGGGAUUGUCCAUUAGAGAAAACACUUGCAUUCUUCAAAAUACACAUUCCAUUCUUCAUCAACCUUGGCAAUUGAAAAACAUCAAAUCUGAAAUUCAAACACCAAAAACCAAAAGCUUCCAUGGGCUCUGUUUGAGAUUGAAGAUCGAGGAAGAUGAUUGGAGUUGUGGUCAUUGGAGAACGGGGAGUUCUUAGGGAUCCAUUGGAGAUAGACGAGAUCAAAAAUAGGGAAUUGGUGUAGGAGCACGCAAUCUAGAAGGGCUUUGGGAAUUACAAUACAGAAGAUCAGAAAGAACGUAUGUGGGUCUAGUUUGUUGGUACUGUAAGUUGUGUUCGUUUAUAGUGGAUUCACACUGGUUGGGGCCCCGAGUUUUACUUAGUUUGAGGUUUCUCCAUCAUCAAAUUUUGCGUGUUCUUUAUUUUUCCAGUAAUUUAUUAUACUCCGUUAAUUCAACAUAGGGUAGAUUGCAUGAGAAUUGGACUAGACUAAUUAAUUAAUUAUCACACUGUGCAACAAUUGUUAAUUGAAAUUUGGUAAAUUUAGUGCAAACACCUAUUCACCCUUCUCUCUAGGUGUUAUUUGGGUCGAACUGUGUAACUUUCACUUGGAAUAUCUUUAAAAUCCCUAGAGACGCCCAUAAGGAAUAGGGGACGCAGUCUAAACAUUUAUAAGGGCAUUAGAGCAUAGACGGAGACAAGAAACACAAAGAUCAACCUAAGACGCGAAGAUUCAAUUCAAGAUUUAAAUUGGUGAUGUCGUUUCUUCAAUAUUCUUUUUGUUUUCUUUUUUCCACCAUGUUAGGCUAGAUUUGUUUGUGCUAGGAGAAUGAUGAACCAUGUGAUAUGACUUUUUAAUAUUUAGUUUUACACUCUUGACAUUAAAACACGUUUUUGGAAUUUGAAUGAUUUCUAUGAAUUUAUUUUCUCAACAAUUAUUGUACAUUUGAUUGUGUGAAUUUGGUGGCUUGUUUCAUGCAUUCAAACAAGGGAAAUAGGCUCGACAUGAAAUAAAUCGUCUUAGGGUCUGAUAGGAGAUAGAAAUGUACUGCUAUGCUUUAUGUGAAUAUUUAUGUGUUUACAAAAAUUCACGCAUUCUUGUGCAUUCGCAUCCACCAUAGAAAUAUAGUCGGGCCAUUUUUAUUAGAGUAAGUUCAACAUUACUCAAGAGAGAUUGUUGCAUAAAAUAGGAACAUUAAUUUUUCAAAAUACAACCAUCUUGUUAAAGUUUAAAACUAAGUUUAAAACGGAAUAUUGAAUGUGGAUUCGUGAUUCUAGUACGUUUAUCAUUAAUUAGAACACUUCAACUUGCAUUUAAACACAACUUGCAUUUAGUUAAUUAAAUCACUUAUAAUUGCAUACGUAGUUUAGUUUAGUUAUAAUUUGCAUCACAACAAAUACUCUCAAUUUGAUAGUUUCGGUUAAGGUUACGGUAACAGAAAUUGAACUAAAACAAUGCUUGUGGGACAAUAUUCGGACUUAAAAUCCACUUUAUUAUUUGUUAACGAACUAUACACUUUCUAUGACAAUCUACUCAACAAGUAGAAUAAGUUAAUCUAUUUACUUUAAUACUUUGACUUUUGGAUCAAGUCCGAAUAUUUGAUCGACAUUGACACAAAGUCACUUUUCAAAGUUUAUAUUUAACCAAAAUUUCAUUUCUUAAACCAAACUCCAACAGCAUUUGCAAUUGAAUGCAUCUUAACGAUCAAGGGCGGAGCCAUGUUGAGACGAGUGUGGGCAUAUGCCCGCAUUGAAUUUAUAGGCCUAAACCUUUUUUUUUUGGUAUUAUUAUUAGCAACAUGAGGUGGAAUAAAAACAUGUUUUAAUUUACAUGGGUUUUAUUUUUAGGUCCAAACCCAUGAUUUUGUUUUAUAGUUUUAUCAUCAUUAAAUUCAUGACCAAAACUCAAUGUUCGACGUGGGUUAAAUUAUGUCAGCACUGAACAAAUUUCCUGGCUCCGCCCCUGUUAACGAUGAUACCCCCCCUCGAACUUCAACAACGAUUGUUUGCUACUGGAUAUGAAAUUCAAAGUUGGAAUAAAUUGUGGGAUAAUAGUUUGGAAAAGAAACGUAUUUUAUGCUUUAAUAUUUCACAAAUUCAUCUUCAACAACAUAUUCUCCUGAUAAAGUAAUUUUAUAUGUGGAUCCAAAUUUUUUUUCAUAUUUUUUAACAACAUAUUCUUCAAAAAAUCAAUAUUACAAAAUCUAUGCUUCAAAAAAAUUGGGCUUAAACAAACCAUAUAUUUGUUUUCUAUUUUUGCCGAAAUAUUAGGGGAAAAAAAUGUUUGGUAGCUCCUAGUUUUGGAGCUUGUAGAUCUAAAAAUGGAAUUUGAAACCAGAAAACGGAAAAGACUAGAAAUUAUUGAGGGGAGAGAGAGUGAGUUUGAAUUAUUGAAUAUAUUGGAGUACAGCUCAUACGAUUCACUUUUCAAAUAGCUUUAAAUUUAACAAUGGAUAUAAAGAAAAAGCCACAAGAAAAGUUCACAAAAGUCUGAAUAUUUCCUCUACCCAUUUCUGUUCUAUUUCAUCACAUCACCUGUGUGAAAUCUUAUUUGUGGAGUCCAAAUUAAAAACAAUACAAAAGUUGAAUAAACAAUGUACUCAAAGUAUUAUAUAUUUUUAUUUGUUUGCUCCAUCGUUCCAUUUUUGACAUAAUAUUUUUUUUUUCCGUUAUCUGAUAUCUUCAAAGGAUUGUCCCAAAUCAAUAGUAAAUUCAAAAUCUAAAACAUAAUCGAGCGUGUUAUCUCCAUUGUCAAGAAAAAUCAUCGGUGCAAUAAAGUGCAAAAUUUUUUUUUGCAUCGAAAAACGCCUUCAACUCUAAUUCACUAAUGUGUAAUGAAUUUCAAUGAGUGUGACUUAGAAAUAUAUCUCAACAAUGGUAACAAUGAUCAAUUUGAUACUCUUGAUUCAAAAUUCAACAGUAAUUUGCAUUUUAAUUUCUGAAUGUGAAUACAGUAUUCACCUUUUGAAUGUAACUUAACAAUAAUACCCCAGUCUCAAACUUCAACAUUGAUCAUUUGCCACGACGCAUUCGAAAUUCAAAGUCGUAGUACUUCAUAAUAUUUUUAAAAAGAGAUGUAUUGAAUGUUUUAUAGCUUAUUAAAAAAUUAUGGUCACUCUAAUAACCCAUUAAAUCUAUAAAAACUAAGGAUCAUUUACACGAUUUUAGAUUUUUUAGUAUACCAAGAAAAAUGAAAGAAAGACGAAAAUUUGGGUUUUAAAAGAAAAAAUUAAAUUGAAUCGUAUCUUCCAAUCUACCCUCAAAAUGGAUAAUUAUUAUACAUUGUGAACUUGAGAAAAAAUUUAACGAUGAAAAUUCUUGUCUUCAAAAGUAUCAAGAUGACAAUUUUUUGGCUAAACAACCAAAAAAUUAACUUUUUACUAUAGAAAAGUACGUCGUCAAAAGUGAAAUUUUUGUACUCAUCAUCAUCAGCAAUGUCACUGCAAACCUACAUUGCUUUUGCAAGUAACAUUGGUAUUCUAAUUUUGAUUUCUAUUUUUACUAAAUUUUAGUAGCUUUGGAGCUUGGAGAUCUGAAAAGCAAAUCAUACAAGAGAAGGAAAAAGACUACUAAUUAUUGAAGAGGGAGAGAGAAUUUGAGUUAAUCAAUAUAUUGAGUACAGCUCAUAUGAUUCACUUUUCUAAUGCCUUUAAACAAUGGAUGAAAACAGUCCCCAAAAAAUAUAAAAAGGGACUAGAUGUAAACAAAAAUAUUGCACUCCUUAAGAUGUUCAAAUUACUUUUUGAGCUUUUGUCGAAGAUGUGGAUGCAAUGAAGAGUAUCCAAGACUAGACAUGCUAUUCAAGAUGAUUAUUCAUUUUUCUUUACUUGCUUUAAAAAGAAAACUCACCUUCUUAGUCGUUUUCACACAGACCGCGUGAAAUUAUUGUUGUGUUGAUGUAUGUUUUCAUUCUUAGGAGAAACUAAAAGAAUUUUUUCCAUGUUUGAUUACUAAUAUAUAUUCGAUAUCCUCAAUAGAAGUCUCGAUAUUAUGAUGGUUUUUUUUCCCCAUUAUGAUGACCACUUUUACUUGUCGUAAUUUAUGAAUUAAUCAUUUUGUUUUGACCAUGUAAAGUACUUAAUUUUUUGUUAAAUCGAUCAUGUGAAAAAUGAACUAACAUACGUACAUGACAAGUUGAUAGAAUAUACUGAGUGUACAAUGUAGACAAACGUUCAACCAUAAAAUUUAAAAGAAAAUAUUUAGUGCUUAUUUGGAUUUCAUUAUACGUUUUUGAAAUAUAAUGUGAUAGAAAUGCAUGAUGGAUAAGUGAGUAUUUGUGAGUCCUAUGAAAUGUAUGAUUAAACUUAAUUUUCACAUUAUAUUAUAAGGACAUUAUAAUGAAAGGAAAAUUAAGAAAUUAAGCCCAAUAUCAACAAAAGCAGCGUUCAUAUAAUUCAUAUCUUCUAUUUUCGUGUAUCAAUGCAUGGCGGUCGCUCCAUAUACAUCAAAGAACACAGUAGUUUUCAAGAGUUGAUCGCGGUACUGUAGUGAAAAUAUGUAUCAGAUGUCCAAAUUUUCCGCCAUUGCUAUGUCUGCAUAUAAUCUGAUCGCUCCAUCUUUUGCCACAUUAUUUCCGCAAUUUUACAUUGUAUUAUAACAUGUGUUUCAAAUUUUCUUCAUGGUUUUGAUAGAAAGGAUAAAUUGAAUGAGUGACAAUUUACCGUCUUUGUAGCGUACUGCCUCCACUCAAAUACGUUCAUAGAGAAUUUACCAUAUGAAAAUCCUAUUCUUUGGUGGAAUGUUUAGUGUCCAGAAGCCUUUCCACCAGUUUUUUAUUACCACAUUAUAAGAUGUAGAUGCUUGAUGUUGAGGUUGGAUGCCAAUCUAUAAUCUCUAUCCGGACUGAACCGAGAAUUUCCCACUCCACUCGUAGAGCCAAAUAAUCUGAUCGUCACAGGAGAAAGAACUGAUUGAGAUUGCUAGUAUGGCAUCGCGAUCAUUGGCGAAAAAUGGCUUUCAACUCAGCAAAAAUCCCAAACCCCUGGAGAAAUAAAUAAUUCGCUGACCAUGGUUUAAACUUUAAAGGUAUUAGGCCGUAGAAUCCGAGAAAUUGUUAGUUCUGAAGUGUUCAUGUAACUACUUAACUCUGUGAGAUAGUGUGCGUCUUGAUUCUCCCGUCUCCUUACAUGAGUACUUGAUAAUCUCUGUAUCCUUUUAUCAUUUCCUGGUGUUAAUUGUUUAUGUAGAACUAUCCCUAAGGCCAUCUCCAACCCUGCACCAAAUUUUGCACCAUUUUACACCAAAUUUUGCACUAAAUCUUGCACCAAACCAAAAUUCUUCUCCAACCAUUACACCAAAUGAACAGUGCUUUAUUAUUUUAUUCAUUCUUUCGAUUUUUGACAAUGUAUUUAUUUUAAAAUAUUAUUUAUUUAUUUUAUAACUAUAUAAAUUAGUAAAUCAUAACUUCAUUAAAUUAACAAAUAUAUUGAUUACUAAAUUAUCACAUGUCUUAUAUAUUAUGUUAAAUUGACAAAAAUAUUUGAUUAUAUUAUUAAUUUAUGAUAAACAAUUACGUUAAAUUUAAAAAAAUAAUAAAGUUUAAUAAUAUAAACUUUACGUUAAAUUAAAUUUCAAACGUAAACUUUAUGUUAAAUUAACAAUUACGUUAAUUAUUAUUGAUUAUAUUAUUAAAAAUAAUAAACUUUAAUAAUAUAAUUAAUAGUGUAAUUAAUUAAGUAAUUAUUAUUAUUAUUAUUAUGAUUAUGAUUAUGAUUAUGAUUAUCAUUAUCAUUAUUAUUAUUAUUAUUAUUAUUAUUAUUAUUAUUAUUAUAGAACGAAAAUGACACAAAUACCCUUAACCAUUAGCUUUGAAAAAUGAAACAUAAGAGCAAAAUGGACAUUGCACCAGUUGGUGCAAAAUGGUGCAACAUGAAUAGUGUUGCACCAUAUUUGGUGCAACACUAUUCAUUACACCAUUUUUUGCACCAAAAUUUGGUGCAAUGGUGCAAUGGUUGGGGGAAGUUAUAAAAUAAAUAAAUAAUAUUUUAAAAUAAAUACAUUGUCAAAAAUCGAAAGAAUGAAUAAAAUAAUAAAGCACUGUUCAUUUGGUGUAAAUUUUGAUGUAAUGGUUGGAGAAGAAUUUUGGUUUGGUGCAAGAUUUGGUGCAAAAUGGUGCAGGGUUGGAGAUGGCCUAAGAGAUUAUUUUGAAAACUCCCUUGACCUGAGGACCUGAUCUUCACGGAAUCCAAGAUCUCUUAAUAAUAAAUCUAGAACUAAGAUCAGUAAGUGAUUCACUUUGUGUGAUAUUCUCUCUGUGAUGAUUGACUAUUUUUUGGCAUUUGAUAAAUACUUUUUGUAUUUUAUUAUGUGUUGGGUAUUUGGGAAACUCUUGAAUCGAAUUACUUGAAAAAACCUCUUCCAAAUAAAUUAUUUUUGUUGGAAAAUUUUAAAUUGACUCCGACAAGAUAUAUAUUUUCAAUAAGUUGAUCCAAGAUAUAAAAAAUUGUGGCAACAAGGGAAUAUGCGAGUAUAAAGCAAUCAUCAUGUAAAAUGCUAUCAUUGAGACCGAUAAGGAUGUUAACUGUGUCAUCAAUACUUUAAGAAGCAAUGAUCUAGAACUUAAAAAUGAUACAGAAACUAAAACCAGUGCUGAGGGGUAAAUCCAAACAUAGAGAGUCUAGUGGUUAGGAGAGUAAUAAUUCUUAUGGUCAUCACCAUAAAAAGAACUGUAGGAAUUAUUUUGGGUGUAAGUCAAAGGCUAAAAAUAGAAAAUGCUGUAAUUUUGGAAAAAAGAGACAUUAUAUUAAGGAUUGUUAUAAACUUAACAAUAAUUUCAAUAAAAUGAAAUAGAAAUCGAACCAAGUAAUUUUGCCACAACUAGCAACAAGACUCUUGAUGAUCUCUAUGUAGCCAUCCAAGUGGAAGAGACCGAGCGCCUUCCACUGAUUAUUUAAAUGAAUGGUUACAAGAAUUAGAUUGCACAUUUCAUAUGACAUCCAGAAAGGACAUUUAUUGUACCUAUAAAGAAAUAAACAGAAUGAUAGUAGUUAUAGGAAAUAAUAUAUCGUGCAGAGUGAGAAGCAAACCCACCUACAAAUUAAUCAAAACAAUUGAUUAGUGUAAGGAUUUGCAAAGUAAAUUGAAGAAAAUCAAGACCAAAAUCUGAAAAUAAAAGGAAAGGUUUUCCCCUUUAUAAUUCGGCUCAGAAACUUGAUCUACACCACAAAGGUAUCUCCAAUUUGAAGGCCAUUAUCAGUCACACAGACAUAUUCACAAAGAAAAGGCAAGAGAGGAUUGGUUUGCACUAAGCAGAGAAGUUUUUCUUCCUCUUGUUUUUUGCUCUCGGUUUUGGUGUGUUUAAUGGAAGGGAAGAGUCUCCUAUUUAUAGGCUUAUAGGAGUGAAUGAAUUUCACAGGAGUCUUCAAGAUUAGAUUGAAUAAAAACUGCAAGAUUAUAUCCAAACUGAAAGAUAGAGCUCAUCCAACAAAAAUGAGAUAAAAUUGGUUUGAUAAUAAUAACGAUAAUAUUUAUCCAUCUUUCAUGUGAAUUUCAAAUUCCCUCCAAGUUGGGUAUUGGGCAUCUAACCCAAUGGACUGAUUACCUCUAAAUACCCAACAUAAUUGGGCUACUUCAAUUGUGGUGUGGAUUUAAUUCUUCAAUCCUGGGCUUAUAGCCUAUGAAGUUAAAACGGGCCUCGAUUUUUCAUCAUAGCUUAGGGGAUUUGGGCAUUACUUACCAAUCAUGCCCAACACAGAGUCAUAGGAUUGGAAAUAUAAGGGUAAAAUUUGAAACUCGAGAUGUCUGUGCUAGAAAUUGUAAGGAGCACUCCUUUCCAUCAAAAGAGUUAGGAAUGGUCUUCUCGAAAAUAGAGAGCGUUUCUGCAGAUUCUGCAAUGGCUAACUCUGUUAAGGGUAAUGGUAGUAAUCUGUUGCACCAAAAAUUAGCUGACUUGGGUAAUAAAGGGUUGCAAAUGCUGCAAAACAAGGAUCUUUUGGGAAAAAUCACAUGACACAUCUACCCUUUUGUAAAAAUAAUGUCCUAGGAGAAUAGCAUAGAGUCCAGUUUUCAUAUUGCUUACAUGGAACUUCCUCAAUAUUAGAAUACUUGAGCUUUGUUUUUUAGGGUCCUUCUAGAACAUCCACACAUUGAAGAAACAUAUGUUUCUUGUCAAUAAUAGAUGAUUCUUUAAGAAAAGUACGGUUUUAUUUGUUAAAACUUUAUAUAUACAUUAGUCCAAUUUUAAACCAUUUUACUUCUUUUUCUUCACUUUUAAAGAAAAGUCUGCUCUUCAAAAAUUGACUUUGUUUGAGGUAUAACCCAUGAUUUAUUUCUAAACUUGCAACAAUAUUGAAAAGGCUUAUGCAUCAUAAACAGAAUUGAUGUGAAUAUACAAUGCAAAUUAGGUACAAAUGCAUAAAAUAAAAUCCCAUGGACAAGGCACAAUGCAUUGCUUUUAUUAAAGUAUAAAAUAGGACGAGCUCGUUGGCAAGGCAUCUUUACAAUUUACCUUCAGUCAUCACAACGCAUCUUUUCUCAAAAUUACAACUAUGAAGGAGGUACAACUAUGAAGGAGUUUUGAAUAUGAUAAUAAAUUAUUUGUUGAGAUAUAGUGGAACUGUUAGAAUCUCAAGACACGGAAACAACUAGCGUGCAAAAUGUUAUAGAGAAAUGUUUACUACUCAAAUAGAUUAAAAUCAUUCAAAGGUGAAUUCAUAAAUCAUUUUUAAUCUCAAUUUUACAGAAUAAAGUAGAACACUAAUUGAAUUCAACACAGUUCGAAUUCUGCCAGGCACUAAUAGUUUAAACAUGCCAUUUACAAAAUUCAUAUACUUUACAAACUCAUUUUUGCUCAAUGAAUGAUCAACAUGCAACUUAAUCAACUUGCUAAGCUCUCAAAUCUCUUAGGUGAUCUGUAUUAGUCCUACGUGUUUUAAAUUAGUCAAGUAUUGUGAAACUCAAUACCUCAAACAGCAGCUUAUGAAAUACAGUAAUUCCUAGAAGGCAAAAAUAGAGCUCAUCUUAGUUUCAAAACAAGGCAAACAUAAGAUAGAAGUUAUUUGAUGUUUUAUUUAAUAGUACACGCAAUACCUAGGAACGAGAUGAGAACUCUUAUUACACUCAAAAAUGUGUCAGAGGGCUGGCAAAGGUAUCUCCUGCAAGAAAAAAAAAUGUUUACAAUCCAAUUGAAUAAGUGAAAGGCGAAUUUUUAGAGAAUCGUAGUAUACCAACAAAAAAUAUUCUUUGUUUACUAGUUUCUUUCUUCUUCACGUUCGCUUACUGCUUUACUUUCCUUUUCAGGUUCACUUUCUGCUUCAUUUUUACUCUCCUGGUCAAAUAUUAUGACUUUAAGUUCUUCAUUUCCCAUUUCUUCUUGUUCUUCUUGAAUUCUCUUAGCAGAUUCUUUGAUAGCUUCCACGCAGUCAUAUACCUCAAUCAUUAGUAAUGUUGGAAUAUCACCUAAACUGGGAGGGAUCAUCUUCAAAUGUUUGCAAUAUUUCAAUCCUAGUCGUUGAAGUCUUGGGAAAUGAUCAGUUGAGGUAUUCCAUUCUGCAAGUCCUACAUCAGAGAGUUUCAAGAAUUUAAGUUGUGGAAAUUCACCUUCACUAGUGUCCCAUUGUCC
rnacentral:lncRNA from 1 species